UUCAAGCUGAAAAACAGGGUUUCACAACUACUAUAGUUGUAGAUAUUCCAUUAAAGAAUUUUUGCCUUGUUUGAUGUGUUUACCAGGACCAACUUCACUUACAAGGGUAAUAUCUCUUCUAUUGUUAAGUUACCUCUAUCUGGUUGGCUCUGAUCACUUUUUGCUUUUCUAUUUUCGUUUUUUCAUUUCUCUUUUUGUUGCAUUCAGGGUUGGGGCUUGUUCUAGAAGUUCUGGCAACAGCCGGGUUUUCAUCUUCUUUAUAUAGACUGUGUUGCUGAUUGGAGAUGUCCUGCUCUUUUUCCUUCUACUUGGAAUCUGGGUUUGGUCUGAGGUCUCUGGUAUGUUUCAUCAGGGAGGCGCAAAUGCUGAUUCUCAGAGCAUUGAUAUUUCAUGGUGCUGAGACUGCUGAAAAGGUUGGUGUACUUAUGAUGGUUGCAGCAUCCUCUUUGUUUCUGGAUCUCAGGGACUGGAUUCUGUGGGCAGCCUUUGGCUUUUGAUGUUGGGUGGAUUUUGUUUUGUUAAUUUGUUGAGGCCGGUGCAGUGUGGUGGGUCUGAAGCUGCUAGUAUGCUGCUGCUGGGUCAAUGCGGAUGUGAUAUGGGAAUGCUUUUGGAUCUUAGGGCUUCAGCAGGUUGAUUAUGUUUCCUCUGCUUACAAAUAUUUUAUCACCAGAUCCUACGUGGAGAUGGGAUGGAUUGUUGUAAUAGUGAUGGUGUGUGUAUGUGAUAUAAUCCUAUGAACAUAGCCACAUGCUUUGGUUCAUAUACCAGAGCACCGCUUACUUCCUUGAGUUUGAUAUCCCACUGUCAAGUGUUAUGUUACGAAAACAAGUUUCACCGGUCGUGGAUUGAAAUGUUUUGUGAGAAAAACUGGUUGAUUUUAACAUUUGAGGUUGUUAAUGGUGGAAGUAUAAGCAGAGUUCUGAGGACUCAAAAUGUGAUCACUUUUUCUCAAGCAUAUUUCUUCCCCAAUAAAAAGGUUUAUUUGUGCAAUGGUUUUGGCACCAACUGAUGAAUGAAAGAGAGCUUUCAUUCCGGAGCAUUUAGAUCUCCAAACAGCAACCUGACUGAACAUGACCACAAAAUUCCUCCGGCGCCACCAAUUUCCUCCACCUGCGACUCUUCAAAUCCAACAUGUACGCCACAUGGGCUUCACCAAAGCUUCUGCACCCAAUCACUAACAGCUUCCCCUCCCAUGUUGUCAUGUAAGCUGUGUGGCGAAUCUCAGCUGGCAAUCUGUCUACUGUCUGCCAUCUGGAGUCCUGCAGUGUCACCACCUCACCCGCAUGACACAUGUACAUCCCCAUGUCACCACCGUCCACGCAGGUCCUCGGGCACGUGCUGUCUUCCAGGAAAUCCUCCUCUGCCUUGUCCCACUCCCAGUUGGCAAAAUCGAAGGCUUCCGCGCUCCUCUCGAACCUGCCUUGCAUCUCUGUGCAGUACCCGCCCAUGACAUGAAACUUACCACGGUGGAAUACUCCUUUGCAUUCAUCGCUCUCCCUUGCCAUGUCAGGCAGUGGGGCCCACUAAUCCUUUGCCACGUCAUACACUAGCGCUGACUUCAAUGCAUUCUUCCAAACCCUACAAACCGCGGCGAUGGUGGAGAAGUUUUCAUAAGAAACGCGAAUUAAACAUUGGCGGGCAACGUCGUCCGGGAGACCCGGAAUAAAGUCCAUGAACAAAAAAAAAACAGCAAGACUGUGGUGCUAUUAAUGGAGAGAAACCCAACCAGAGAGCAAAGAUGGGGGAUUGAAAUAAAUUGAGAGAGCAGCUAGCUACAGAGGAAGAAGAAGGAAGAAGAAGAUGAUGAAGAGAGAAACAGUUGAAUAUAAGAUGAUGAUGAUGAGGAGGAGGAUUGGCUUUUAUAGAGCUUGCCAAGAAGACUGUAAUACAGGUUUAAAAAAGGUUAGUUUCUAUGUCUUGUUAUUUAUUUGCCAACAAGACUGUAAUACAGGUUUAAAAAACGCUAAAUUCAAAAAUUAAAACAAAAAUUGAUACCUAAUCUAUUAAAAUUUUAUUUUAAAAUUUUUGUUACUUGUUUUGUUAGAACUAUCUAAUAUAUUUUUUCAAUUUUUAAAAAUUAAAAUUAAAUUUAUUUUUUAAAUUUUCUUUUUGCUAUAUUCUACAUUCGAAUGCCAAAAUAAUAAUAAUAAUAAAGAAAGAAAAAUGAUAUGAAAUUCAUAAAACCUUAUCAACUCAAAUAAGAGCAUUAUCGUUCCUAAGGUCAGAUUUUUAUUGAAAACUUAUAGGAGAAAAAUAAUAUGAAAAAUAGUUUUUUUUUUUUUUUUGUAUUUGAUUUUAUGAUAGAAAAUUAUGAAGAAAAUUAAAUAUAAUUAAAAUUAGUUAUAUUUAUAUAUUUUAAAUUAUUUAAUCAUUAAACUAAGGGAAAUGAGUUUAAAUAAUAAUAAUAAUAAUAUAUAAAUUAUUUAUUAAUUGAAUUUUUUUUUAAUUUUCAUUCACUUUUUAUCUUCUUUUUUUUUUCUAUUUUUUUUCUAUUAUAUUUUUCCUCAAUUUUCUCUAAAAGCAAACACAGCCGACAAAAAAUGUUUUGACUUUCAUUAAAAUUUGAAGUCUUAGUAAUACUUUCACAUUUAUUUUAAUUCAAAUUAGAAGCCAAUACAAGCAUAAUUGGAGUGUGUUUGGAAUAUUUUCCUAUUUUUUACUUUAAUUAGAAGUUAAAAUUGAAUCAAACUCACAAUUUUUAAAGGAUAAUAUAUGUAAAAUAAAGUUUUCACAAUCGAACAACAUUUUUCUAAUUUCUAUAUUAAGCUUUUUUAAAAAAUAAUCAUAAGAUUUUUGAACAAAAAUAGUUAAAAAAAAAACCUCUUAUUGAAGUUAAAAAAAGAAACUGUUAUCUUCAUAGAAAUCCUACCAAAUAAGACUUUAAUCUUAUGGGAAAAGAAAAAAAAAAAAAAAAGAAGUGGGUCAGUGGCCACUAGAUAAUGCAUUAUGCCACCAUUUGACCCAACUUGAUUCUACCUUCAUGAUUUAUCCUUUGAAUUGUAGGAAGAUGAGUUUGGACAAAUCAAAUCAAUUUAUGUCCUAAUUGAUGCCAAAAAUAUCCAUAUAAUUCAAAUAAAUAUAAGUUUGAUAGUGAGACAAAAGGGUAUGGCGUUUUUUAUGGGUGUUGCCAGCAUUAUUAUAAUUUAUAGCUUUUUUUAAAGAAAAACUAAAUUAAAAUUAUCAAAAUAUAUUUUAUAUUUACAAAAGCUAAAAACAUAACCAAGAAAAAAUCUUUAUGCUUUAUAUUUUAAAAUUUAGUAAAAGCAAAAGCAUAUCCAAAUCAGCCCCACACAUAAAAGAAAGCUAAAAUUGAAAUUGACUAAUCAUUUUUUUACUGAGCUGGCAAACCUUUUUGACUUUUUUCUUUUACUGUGCCAAUGAGAAAAAUGAUUCAUAUUAAAAGUGAUAAAAUUAAUUAAUUAAUUUUAUAGCAUCCUUGCCCAGGAGUAGGAGUUUAUCGCAGGAGGCUUUGUUUCUUGGCUUGAAGCAUGCGUUGCUCACCACUUCCUUCAUGCGAUUCUCUGGCCUUUUAUGCUGGAGGUUGACUGGUACACAUCAGCCUGCCGCUUGCUACCUGAUUGGUGAUUGUGAAUGCUUUUGGGUCUUGCUGGUUGCUUGUGUUUCCUCUGGUUUUAUUGUAUUCCUCUGCUUACAAAUGAAAUAUCACUAUAUAUUCUGGGAAGAUAGGAUGGAACUGCAUUUUCAAAGUAUGGAACAUAGUUUACAAACUUGGAUUUUGUUCUUCCCUUGAAAUUUGAUCACUCAUUAAUGAAAUUUUUUCGUUCAUUUUUUUGGGAGAAAAAAUGGGGUUGAUUUCAACAUUUUAGACCAAUUUAUGCAUAGAACUAAUUUGUUAAUGGCAAUUUGCUGCUAAUUUUGCUGGGUUUGAAAUGUUCUGCUCUCUUUCUAUCCUGUUGGUGCUGUUGGUGUUGGCGUUUGCUUAAUUGGUGCUUGGUCUUGGUGCUUCUCAGAAUUUUUUUAGUAAUAUUAUUUGUAGGAUAUUCUUAGAAAAAGGUAAAUGGUAAUAGCAUCUGAUUUAUUUAUUUAUUAAAAAAAUAUUAUAAAUUGUAGAAGUUACAUGAAUAAUUCAAAAUUUGGCAAUAAAAAUACAAUUCAAUCCCACCAUGACCAAUCAGAAUUGUUUAAAGAAUAAUGUAAAGUAUAAUGUAGUGGUGAUGAAUGCAAGCAUAAAACCAUUGUGGAGCCAAGAUUCAAGGGGCAUAAAACCAUUGUGGAGCCAGGAUUCAAGCAUAAAACCAUUGUUGGUCUAGCUACAAGAUUGGGAAGGCAGUAAGCGAAAAGCUGGUUGCUGUACCUGGUCAAAUCGGCAAAGGACAUUUCAAUGAUGUAGCCGAGAUGCUGCCUCGUCCUCUAGUAGAUGAACUGCCCGUGGAGGAGACUGUUGGCCUAGAAUUGGCGUAUGGCAGAAGCUGUGGGUUUCUCAAAGAUCCACAAGUGGGAAUUAUGGGAUUAUAUGGAAUGGGGGGUGUGGGCAAAACCACCCUCUUGUGGAAAAUCCACAAUAACUUCCUCCCUACAUCCAGCGAUUUUGAUGUUGUGAUUUGGGAUGUGGUGUCAAAAAUUUAAAAAAUUCAGAAAGUUGUUUGGAAUAAAUUGCAACUCUCACGUGAUGGAUGGGAAAGUAGAAGCACUAAGGAGGAGAAGGCUGCCGAAAUAUUGAGAGUUUUGAAAACAAAGAAGUUCGUGUUUUUGGAUGACAUCUGGGAGCAACUUGAUCUCCUAGAAAUAGGGGUCCCCCAUCCCGACGCUCAAAAUAAGUCCAAGAUAGUUUUCACGACCCGAUCACAGGAUGUGUGCCACCAAAUGAAAGCACACAAGAGUAUAGGAGUGGCAUGUUUGUCGCCAGAAGUGGCUUGGACUUUGUUUCAGAAGGAAGUAGGAGAAGAAACAUUAAAGUCUCAUCCACAUAUACUGAGUCUUGCAAAGACUGUUGCUGAAGAGUGCAAAGGUUUACCUCUUACUUUGAUUACUCUUAGGCGAGCCUUGGCGGGUGAGAGAGAUCCCUCAAGUUGGGACAAGGUAAUACAAGAUUUGAGCAAAUUUCCAGCUGCAACUUCAGGUAUGGAAGAUGAAUUGUUUCAUAGAUUAAAAGUCAGUUAUGAUAGAUUGUUUGACAAUGCCAUCAAAUCUUGUUUUACAUAUUGUUCCUUAUUCUCUAAAGGUUGGUGGAUUUCAAAUGAAACCCUUGUGGAAUAUUGGAUGAUUGAGGGAUUUUUGGGUGAAGUUCAUGACAUACAUGAAGUGCAUAAUCAAGGGCAUAAAAUUAUUAAAAAAUUAAAGCAUGCAUGUUUAUUGGAGAGUUGCGGUUCAAGAAAACAAAACAUUAUGAUGCAUGAUGUGAUCCACGACAUGGCUUUAUGGUUAUCUUGUGAAUGUGGGGAGGAGAAGAACAAAAUUUUAGUAUACAAUGAUGUUUCUAAGUUGAAGGAACCUUAAGAAAUUCCAAAAUUGAAAGAGACAAAGAAGAUGUCAUUAUGGGAUGAGAAUGUUGAGGAGUUCCCUAAAACAUUGGUGUGUCCCAAUCUCAAGAUUAGUGGCUUGUGAUAAGUUGAAGAAAUUUCCAAGUGGAUUUUUUCAAUUUAUGCCUUCAAUAAGAGCUUUUGAUUUGUCAAAUAAUUAUAAUUUAAGCGAGUUACCUACUGGGAUCGGUAAAUUGGGUGCCUUGAGAUAUCUUAAUUUGUUAGCCACAAAAAUAAGAGAGUUUCCUAUUGAACUUACAAAUUUGAAAAACCUAAUGACUUUGCUUUUGGAGAAUAGGAAAUUCCUGGAAUUAAUUAUUCCACAAGAACUGAUAUCAAGUCUCAUAUCUUUAAAGUUGUUCAGCACAAUCGAUACCAAUAUUUCAAGUAGAGUUUCAGAAAGCUUGUUGGAUGAGUUGGAGUCCUUGAAUGGCAUCAGUGAGAUAUGUAUCACCAUAUGUACUACUCAUUCAUUCAACAAAUUAAAGAGUAGUCACAAAUUGCAAAUGUACAUAAGUCAAUUCGAGUUGGAUAAAUGUGGGGAUAUGAUCUCACUUGAACUACCGUCUUCAUUUUUUAAAAGAAUGGAGCAUUUGCGAUGGCUUUGUAUAUCUAAUUGCGAUGAAUUAAAGGACAUAAAAAUUGAAGGGGAAGGAGAAGGGACACAAAGGGAUGCGACUCUCCGAAACUACAUUGCUGUAAGGGAGAACUACUUUCGUGCCCUUUGUAACCUAUAUAUUUUUCAUUGUUCAAAAUUGUUGAACAUUACAUGGCUUGUUAGUGCUCCAUAUCUUGAGGAACUUACCGUUGGAGAUUGUGAAUCAAUAGGACAAUUGAUAUGUUAUGGAGUAGAGGAAAACUUGGACAUAUUCUCAAGGCUCAAAUACCUUAAGCUCAACGAGCUGCCAAAAUUGAAGAGCAUCUACCAAUAUUUGCUGCUCUUUUCCUCACUUGAAAUCUUGAAGGUGUAUGAUUGCAAAAGCUUAAGGAGCCUCCCAUUCGAUUCCAAUACUUAACAAUAAUCUAAAGAAAAUUAAAGGAGAGACAAGUUGGUGGAAUCAAUUGGAGUGAAUCGAUGAAACUAUCAAGUACUCUUUUACUCCAUAUUUCCGAAUCGACCAAGUUGAAGCGUACUUAACUGAGGAGUCCGAAACUGGUGGCAUAGAUGAUAUACAAGAGCAAUUGAUAUCAAAUUAAUUUCUUUCAGGUAUUAAUUAACUUUUAUGCUAUAUUUGAAAAAUAAUAUUUUUCCACACUCCCAUUCAUUUGUGGAAAUUUUUACUUUACCGAUGUCAAAGUGCAUCAAAGUCUCAACAUCAUAGUAACUUUCAAUGUUUGAUGUAUAUGGACUACUUCCAUAAUUUUCGGCCUAAUCUUAAUAAUUUUGGUGUGGUUAUAAUUUUUUUCUUUUUUAUUUUUCUUUUUCGUCCUUCUAAUCUUAAGCCUUCAUUUUGAUGACAGACAUAAUUUAGAAAGGAAAAAAAAUGUAAGAAAUCCAAAUCUAAAUCUAUAUAUAUAUUUUUUAUCUCUAUCUGAUUGGCUCUGAUCAGUUUUUGCCUUCUUUUUUUUUCAUUUCUCUUUUUGUUGCAUUCAAGGUUGGGGCUUGUUCUAGCAGUUCUAGCAACAGCCGGGUUUUGAUCGUUUUUAUAUAGACUGUGUUGUUGGAACUCCAUUUUGCUUGUAUCCAAUUAUUAGACAGGAAUCACAUGUUGAAUCAUAUGAAGAAAUUAUGCCAAACAUUUCUAUAGAAAGGGAACAUACAGAAUCUGAACUAACCUGAUUCCAUUUUGAGUGUUGAAUGAACAAGGUAUGGAUCUUCUAAGGCUGUGGAGGGCACCACCUCUUUCUGGAUUCUCUCUGACGAUGGGAGCAGGAGAGAAAACAAGUCUAUUAUUAUUUCAAAUGAUGUGAUUAGACUGAACAGACACUUAGCCUUUGGUUUUAUACCCUCUUGCCUUAGGGACCAUACCCUUUGGCUAUUGGGCCUCACGAGUCUUAGGCCCAUCAUCUAAGGCCCGUGAUGGCAAUGGGCUCUACACAUAAGGUGACCCAUACUAUGGAAAAUUGAUACAAAAUAAAUAUUAAAAGGCGAAUAGCUUAGUCAUGUAUCAUUGUUAAAUAUGUGUGAGUCCAUAUCUUAACAUGUGUUGCUGUUGUUUUUGCUGAUGGUUGAUGUCCUGCUCUUUUUCCUUCUACUUAGUAUUUGGGUUUGGUCUGAGGUCGAUCUAGGUAUGUUUGAUCAGAGAGGCAUAAAUGCUGAUUCUCGGAGCAUUGAUAUUUCAUGGUGCUGAGACUGCUGGGAAGGUUGGUGUACUUAUGAUGGUUGCAGCAUCCUUUUUGUUUCUAGAUCUCAGGAAUUGGAUUCUGUGGGCUGCUUUUGGCUUUUGAUGUUGGGUGGGUUUUGUUUUGUUAAUUUGUUGAGGCUGGUGCAGUGUGGUGGAUCUGAAGCUGCUAGUAUGCUGCUACUGGGUCAAUGUCAAUGUGAUAUGGGAAUGCUUUUGGGUCUUUGGGCUUCAGCUGGUUGCUUGUGUUUCCUCUGCUUACAAAUGUUUUAUCAUCAGAUCCUAUGUGGAGAUGGGAUGGAUUGUUUUAAUAGUGAGGGUGUGAGGGUGUGAUAUAAUCCUGUCAACAGAGCCACAUGCUUUGGUUCAUAUACCAGAGCACUGCAUUCUUGAGUUUGAUAUCAUAUCCCACUCCCAAAGUGUGUCGUGCAUAAUGUAAUGUAAACAAGUUUCAACUUUCACCCAUUGUGGAUUGAAAUGUUUAAUUUGGGAGAAAACUGGUUGAUUUGUAACAUUUGAGGGUGUUAAUGGUGAUUUUUCUUAUUAUUAAUUGUGAUUGAAAAGAAAGUUGAUGAACAAGGUGGAAGUAUAAGCAGAGAGUUCUGAGGACUCCUAAUGUGGUACAUUUUCUCAAGCAUAUUUCUUCCCCAAUAAAAAGGAAAACUUGGGUUCACUUGUGCGAUGGUUUUGGCACUUGGCACUAACUGAUGAAUGAAAGAGAGAUCCAGGUUUAUCACUGAUGAAUUGAAAUGUUUUGUUAUUGUUGCUUAGUUAAAAAAGUUGCGGUUCAGUUUGCUAAUCUAUUGAUAUCUGCUGCAGUGAUUCUGCUGCUGAUGAAUAUAAAAGACAAUCAGUAGGUGCAGGUGAUGCCAUCUCAUCUGCUCAAUCAUCUCAAGUAUUACAGCCUGCUCGCUCAGGGGCCAGGGGACGUGCUUCAAUGGCUGAUAUUGUGAGGAGGGGCAGGCCAGGGACCAGGAGACAUGUUUCAAUGGCUGAUGUUGUAGGGAUGGGCGGACCUGGUGCCAAUACUUCCAGCCUGCCAAUUACGUCAACUGGAACUUCUCCCCCUCUUGUUGGGGCAGUACCAGAACAAUGUGGUGUGCCCAAUACUUCCAGCCCGCUAAUUACAUUAGAUGAAACUUGUUUCCCACUUCUUGGAAGAACACCAAAACGAUCCUCUUACCGUGUCACUACUCCCUUUGUUCUGCCACCAGUGGAGGCAGAACCACACCAAGAUUUGCAUUCUCCAAAUCCUUGGUAUGUGUUGGAGGUAAGUCAUGAGCCUUGCACUACUGAUGAAUGGCCCACCACUGAUUAGCCAACAGCACAUAAUGGCUUAUCUGUUUUAGGUGGCUCACCUGCCUUAGAAACAGAGAUAUUCUAACGAGUUUUGGGUCAAAAUGGCCUAUUUAAAAAAAAAAAUGUAACAUCUAGCCAUUUUUUGAAACUUAUGUUCAAAGUGGUUUCUUUGGUGCUACGUAGGCGCCAUAUCAUUAAAAAAUAUUUUUUUUUUCAUCAUUUUAGUUAAAGCCACAGUUGACAAAUACGGCUUUAUAUUUGAACUAAAACCGCAGUUGGCAACUGCGGUUUUAGUUAAUUUUUUUUAAUUUAAAAUUUAAUAAAAAAUUAUUAAAUUACAAUUUAUGAUUGAAAUUUUAAAAAUAUACUUAAAUAAUAAAUUAUUUGUAUUUAAAUUUAAAAAUCUAGUUACACAUAGGUUCCCUGUGAGAUUAUAUAUGUUUUUUAUUUUCCACUAUAUUAAUGUUUAGUGAAUAUUUUUUGUGACUUUAAUUAAAUGAUUAAAAAUUAUAUUUUGUAGUAGACUUUUUGUAAUUAAUUUCAUUAACUAAUUUUGUAAAAAAAUCUAUACAUGACAACUAAUAUAUGAUUUCGAGUAAAUUUUAAAUUAAUUUUAUCAAACAACCUUAAUAUUUAAAGUAAAAAUUAAGUAAUAAGUUUUAAGUUAAUAAAUUAAAUAUAAUUUAAUUUAAAAUAAACUUAAAUCAUUAAGUAAUAAGUAUUAAGUUUUAUCAAACAUUAAAAAAAAAAAUUAUUAUCGUAAAACAAUUAGGUAUUCAAUUAAAAAACCCAAAAAAAAGAAAAAGAAAUUGUAAUCUUGAUGAAUUUUGUAGACUGUUUCAUAGUUGAUGGUGAUUCAAAUACAAAAGUACAGUAUCAAAAUCAAAAGAAAGUUGUGAGUUGUGAGCUGUGAGUGAGAUAUGCAUCUGAACCGCCAGCAAAAGAAAUUUAAAAUUGUUAAUAUAAAAAGAAAAAUGGACGCAGUGAUCAUGGGCGGUGUUUAUGUACUGGGUUUGAAAGUGUUGAACCUGAACCAAGAACCAACCAUUUAUAGUUGGAAAUUUUGAAUACUACAUCACCAAUCACCAUGCAUACGCUCCUCCUCCCUUCAAAGUCAUCAACUCGCUAACUUUUUCUAAUCUCAAAUUUAAACUUAUAUGUUAUAUAAGUUUAUUAUUUUAAGAUUAUUAAUUUAUUAAUAAAUAAAACAUUCAUUUAUAAUAUCUUAUAUUUAUUAAUUUAUGUUUAUUGAACUAAUACUAAAUUCUUAAGUUUAAAUAUAAAUAAUUUAUUAUUAAAGUAUAUAUUUUUAAUUUUAAUAAUAAAUUAUAAUUUAAUAGUUUUUAAUUAAAUUUGAAAGUAAAAAAAAUUAUAAUUGAAAUCUCAGUUACCAACUACGACUUAAAAGUAUAUUAUUAAUUCGAUAAAGAUAAAUUUAUCAUAAUACAAAUAAAUUAAUAUCUUAAAAAACAACAAAUUAAAUAUCUUAAAUUAAUAAAUUAUACAAUUUUAUAUAUUAUUUAUAUGUUAUAUAAAUUUAUUAUUUUAGGAUUAUUAAUUUAUUAAUAAAUAAAAUAUUCAUUUAUAAUAUCUUCUAUUUAUCAAUUUAUGUUUGUUGAAGUAAUACUAGAUUUUGAAGUUUAAAUAUAAAUAAUUUAUUAUUUAAGUAUAUUUUUUAAAUUGUAAUUUAAUAGUUUUUAAUUAAAUUUGAAAGUAAAAAAAAAAAUUAUAAUUGAAAUCUCAGUUAUCAACUAUGACUUAAAAGUAUAUUAUUAUUUCGAUAAAGAUAAAUUUAUCAUAAUAUGAAAUAAAUUAAUAUCUUAAAAAACAACAAAUUAAAUAUCUUAAAUUAAUAAAUUAUAUAAUUUUAUAUAUUAUGCAUAUGUUAUAUAAGUUUAUUAUUUUAAGAUUAUUAAUUUAUUAACAAAUAAAAUAUUUAUUUAUAAUAUCUUUUAUUUAUCAAUUUAUAUUUGUUGAAGUAAUAUUAGAUUUUUAAAUUUAAAUAUAAAUAAUUUAUUAUUUAAGUAUAUUUUUUAAAUUUCAAUCAUAAAUUUUAAUUUAAUAAUUUUUAAUUAAAUUUUUAAUUAAAAAAAAUUAACUAAAGCCGCAGUUGUCAACUGCGGCUUUAGUUCAAAAAUGAAACCACAGUUACCAAUUACAGCUUUAGUUCAAAUAUGAAGCCGCAUUUGUCAAUUACGACUUUAACUAAAAUGAUGAAAAAAAAUAUUUUUUAAUGAUAUGACGUUUACGUGGCAUCAAAGAUGCCACUUUGAACAUAAGUUUCAAAAAGUGAUUAGAUAUUACAUUUUUUUUUUUUUUAAAUGGGCCAUUUUGACCCAAAACUCUAUUCUAACCCAUCUAACUUGUACAGUGAUACUGCUGAAAUGUCCCAGGACUGCCGGCCAGAUGAGGUCCAAGCAUCUGUAUCCAGUGAACAGUGGGCAGAGUAUAGCGCUGCAGGUGCGUCUUAUAGAGCUUGCCAACGAGACUGUAGUACAGGUUUAAAAAAGGUCAGGCGGUCUAGAAAGUUAAAAUGAAGGCGACCAUAGGUUGUGUCAAUACACAAGACCAUACAAACCGCCAUUGUUUCUAUAUUUUGUUAUUUAUUUUUAAUGUGAUUGGUUCCCUAGAAAAUCUGAUGUGACCCUGGUUCAUGAUGCCGAAAAUGGAAAUCAUGGGACUCCAUGUGGAUGGGUCUAUAUUUAUCACUCUUUUGAAAAUUCAUCACCCAUCAAAAUGAUCAAAUUUCAUAAUCUAAGCUUGAAAAUACAUCUUAUCAUUUGCCUUCUCACUCUCAAAAAUUCAAAAUAAAAAAUUCCACAUAAUCAAUACAUUUUGGAUUUUAAUUAUUUUAAUCCAUUCUAUCUUCAUUAUCUAAGUCCAACUUCUACUGUCAGUAAAAGUAAAACUUCAUUUCAGGAAGAGAGGAAUUGAUAAGUUUUAACAAAUAAGUGUAAAUACAUUUUCUAUUUUUAUUUAAUUUAAAAUUUUAUAUAACAUACCAAAAUUUUAAAAUGUUUAUAUUAAAAAUAUAAUGAUUUAAAACUAUUUAAAAAAUGAGAUAUCAAAAAAAUUAUUAUCUUAAAUUUAAAAAAUUAAUGUAAUUUUUUUUUAAAAAAAAACAUAAUAUAAAAAAAAUAUAUUGGAGGAGCAGAAUAAUUGAGAGAGAAGCAACAAAACGUUAAGUACAAAGUGGAGAAAUGCAACUAAUGAAAUUGGAAGUAACAAUGUCGUUUUGCAGGCACAUGAGGGUGGCCCAUUUCUCCCCUCUUUUUAUUUCUUUUCACACGCCAACUUGACUCAGCCCACAAUAAAUCCUUACUUAUCCCUUGUGUAAAUUGGAAGUAACGUUUUUCAAUUAUUUUUAUUUUUACUAAAUUCAUCAAGACAUUUGACAAAAUUUAGAAAUGAUUUUUGAAAUAUUAAAAAAUUACCUAAACUAUUUCCUAAAAAAAUUUAAUCAGUAAUUAUCCUAAAAAUAUUUUCAAAAACCAUUUUUAUUAAAGUAUUUCGAAUAAAAAGGUUGUCGAUCACAUGUAAAUUAAUAUUUAGAAGCCUUAUAAUAGAUGGUGUUGAAAUUUUCUCUCUUUUAAAAUUGACGUAUAAGAAUAAGAAAGUAUGACUGAAAGAAGAGAUUAGCUAAGUGACAUCAAGAAGCAUAACUCUUAGAAUAUCUUAAUUUUUUCGGCAAAAAAGCAAUUGAAUAUGAUAUAAUAUUGGUAGAAAUUAAUCAACCUUACUUGCCUAUUCAAGAAGUCAACUAUAUAUCAUUUAAAAAAUUAUCGCUCCCUUUGUAUUUAACAUGCUUAAACAUUAUAAAAAAUUAUCAAUUUAUUUAGAAAAUAUCAAUGCAUACAAGUGAACACUAAAUUGUUAUUAUAUAUUACUUCAAAGUCGUUUAAUUUAUUUUAAUUUUUAUAUAAAGAUUAAUUAAUUUGAAAACACGUAAAUUUCUAACCAAUCUUCUUUAUAUUUUACCUUCCUCACUAUUUUUUACUUUCCUAAUUUGGGGAAAGCCUUUUCUUAAAAAAUUUGGUUUUCCAAAUUUCAAAUUGAACCCACUUCAUUUGGGCAACAUUAAGUUAAUUGAUCCUAAUCAAUGCCAAAUACUAUGAAUCUAAAGUUCAAAUCAUAGCAACAUAGAGAGGGAGUUCAAUUUCAAUACAAAAUACAAAAAGUGUAAAACUAGAUAUUAAUAUUAAGACAUCAUACUAAUUAAACAAGUUUCAUUUUUGUCAAAAAAAAUAUAUCUAGUUCCCAAAAAUAUCAAGGAAAAAAAUAUAAAAAAUAUUUUUCUUCAUAUUUGGUUUUACUAUGAUAAAUUCGAGAUAAAAUCAAAUAUAAGAAAUUUUAAAUAUUUUAAAUUAUUUAAUCUUUAUAUAAAAAUAAAGUUAAAAUAAGUGAAAUGACUUCAAAAUAAUAUAUAAAAAAUAAAAUUAAUUUAUUAGUUUUAAUCCUAUUUUUUAUUUUCAUUGGUUUUUUGUCUUUCGAUUUUUUUCUUCUUUAUUUUCUUUUUCUCAUAUUUUUCCUCAUUCAAACAUACCAAAAAAAAAAAUUGUUUUAACUUUCAUUCAAAUUCAAAGUCUUAAUAAUACUUUCACAUUUAUUUUUAUUCAAAUUAGAAGAAAAUACAAAUAUUUGGAAUGCCUUUGAAAUAGUUUCCUAUUUUUCACUUUAACUAAAAGUUAAAAUUGAAUCAAAAUCAUAAUUUUUAAAAGAUAAUAUAUGAAAGAGUUCUUAGCAUAAAUCAAAAUAAAGUUUUUACAAGGAACAACAAUUUUUUUAAUUUCUAUAUUAAAUUUCUUGUUAAGUGGUCAUAAGUUUUUUAAACGAAAAUAGUAAAAAAAAAAAAAAAACAUAUGAUUGAUACCAAGAUAAAUUAUGAAUCCUUUAAAGUGAUCCACUACACUUUUUUGGGGUGGAAAUUCAGUCAUUAAUACAUGUACUUGAUCUGGGGGUGCCCUACAAUUCAAGUCAAUGAAUUUGGACAAAUCAAAUCAAUUUUUUUCCCAAUUGAUACCAAGGAAUAUCCAUAUGAUUCAAACAAUAUUUAUAUUGUUUGUUUGGAUUUUGCCUAAAGUAUUCAUGAAUGUGUCCAAAUAAUAUGCUUAUCAAUGGCACUACUAAUUUUUGCUUCCCCCUUUUCUUUUUUUUUUCAUUUUUUGUUUGUUUUGAAUUGGUACUUCCUUUCUCAUUCAUUCUACAUUCUUUUUUUAAAAAACAUUUGUCUCUUUUGCAUACAUCCUAAAAAGCCCAAAGUGUCUUUUUUUUAUUUAUUAUUAUUAUUAUUAUUUUUUAAAAAAGAACUUAAUAAAAUCUUUCGCUUCUAUAUAUCUUAAAAUGAAAAUAAAAAAUAAAAUUUUAUUAUUAAAGUUUUAUUUUGAUUUAUAGAUAAAGUUAUUUCAUAUUUUAUAAAUCUCUUCCUAUAUUCAUUUUGUUCUUUGCAAAUUAUAAUUUCACUCACUUCAACUUUGAAAUAAAAUCAAAAUAAAAAUAAAAAAUUAUAGCAAAUUAUGUUUAAUUUAAUCCGCUUUUCAAUUGGAAAAUACUAAUAGUGCAACCCAUAUCUGUCUAAACUUAGUGCAUAUAAUAUUACUUUUCAAUGGACUUGAAAACUAUUUAAAAACCGACAACUCCAAAGUCAAUUAUCUCAAUUAUGGAGUGUCAUGGUUCCAAAAGAUAAAAGCAAGUGUGAAGAUCCUUAAAAUGUUUUUGAGUGUAAUGGUGUUUCCAAAAGAUAUAAGCAAAAAUGAAAAUAUCGGAAUCACGGAUAUAUCAAUAUUUCGAUUUUACGAAUAUGUCAGAUAUAUCGGAGAUAUAUUGGUAAAUAUUUUGACAUAAAAUAUCGAUAGACCUAAAAUUAACCAAAAUUUAUAAAAAUAUAAAAUAAAACUUUUAGAAAUGAAAUUAAAAGUACAAUAGACAUUUUAAAAUUAUUUUGUUAAAUAAAUUAAUGUGUGUAUAUAUAUAUAUAUAUACGUGUCAACAAAAAAUAUAAAUUUGAUAAGUGUAUAUUGAUUAUUAAAUUAUAUCAAAUAUUAUUUGAUGAUUAUAUUGUGAUAUUUGAUUAUAAUAUAUUUCGGUGGAUAUUUUGACACAAAAUGUCUGUAAACCUAAAAUUGAUCAAAACUUACAAAAAUAUAAAAUAAAACUCUUAGAAAUGAAAUUAAAAGCAUAAUAAACAUUUUAAAGUUAUUUUUUUUUAAUAAAUUGAUAUAUAUAUAAUAUUGUACAUGUUAAUAAAAAAUAUAAAUUUGAUAAGUGUACAUUGAUUAUUAAAUUAUAUAAAAUAAUAUUUGAUGAUAAUAUUGUGAUGUAUGAUUAUAAUAUGUUUAAUUUUAAAAUCUAUUUAAUAUUAAAAUUAUGAUAUAUUAUAAAAUAAAUGAUGAUAAAUGUAUAAAUUUUUAAUAUAUUAAUAAUAUUAAAAAUACUCUGAAUAAAAUUAUGUUAUAUUUUUACUAAUCAAUUAAAUGAAAAAAUUUCAUUCAAUUAUAAAAUAGUGAUAAUUAAUUGUUAUUUAAAGUGUUUUUUUUUUAAUAUUUUAUUUAUAUCCGAACUUUCGAUAUAUAUUUCUUUAGUGCAUAUUAUAUAUCAAAGGGCAAGUUUGCUCUAGUGGAGCUAGGAGUUGGGGAUGCAUGUUGAACCUUCGAAUCCCCCAACAGCAACAAAAAAAAAAAAAACUCAAUUUUGAGCUUUGACCGCGUUGACCGCCCACGUUGACCAAUCGUUGACCACCGAUAAAUCCAUGCUAUAUAUCGUUUCACCACCCGCCGACACACCGAUAUUUCAACGAUAUUUUCUUCCCUAGAUAUAAGCAAGUAUGAUUUUCCUUAAAAUGUUUUUCACAUUUUUUUUGACAUAAUUAUUUAAGUUGCCUACCAAUAAAUCUUUUUCUGAUUUUUGUAUGAAUUGAAUAUUAUUAUUUUUCUAAAAUAAGAAGUAUGUUUAAUAAUUAAUUUUUCUAAGUAAUAAUAAUGACCAACAACCUUUUAGACCUAGUUUUUCAAUCAACUUAUUUAUUUCCUAGGUAUAAAACAUGGAGAAGUAAAAUACAUGUAUUGAUGGAUCAAUUAGAGGGAGGGUUAAACCUACUAAGACACUACCCACCUCACUGGAGAAUGGAAAAUUAAAUGGUUAUAAAUACAUCAUCAUUUCCCUUUUUCCAUAAAAAUGUUGCUCCAUGUCCUCUUAUCAAUUUCACUUCAAUUAUCCUCAAAAAAAUCACUUCACAACUUCAAAGAUUUGUUAGUAAAAUUGUAAAAGUACUAACAUGUCACUUGAGUAAAAAAGACAUGAUUACUAUGCAAAAAAUGAAACAUAUGCCAUAUUUAUCAUCUAAAUUAUGUACUUUUUGAAUAGUAAUUACAUGUUACACUAGGUAGAAUCAUGUUAACAUAUUAAAUGGAUUAGAAUCGUGUUAUCUUGUUUAAUGAAUGUUAAUAGGUUUAAUAGGUUAGAAUCAAAUUAAUGGGGGUUACCUAUAUCAAUUCAUAUAGAGGUCAACUUAACCUAUUUAUUAAAUUAGUUAUGUCUAUAUCAAGUCAUUUUAACAUGAUGUUUAAACAAAUCAUAUUCCAAUUAAGUAAACUUUCACUAGUUUUUAUCUUGACACAAUACAAAUCCAACAUAAUAUGACCCAUUGUCACCCUAGUUAAGGAGCAUAAGAGUGUUGCAUCAAGGAAGUGGAAGAAGAGCAUAGUGAUAUAAAACUUUAGGGAGUGGAAGCAUUUAAUCAAGUAAAGUUGUGUAACUUUUAUUUUCAUAAGUAGUGAAUUAUUCAAUUGUCAAGAGACCAACCAUAGUUUUUUUUUUUUAUACCUAGGGAUUUCUAGGUGCUUUCCACAUAAAAUUCUAUGUUGAAAUGUGUAAUUGGAAAUCUCAUGCAUGAGAUUGAUAAGAUAUUGAUGAUAAUUGAGUUGGAAUAAAACAAUUUAACUUUGAGGGGUUAAUUGCUUGGACUACCUAUUUACCCCUCCUUCAAGAAGUUCCAUAUAAGGGUCUCCAAUGGGCGGGCCGGGCCAUGGAAAAAUGUUAGGCCCGCGGCCCGGCCUAUGAGUCCGCGGGCUAGCGGGCUGGGGGCGGGCUGGGCCAACGGGCCGGGCUGGGGGCGGGCUGGGCGGGCCGGGCCGCGGGCCGAGCCUUGGGCUUUUUUAAAUAAGCCAAAAUGGCUUUAGAAAGGAAGAGAGAGGGAGGGAUUCGAACCCCUCCCCUCAUGCUUUAAUAUAAAGGCUCUAACCAACUGAGCCACAUUUAUUUUGUGUUAACUAAAUGAGUUAGUUAUAUAUAUAUAAAAUAAAGUAUAUUAUUUUUUUAAAAAAAAUUAACGGCUCCAACGGUCAUGUGACCGUUGGAGCUCCAGCCCAGCUCCCAGCUGCCAUGUGACCGUUGGGCAACGGUCACAUGGCCAAUUUUUUUUUUUUUUUUUUUUCUAAAGCCUUCCUAUAAAUACAUCUUCUCCCUUUUCAUUUUUUCAUCAAAUUCUCUCUAUUUCUCUCACAUUCUACAAUAUUUCAAAUUCUUUUAUUUUUCCCUCAAAUUAUACAAUAUUGUUGGUGGUGCAAAACAAGCAUUGGUGGCUCCAAGAGUUCAAAUUUGCUAGGAAUUUCUGCAUCGGUUCUCUAAUUGAGUAACAUACUUCACUCCUACUACUUUAUUUUUUUGUUACAUUUUUUUUAUAUUUAUUACUUUAUUAUUUUUGGCAUAAUAUUUUAUCAAUAAUUAUAAUAUGACAAGUGCUUCUUCUUCAUCUAGUCCAUGUGAUGAAAUAUCAUCAAACAAAAAAUUUACUUCAAAUAUAUGGAAUUUUUUUGAUAGAGUAGAAAUAAUUUUAGAAAAUAAUAAAAAAGAAAUAAAAGCAAAAUAUAAAAUUUGUAAUAAAUUUCUUACUGGUGGCUCAAAUGCAGGCACAAGUCAUUUAAAAAGACAUCACGAAAAUUGUAAAACUAAAAAUAAUGUAGAUAUUAAAAAUUAUAUGCAAUUAGGUAAAAAUGAAAGUGGAAAUUUAAAAACAUUUUCUUAUGAUGAAUCUAACUGUCGUGAAGAAAUGAUUGAUUAUAUAAUAAGAGCAGAACAACCUUUCAACAUGAUGAAAACUCAUGAUUUUGUAGGAACAAUUCAACGAGGUAUUAAUCCUCAAUUUAAAGGUUGGUCUGGAAAUACAGUUAAAAGAGAUAUUAUGAAAAAAUUUUAUACACAAAAAGAAAUUUAAAUUUUUUUUUUUUGCAAAUUUUGAAGGAAAUAUUUGUUUAACAUCUGAUAUUUGGACAUCUUUAACUCACACUGGUUUUUUAUGUAUAACUGCUCACUACAUUGAUAAUGAAUGAAAAUUAAAUAAAAGAAUAAUUUCAUUUAAAUUAAUAAAUGCUCCACAUAGUGGUAAAAAUAUAGCAUCUUUAAUAAAUGAUGAAAUUAUAGAUUUAGGCAUUCGUGAUAAAAUAUUGACAAUAACAUUAGAUAAUGCUGCUAAUAAUGAUACAACAAUACAUAGACUAAAACGAUAUUGGCAAGUAAAAGAAGAUCAUGCUAAAAUAUUUCAUGUGCGUUGUUGUGCACAUAUUUUAAAUUUAAUUGUAAAGGAUGGAUUAAAAAAUGUUGAUGAUACAUUGGAAAAAAUUAGAGGCAUUGCAUAUAGUAUUAAUAGUUCUCAAGCAAAACAUGAAUUAUUUUUUGAUUGUUGCAAAAUGUUAAAUAUGAAAAGAAAAAAUAUAAAUUUGGAUAUGGCCAUUAGAUGGAAUUCCACAUAUAAACUUUUACAAAAUAUUACAAAAUAUAGAAAAGUAGUCGAAUUAUAUGAAAUAUAAUUACUUAACAAUGAUUGUGAAGCAGAUAUUUAUGCAUUAAGUGAUUAUGAUUGGCAUGUUGCAGAUCUUUUAAGAGAUCUUUUUGAAAUUUUUGAUACUUCAACAAACAUUUUUUGUGGUGUAUAUUAUCCAACUUCAAAUCGAGUUAUUAUGCAAAUAACUAAUAUUUUUAUUGUACUUCAAAAAUAUUUAAGUUUUGAAAUAUUUAAUGAUACAAUAUUUGCAAUGAUAGAAAAAUUUAGAAAAUAUUGGGGGGAAAUACCUUUAAUUUUUUAUAUUGCUUUAAUUGUGGACCCUAGAUUGAAAUUUGAAGCUUUGGAUGAAUGGUUAACAAUUAUUUAUUUUAAUGACCAAAUAAAAAUUGAAGAAAUUAAAAAUGAAAUAAAUUCAUUAUUACAUAAUUUAUAUAACUAUUAUAAAGAAAAAUAUGGUAAUGAUAUUAAUACUAAUAAAUUACCACCUACAUCUACAAACUCCUCAUCUUUUUAUAAAGGAGCUCUAGAAAUGUUGAAAAGUCGAAAAAAGACAACAAAUAGUUCUCCAAAUAAUACAUCUGAUUUAGAUAAAUAUCUUAAUACUGAUAUAAUUCCAUUUGAAGAUCAAGAAGAUUUUGAUAUUUUAAUAUGGUGGAAAUCACAUCAACACAAAUAUCCUGUGCUUUCUAUAAUUGCUCGUGAUGUACUAACAGUUCCUGUGAGUACAGUUGCAUCAGAAGCUGCUUUUAGUGCAGGUGGAAGAGUUAUUAGUAAAAAACGAUGCAACUUAGCGCCAGACGUUAUUGAAGCAGGGAUAUGUGUAAAAGAUUGGGAAAUAGUAGAUAAAAGGAUGUACGAUUCCAUUUGAGAAACAGAGAUGUUUGCCAAUAUGGAAUCUUUAAAACUAUCAAGAUCUUCAUGGAUGCAUGAUAGUUCGCCAUCACCGCCAGAAAAUAAUGACUAAAUGUAUAUUAUAUUUUUAUUUUUAUUUUUUGUGGUUGAAAAAUACAGAUGAUUGACAAAUAAAUAGGUGCCAACCUAGUUGGGAUGUAUUUAUUUUAUAGUGAUGUAAACUUUUCCCACAUUUUUAAAUGUAAUUAUACAUUCAAUGAAUAAAAUUUUGAAAUGAAUAUUUUUUUUAAUACUUUUUAUUUUUGUAUUUUUUUUUUUAAAGGGGCGGGCCUAUGGGCCGAGCCUAAAUUUAGGCCCGCGGCCUGGCCCGGCCCGCCCAUAAACGGGCUCGGGCCUGCGCGGGCCGCGGGCCGCGGGCUUUUUGGAGACCCUUAGUUCCAUAUCAAGAAAAAAAUUAUUUCAACAUAUAUAUAGAUAUUUUAUAUUUUCUAAUUUUAAAUUAAUUUUUAUGUUGGGAAAUUGAAUGAGGGAAUAGUUGGCUCAAUUUUCAAGCUUGGCAACAAAAUUUGUUGUUAACAUGUUAUUUUACCUUAUUUUAUACAUUUUUUUUGGAAUAAAAAUAUAUAAUCAACUACUCUUGUAUGAUUGAUUUAGAUGUUAGAAAAGGUUAUAACCAUUAAUUCUAUUAAUUGACCAACAAUUUUUUAUAAACUUUAAGUUGCUAGCAUUCAUAUAUUAUCCUAAAAUUAUUAAUUAUAAUUUUAUUUAAGUUGAACCACAAAUCUUGGGUAAAUGAUGAAGUAUUUGUUAACAAGAUACUUGUUUAAUUAUAUUGGAAGUUUUUAGUUUGAGGAGUUGUUGUUGAAUUCAAAUUCCUAGAAGCUAGCUUUGAGGACUAGAUAGUUGUCUUGAUUUUUGUUAUAAGUUUGAUUUUUAUAUUGUUUUCAAACAUGAUGUGUAAAAUGUAUUAAUGGUAAUGAUGUUGAAACAUAGCUAAUGCUACUAGAAGAAUGUUGUAUAGAGUGCCUUUGGUGAGUUGGAUCAGGGGGACAAGCUCCAUGACAAGCUCAAUUUAUUACAAAGGAUUCCUUCACAACCUCUCUUUGUAUGUUAUUAAGUCGUAAGUAGAAUUAUUAAAGUUAUAUAAACAAGUGGCAAUCUUGAUACGUCAUAAUGACACCAUUCGAAAAUUAUAUAAAUCUUAGCAGGUCUAAAGGUAUUUGUAAAACACAUUUGUAUUGCCUAAUUAUGGUCUUAUUGGAGAAUGAGUUAUUAUCAAUUUCAUGGAACAAAACUUUCAUUAGUCAAUAUUAGUUGAAGGUGAAAUCUUACUCAUAAAAUUUUUCAUUUAAAUUUAAAAGUUAAAAUUAUAAAGUAGAAAGUUAAAAGAACCAUUGAGCAUAGUUUAAAAUUUGAAUAUAAUGUGUUUAUCAAGCCCAAUAUUUAUUAUUUAUUAUUAAAAAUAUAAUUUCAUAUUUAAGAUAAUUUAGCACAUUUGAACAAUGCUUUGAGAAUAAGAUCGGAGCAUCUAAUUUGACUAAUUGGAUAGCAAAUCAAACUAAUCCAAUCUUAUUUUUCAUAUUUUUUCCACCUUCAAUUCUAUGAUAAAUAUGAACAAAAGUCUUUAUAUGAUUAUAACAAUAUAAACACUAAAAUAAUGAGUUUAACAUUAAAUAACAAAAAUUUUAUUUUAGUCUUCGACAUAUUGUUAUAUAAGUUAUAUAUAUAUAUUUAUAUAUAUGUGUGUGUGUGUGUUAGUAAAAUAAGAAAUAUUAUUAUAUUUAAAAUAUUAAAUAAUAAAAUCACAAUAUUUUGUUAUUAAUAAUAUUUAAUUAAUACAUUCUAAUUAAAUCUAAAAUAAAAACUUUACACAAAUUAGUAUAAAACCAAAUAUGUUCACCAUAAACCAACCCCUGUAAAAAUACUUAAAUAUACAAAAGUCAAAGUAAAUAAAUGAGAAAUAAUGUUAAAAGAUAUAUAUAUAUAUAUAUAUAUAUAUAUAUAUAAAGAAUCAUUGUCUAGUAUUUUAAUUUUUUUUAUAUUUUUAACUCCAUAUAUUAUUUUAAAUUUUAAUAAUAUAUGAAUUAUAUCUGCAUAUUGCCAUGCUGAUAUCAUGUUUCAAUUACUUGAACCAUCAAUUCAAUUAAGAAAGUCUAAUGCAAUAAUUUUCAAUUCAAUAACUAAUUAAUAAGAUUUUCAAAAUAUUGUAUUUGAAAACUCACCACAAAAAAUGAAUAUAAAAGAUCAUGAAAUUCUUGCAAAGAAAACUUACUUCAUGAAAAUAUGGAAACCCCAAACCUUAAUUUCUUCAAUAAUACAAAUCAAAAUUCUUAUGUUUAGGCAUCUUAGGAGAGAACCAAUAAUCUCAUCCACAAAUCAAGCAUAGUCAAUAGUCAAUUCUUAUGUUUAGAAGUAAUAAUCUCAUCCACAAAUCAAGCAUAGUCAAUAGUCAAUUCUUAUGUUUAGAAGUAAUAUAUACAUACAUACAUAUAUACAUAUAUACAUACAUAUAUAUAUAUAUACACACCGUGUAUAGAUGAUGUAUCUUUUGGAAAGUCAUGUAUAUAUUUAAAUGUUGUAAUGUAAAUCUUGCAUAAUAUAGUUUGACCAUUCAUCCAUUCAUUCAUCCAUCUUAUACUCUUGCAAAGAAAAGUAACUUCAUGAAAAUAUGGAAACCUCAAACCUUAAUUUCUUCAAUAAUGCUUAUUAAAAUUUUUGUAGUAAAAAGUUGUGUAAUUGAGGACACUAAUGAUGCAAGGUUAUAACUAGUCACUCCUAACCAGACUUAUUCUUAUACAUAUUCCCAUCUUCAUCUCAAGUCUGGAAGUUUACCUUUCUAUUUUAAGAAAAUUAAUUAUUCUUUUUAUUUUACAUAUAUUGAAAAAGGUAAAAGAAAAAAUAAGAUUGAGCGAUAUGAACCACUAUAAAACUUGAAUCAAUCUCGACAUAUAUGUGAGAAGAUAAUUUAAAAGUGUAUUUAACAGUGUUUAAUUUUGAAGUGUUUUUAAUUUUAAUAAAAGUAUUUUUUUAGAAGUGAUUUUGAGAUAAUUACCUAUUAAAAGUGCGUUUGAUAAUGAUUUUAAAAUAGUGUUUUUAGUUUUUUAAUACUUGAAAAAUAAAAAUUUUCAAGUGUUAGAAAGAAUAAAAAUAUUUUUUAAAAUUAUUGUUAGACGCACUUUAAAACCCCGUUUAGUAGUGAUUUUAGGAAGUGUUUUUAAACUUUUUAACACUUUAAAAUUUGUAUUAUUUAAGUGUUAGAAAUGCUAGAAACGUUUUCUAAAAUCAUCAUAAAAUGUAUUCUAAGAGUGUGUGUGAUAGUGAUUCUUGGAAACGUUUUUAACAUUUUUAAUACUUAAAUGAUAAUAAUUUUCAAAUGUUAAAAGGUUAUAAACACUUCUUAGAAUCACUACCAAAUAGGUUUUAAGUGUUUUUUCAAAAAACACCACAAAUGAUUUUUUUUAUUUGUUUAAAAGUGUCUUCUAAAUUUUAUUAAAUACUUUAUUUAGAAAAAAAAAUUAAGCUAGAAGUGCUUUUUAAAAACACUAUUAAAUGGACCAUAAAUCUUAAAAUAAAAUCCCAAAUCACCCCUUGAUUUAAUUAUAAGUAAUUUUAAGAGAAUCAUUUAUUAAAUAUUUAUUUCAAAAAGCACCACAAAUGAUUUUUUAUUUGUUUAAAACUAUUUACUAAAUUUUAUUAAAUACUUAUUUUUGUUCAAAAAUAUUUUUUAAGGAAGAAGUGUUUUUUUAAAAAUAAUAUCAAAUGGACGUGUAAAUCUUAAAAUAAAAUCCCUUGAUUUAAUUAUACUUUUCAAAUCCAUCCAUAAGCCUAGGCAUCCUUGAAAUACCCACCCCUGUUAUAAUACAAAAGCAAACCACCACUAAGGAUAUUUAAACAACAUUUUAAAGACAAUCGGAACCUAUCAAUGAGACUUUGUCUCAUAAUACAAAUUUCGUUAUGUUCACAUGAAGAAAGGGACAAAUAAUACAUAAAAACUAAAAAUCAUAUUGUGGACCCCGUAUUUCGGCUCAAUGCGUUUUUCACUCGAUGGCGAACUCGAUUUUAAUUUGAAAAAUGAUUUUUAUUGAUUAAGAAAAUGACUUGGAGUCGCCACUUAUUUUUGUUUUAUUUUUAAAGGGGUAAACAAAAUAAGAAAGAAAACCCUAAGUGUGACUCCUUAUUUUAGAAAAGGCGGUCUGUGAAAAACCGGAUCGGGCUCGGGGGUCAGGUUACUUAUCGGGAAGGUACGGUACGAACCGUAGCACCCCUCUAAGUCCCUAAAGUCGGGUCUCUACUAAUAAAGUGAAGCUGAUGUGGCAUAACAAUUGAUUAAUUAAGCAUGGAUACCAAACAAUGAUCAAAUGUGUGAAAGUGAGAGAUGAUCAAUAAACACAAUCGGGGUACGGGACGUACCUUAGUCGUAAGCUGAGCGCUAUCAUAAGAGACAAGGUUAGUGCACAAAUACAAAAUAAUCGCAUGCAGAUCAUAGAGUGAGGCAAGCUAAUCAAGUAUGACAAUCAAGCAAUCAAUGAGAAAAUCACAUAUGUUGGGUCCCACCAAAACCCAAUUGAUCCUGCCUGAAUUAAUCUCACGAAUCCCAUUAUUUCGGAAUCAUGAAGAUUCAUCACUCUUGCUUGUGUAAAAAUCAAAAGAAAUAAAACAUUAUUUAAGAAUCGAAGUGGAAUUAAAACUGUUCGAGAGAAAAACUGGGUUUUUGAGAUUUAGUUGGAAAUUGGAGUCUCGAAAAUUAUUUGAAGAUUGGAGUCUUGAUAACUAAAUUUAAGAAUUGGAAUUUCGGAUAUUAAAUUUGAAAGAAAUUAGAAUUUUGGAAAUCGGAAAUUAAGUUCAGGAAUUGGAAUUUUGAAGAAUUGUUUAAAAUGGGAUUUCAAAAUAAAAUACUAAAAUAAUAAUAAUUAAAUAGAUUCAUGUGAGUACUGGAAUUUUGGAAUUAGAAAUUAAAUCGGAAGUCAAAAAUUUUAAUGAAUUAUUUAAAAUGGAAUUUUAAAGUAAAUAAAUAAAAUUAUAACUAAAUAGAUUAAUGCGAAUUUUGGAAUUUUCAGGAAUUAGAAAUUAAAAUCGGGAGUCGGAAAUUUUAAUAAAUUGUUUAAAAUGGAAUUUUAAAGUAAAUAAAUAAAAUAAUAAUUAAAUAGAUUAAUGUGAAUUUUGGAAUUUUCAGGAAUUAGAAAUUAAAAUCGGGAGUCGGAAAUUUUAAUGAAUUGUUUAAAAUGGAAUUUUAAAGUAAAUAAAUAAAAUAAUAAUUAAAUAGAUUAAUAUGAAUGUUGGAAUUUUGGAAUUAGAAAUUAAAACGGAAGUCGGAAAUUUUAAUGAAUUUAUUUAAAAUGGAAUUUUAAAGUAAAUAAAUAAAAUUAUAAUUAAAUAGAUUAAUGUGAAUGUUGGAAUUUUGGAAUUAGAAAUUAAAACGGAAGUCGAAAAUUUUAAUGAAUUUAUUUAAAAUGGAAUUUUAAAGUAAAUAAAUAAAAUUAUAACUAAAUAGAUUAAUGUGAAUUUUGGAAUUUUCAGGAAUUAGAAAUUAAAAUCGGAAUUUUGAGAAGUUAUUUAAAAGUCGAGUUUUUAUUUUUCUUAUUUUUUAUUUUUCUUUAUAUAUAAACAAAUAAGUAAAUAAAUUAAAAUGAUUAUAAUUAAAUAAAUUGAGGUGAGAAUUAAAGUUUCGGAAAUUGGAGUUUUGAGAUUAUUUGAAGAUUGUAUAUAUUGUGAGUAGGAUUGGGGAGUUGGAAUUUAGAAAAUUUAUUGAGGAAUUAGUGCUUUUUAGAAAUGUAAAUUAUAUAUAUAUAAAAGGCAAAUGGGUUAACUUAAAGUGGGUGGGCUUGAAAUAGGCAUGGGCCAAGGUAAAGUGGGUGGACAGAAGCUUGGACUUGGGCUUCAGCUUUAGCCCAUGUCCACUAGCAUGAAGCCCAAGCUUUUAAUCUUUAACAAAAUUUGCCUUCACGCCUGGGUGCCACCUUCCAUCUAGGAACCUCCAUCAUGGACGCCGCAGUUGCCGGAGUUGGGACUGUCCCCGACGUCGGCGACAUGGAGGCCUUCGUCGUGAGUGCGGGUGACGACACGGAAGACGCUGCACUCGCCGUCCGCGAGGAGGGCGCCAUCAGCGCUGGCGUCGCGGGGGCCACGCGUGGCUGUCAUUGGCGCAUUCUGCUGGGAGCUCCGUCAUUUGAGUAGCCUUCACGACCAGCAUUCAUCCCCAGCCCAACUAUCUUGGCUUCCAAGUCCAGUUUUUUAUGCAUGGUGAUUGGUAGGCAUGAAAUGGGUGGAGAGUUUGGAGGGAAAAUGGGUAAAGAUGAUGCAAACAAGAAAAACACUACUACAAGUGUCAAAAGAAAACAGAGCCCAACAGAUCUCAAUAAUAAAAAAAGCCAAAGAAAAGAGAACGAACAUGUUAGGACCCUUUCAAAGCAACCUAAAAAAAAAGGAAAACAUUCAGAAUAGUCGUACGACCCUCUACCCAUUCACAGUCAACCUAAUGCCCGGAAAUGAUCAAUAGAAAACUGAAGAAAAUAACGAAUAGAGGGAAACGAGAUGGUUGCCGCGUUCAUACCUGGAUUUCUCCCGUAAGCCAAAAAAAUGGUUUCCCCCUUCCUUUCUUCUCUAGCUCCGGCAGCUUGCCUUCCCGCCCAAGCUCUCUAAAACUCCCUCCAGAUCCCCUCUCUCAUGGAUCUUCUCUUUUCUUCUUUGCCUUUUUCCCCAGAUCCGGAAAUCUAGCACCUGCUCCCCUGUUCCCUGCUCCCUACAGCCGCCUAAGGAUAGUUCCUUCUCCCUCCUUCCACUUCCAGCCGUCCUCGGGUGGAUAAAGAAAGCAGAAAAGAAGAAGAAAAAAAAUGAAUAAAAAUAAAAACCGGCCCAUGCCCCUAGCUGAGGGGGUCUACACAUAUACAAUAGAAAGCUUGGAAUCAAGAGGGAAGAGAGUAGGAAGUUACGAAGUGGUGGAGCCUUGGUAAAAUAAAAUUAACAACGGCAUUAUCAUGUGCGGGUCUCAGCGCUGGAUGGACCGAAUUUUGCUUCUCCCAAAACUCUUUCAAUAUUAUAAUUAGAGCCCGCUUGAUGCUUAGAAAAAUACAUUUGCAAGUGAUCUCCAUCUGUCAAUCAAUUAAUCUAUACAAUAUUAAAAAUUCACUUCUUGUUGAUUUAGGAAAAUCACUUUGUUGGGGGUGGCCUGUCUCCGAUGUUACUCAAGUUUCAACUCUGGACUUUUCAAAUUAACAAAGUGCAGUGAUUCAUCUUUCUUCUUUGUUCCAUUUUUGGCUGAAUUGUAAUCCUUUUGUCUGUAACUUACGGAAAGCUAUGGAGUUUCUGAGCUCAAUCGUGGGUCUGGUCCCCUGCUUCUAUGAUCACACCUCCAAGCAUACGGUCUACAUUCGUGAUCUGAGAAAAAAUAUCGAAGCCUUGAUGAAAGAAAUGGUGGUUCUGAACAACUUGUAUGAAGAUGUGAAGGCAAGGGUUGAACGUGCAGAGCAACAACAGAUGAAGCGCAGAAAGGAAGUGGGUGGGUGGAUCCGUGAAGUAGAAGACAUGGAGAAAGAAGUUCACGAAAUUCUGCAAAGAGGAGAUCAAGAAAUCCAGAAGAGUUGUCUCGGAUGCUGUCCCAGGAAUUGUUGGUCUAGCUACAGGAUUGGAAAGGCGGCAAGUGAAAAGCUGGUUGCUGUAUCUGGUCAAAUCGGCAAAGGACAUUUCGAUGUUGGUGCCGAGAUGUUGCCUCGUCCUCCAGUUGAUGAACUGCCCAUGGAGGCGACUGUGGGCCCACAAUUGGCGUAUGAAAAGAGCUGUAGGUUUCUCAAAGAUCCACAAGUGGGAAUUAUGGGAUUGUAUGGAAUGGGGGGUGUUGGCAAAACCACCCUCUUGAAGAAAAUCAACAAUGAAUUCCUCACAACAUCCAAUGACUUUGAGGUUGUGACUUGGGCUGUGGUGUCAAAAUCGCCCGACAUUGAAAAAAUUCAACAAGUUAUUUGGAAUAAAUUGGAAAUCCCACGUGAUAAAUGGGAAACUAGAAGCAGUAGGGAGGAGAAGGCUGCAGAAAUAUUGAGAGUUUUGAAAAGAAAAAGGUUCAUCAUGUUGUUGGAUGACAUUUGGGAGGGACUUGAUCUCCUAGAAAUGGGGGUCCCGCGUCCAGAUACUGAAAAUAAGUCCAAGAUAGUUUUGACGACCCGUUCACUGGAUGUCUGCCGCCAAAUGAAAGCUCAGAAGAGUAUAGAAGUGGAAUGUUGGGAGUCAGAAGAUGCCUGGACUUUGUUCCAGAGGGAGGUAGGAGAAGAAAUAUUAAAAUCUCAUCCGCAUAUACUGAUGCUUGCAAAGGAUGUUGCUGAAGAGUGCAAAGGUUUACCUCUCGCUCUUGUCACUCUUGGGCGGGCCAUGGCGGCUGAGAAAGAUCCCUCAAACUGGGACAAGGUAAUACAAGAUCUACGCAAAUCUCCAGCUGAAAUCACAGGUAUGGAAGAUAAAUUGUUUCAUCGAUUGAAACUCAGUUAUGAUAGGUUGCCUGACAAUGCCAGCAAAUCUUGUUUUAUAUAUCAUUCCAUGUUCCGAGAGGACUGGGAGGUUUUUAAUAUUCUUCUUGUAGAACUUUGGAUAGGGGAGGGGUUCUUGGGUGAAGUUCAUGACAUACAUGAAGCACGCGAUCAAGGGGGGAAAAUUAUUAAAACUUUAAAGCAUGCAUGUUUAUUGGAGAGUAGUGGUUCAAAAGAAGGAAGGGUUAAGAUGCACGAUGUGAUCCGGGACAUGGCUUUGUGGUUAUAUGGUGAACAUGGGGUGAAAAAGAACAAAAUUCUAGUAUACAAUAAAGUUGCCAGGCUUGAUGAAGAUCAAGAAACUUCCAAAUUGAGAGAAACAGAGAAGAUAUCAUUAUGGGAUAUGGAUGUUGGGAAGUUCCCAGAAACAUUGGUGUGCCCCAAUCUUAAGACUUUAUUUGUGAAAAAAUGUCAUAAUUUGAAGAAAUUUCCAAGUGGAUUCUUUCAAUUCAUGCUUCUACUAAGAGUUCUGGAUUUGUCAGACAAUGAUAAUUUAAGCGAGUUGCCUACUGGGAUUGGUAAAUUGGGUGCCUUGAGAUAUCUUAAUCUGUCACACACAAGAAUAAGGGAGUUGCCCAUUGAACUAAAGAAUUUGAAAAAUCUGAUGAUUUUGAUUAUGGAUGGUAUGAAAUCCCUUGAAAUUAUUCCACAAGAUAUGAUAUCAAGCCUUAUAUCCUUGAAGUUGUUCUCCAUUUACGAAUCCAAUAUUACAAGUGGAGUUGAAGAAACUGUACUGGAGGAGUUGGAGUCCUUGAAUGACAUCAGUGAGAUAUCAAUCACCAUAUGCAAUGCUCUUUCAUUCAACAAACUAAAGAGUAGUCAUAAAUUACAAAGGUGCAUACGUCAUCUACAUUUACAUAAAGGGGGGGAUGUGAUCUCACUUGACCUAUCAUCUUCAUUUUUUAAAAGAACGGAGCAUUUGAAGCAGCUUUAUAUAAGCCAUUGCAAUAAAUUGAAAGAAGUGAAAAUUAAUGUGGAAAGACAAGGGAUACACAAUGAUUUGACUCUUCCAAACAAAAUUGCAGCAAGGGAGGAAUACUUCCACACCCUUCGUGCUGUGUUUGUAGAACAUUGUUCAAAAUUGUUAGACUUAACAUGGCUUGUUUAUGCUCCAUAUCUUGAAAGACUUUACGUUGAAGAUUGUGAAUUGAUAGAAGAAGUGAUACGUGAUGAUAGUGAAGUCUGUGAAAUUAAGGAAAAAUUGGACAUAUUCUCAAGGCUCAAGUCCCUCAAGCUCAAUAGGUUGCCAAGAUUGAAGAGCAUCUACCAGCAUCCACUACUCUUUCCCUCUCUUGAAAUCAUCAAGGUGUAUGAAUGCAAAGGCUUAAGGAGUCUCCCGUUUGAUUCCAACACUUCAAAUAAUAGUCUGAAGAAAAUUAAAGGAGAGACAAGUUGGUGGAAUCAGUUGAAGUGGAACAAUGAAACUUGCAAGCACUCUUUUACUCCGUAUUUCCAAAUCCAUGAAGCUGAAGCAUAUUCAACUGACACUGAGGAGUCUGAAACUGGCAGCAUAGAUGAUGUGCAAGAACAACCGGUAUCAAAUUAACUUCUAUCAAUCUUUCAGGUAUUAAUUAACUUUUAUACUAUAUUUGGAAAAUCAUUUUCUUUCCUUAAUCCCAUUCUUUUGUGGAAUUUUUUACUCUAUAUAUCUAUGCCAAAGUGCAUCAAAGUCUCAACAUCAUAAUAACUUUCAAUGUUUGAUCUAUCAAGUUUGCCCCCUUUUGAAGUAACUGUUAUAAAGUUUGCCCAGAAGGGACUUUGAAGGAGGUCUUUUAUUUAAACAUCUAAUGACAUUUCCUUUUGGUUACUUGAGAACUUGAAAAUGUGCAGAGUUCUCAACUAUAUUGUUUAUUGUGUCUUAAUUUUUUCGGUUCAUUUCAAUCUAUAAACAGAAAGAGAGAAUACCUAAUUUCAACUUAAUUCCUUAUAUUUCAAGUUGAAACAACAGGUGUUUCACAACAACUGUAGGUAAAGAUAUUCCAUUAAGAAUUCUCGCUUUGUUUAAUGUAUUUACCAGGACCAACUAUAUGUAAUUUCUCUUCUUUUGUUGAGUUGCCUCUAUCUGGUUGACUCUCAGUUGUUCUUUUUUUUCUUUUCUUUUUUCUAUUGCAUUCAGAGUUGGGGCUUGUUCUAGAAGUUCUGACAACAGCUGGGAUUCAAUUAGCUCUAUCUAGUGGAGCCUUGAGGUUUUUGGUUGGAUGCAGAGCAGGGUCUUGUUCUACCCCUUCUUACUCAGUUGGGAUCUGAGCUUCAUCGGCUGCUUCCGUUGUCCUGCUCUUUUUCCUUCUAAUUGGUAUAGACGUGAGCUGGAUUAUGUUUGCUUGCUGGUCUGAGUUUCUGAUAUGUUUUGUGGCGGUGUGCUGAUUCUCAGAGUAUCGUUAUUCAUGGUGCUCAGUCUGCUGGGAAAGUUGGUUAAUGUCCAGAUGCAGGGGCUCAUCUCGGCAGGCUUUGGCUGGGAUCCAUGUGUUUGCUGGAAUUGGAUUCUGUGGGUUGCCUUUGGCUUUUGAUGUAGGCUGGGUUUGUUUUCUUUGUUGAGGUCAGUGGAGUAUGGUGGCUCAGAAGCUGCUAGUAAUCUGCCUGUUGUAUGCCGACGCUGGAAUCUUCAUGGUGGUUGCUCUGGUGGGUCAAUAUGAUAUGGGAAUGCUUUUGCCUUUUUGAGUCCUUGGGCGUCAGCUGGUUGCUUGUGUUUCCUCUGCACUUUAGCUCAUAUACCAGAGUGCAUACUUCCUUGAGUUCCAUAUCCCACUGCCAAGUGUGUUGUCCAUGAUGUAAUGUAAAGCAGUUAAUUUGUAUACCUGGCCUUAAGUUCCUCUCUAGAAAACUUUGAACGCCCUUUAUGAAUGAAAUGUUGUGAGAAAAACUGGAGUUGAUUUUCACAUUUGAGGUCGUUAAUGGUGAUUUUUCUUAAUGUAAUUGUGAUGGAAAAGAAAUUUGAUCAAGGAGUCGAAAUCAUAAGCAGAGUCGAUCUUAUUCAACAUUGCAUUAUAAUUUGGUACCCCUCACAGAUCGCUCUAAAUAGCAUUGAAAAGUACUUUCAUUUUCCUUCAGUGGAGGCUUCUUUUUCUUUGCUGGUUAAUAUUCAUAGCUUCAGUGCUUGAUGAAAUUUCAUUACUUUACAUUGUUCACUCUUGUCCCUCCUGCUCUAAUAAGAAUGAUUUGUUCAAGGAAUUUGAAAAUACUUGAACAAAAAAAGAAAAGAAUAGGAGAGAAAGGAAAAGAAAUUCAGAAAGCAAACACUUGGUAGUUUCCAUUUCAAUUAACCGAUCUUUGAAACUAAGAUGUAAUUCUUGGUACAAUAAAAGAAGACAUGCAACAUCUUAAGAAGAUUCAUCUAAUGGAACACACCAUCCUAUGAUAGGAAACUGAGACUAAACAGUAAUUUUUGGUAGAAUAGAUAUCGCAUGCCAAAAAGAAUGUUUUGUAGCUUUGGAUGCUUCAAAAUUCUUGUACGUAUAGCCCACAGACCUUUCGAGAUCAUACUUGUUUCUUUAGGCCUGUUUGAACAUACGGCUCUCGCGGAAGAUCUUACAAGUUUAAGAGUUCAUAUUGUCCAUGAAAUCACAGGAAAAGAAAAGGAUGUAUAAUCAAGUUCAUGAAAAAUAAAGAGAUGGCUUAUUAAAUUUCACAAGUAUGGGACAUCUAAAACACUUUGAGUUUCCAUUUAUGGGGCAAUUCCCAUCAAGUCCAAUGAUUGACCACCAAUGACUCGAAAAUCGAAACAUAGAAUGUGUUGCAUAUAAUUGAUGUUGCCUAAUUCUAAUAUUUCUCAUUUAUAUUAAUUUAUUCUCAUUCCUAUCCUAAUAAAAUUUUUUAAAUAAAAUAGGAUGGAUAUGAGAAUUUCUCAUACCCGUCUUAUACCAUUUAUUUAUUAAUUUUUAGUUUUUAAAAAAUUGAAAAUAAAUAUAUUUUAUAAAUAAAUAAAUAUUAACCUUGCAUGGUGCCCGCCCGCGAGCCAAGCCAAGGUGGCACGGGGCCUUGCUUGGUGCCCGCCCGCGAGCCAAGCCUAGGUGGCACGGGGCCUAUAAAUUUUGUAACUUAUUUUAUUUAAAAAUAUAUUUAUAAAAUUAUUUUAUAUGUUAAAAAAAGAAGAAUAUGAAAAACCAUAAAUUAAAUUAUUUUUAAAUUUAAUUAUAUGGGUUGGAAAGUGGUGGGUUAGGAGCCUAGGACAAGGCAUAUCUUGAACCUUGCCCCUAACCAACCCUAGUUUUUUUUUUUUAAAAAAAAAAAAAAAAAAUUCUUGAACUUGUAUAUGAUCUAUUUAUCUUCAUUUAAAUCUAUCUUAUUAAAGAUGAGUAUAGGAAAAAACCUGUCUCAUUGUCAUGUUAAUCAUAAAUUAUUUUAAUUUAAAUUUAGACACCAACAAAUAUUUAAAUUAAAUUAAAAAUGCUUAUGCAAUCAAGGGCUUUUUAGUUGCAGAAAAAUUGUGUACCUUCCUUGACAUUCUAGAUCCAGUUCUUGCUGGUUUUGGAGGAUCCAUUUGAGGAACAAUUUAAAUUUAUUCACAAAUACAAUUAUUCAAAAAGGCAUCAUGUUGAACACAAGCAAAAUAAGUAAAAAUAUUAAUAGAAAUGGAUGGAAGCAGAGUGCCUUUGGUGAGGUGGAUCACUAGCAAGCUCCAUUAACUACCAAGGAUUGCUUCACAACCUCUUAGUAUAUUAUUAAGUCAAAAGUAAAAUUAUUAAAGUUGAAUAAAUAGGUGGCAAUUUUGAUAAGCCAGAAUAACACCAUUCGAAAAUUAUAUGAAUUUUAGUAGGUUUGAAUAAGGUGUAAUCAUAUCCGUAUAAUAAUUAUGUCAACUCAUUUGCUAAAUGGACUGUAUUGGAACUUGAUUACUCGACUUAUCUAACUCACUUAACUUGUUUAAAUACAUGUAUGAGAUGUAUUUGCAUUGUCUAAUUAUAGUUCCUAUUGGAGAAUCAACUACUAUCAAUUUCACAGGAUGAAAUUAUAAUUAGUCAAUAUUACUUGAAAGUGAAAUCUCUUAUUCAAAAAUAUCUCAUUAAAUUUGAAAAGCUAAAAUUAUCAAGUAGAAGGUUAAAGGAACCAUUGAGCAUAUUUUAAAAUUCGAAUAUAAUGUAUUUAUUGUUGUAAUUCAAGCCUAAUAUUUAUUAUUUAUUAUUAAAAAUAUAAUUUUAUGUCUAAUUUUUAUAUUUAAGAUAAUUUAGCACAUUUGAACAAUAUUUUGAGAAUAAGAUUGAAGCAUCUAAUUUGACUAAUUGGAUAACAGAUUGGACUAAUCUGAUCUUAUUUUUCAUAUUUAUCCACCUUCCAUUCUGGGAUAAACAUGAACAAAAGUCUUCAUACGAUUAUAACAAUAUAACAAAAUAAUGAGUAUAAUAUUAAAUCUAAAAUAAAAACUUUACACAAAUUGGUAUAAAACCAAGUAUGAUAAUCCUAAACCAACCCCCGUAGAAAAAGACUUAAAUAUAUAAAAGACUACUAAAUAAAUGAGAAAUGAUGUAACAAGAUAUAUAUUAAAAAUAAUAAUAUUUUAAUAUUUUAAUUAUUUUUAUAAUUUUAACUUGUUAUAUUAUUUUAAAUUUGAACAAUAUAUGAACUAGAUAUCCAUGUUGUCAUGCCGAUAUCAUGUUUCAAUCACUUGAAUCAUCAAUUCAAUCAAGAAAUUGUAAUGCAAUAAUUUACCAACUCAAUGACUAAUAAGAUUUUGAGAACAUUGUAUUUGAAAGCUCAUAUGCAUAAAAUGAAUAUAAAAGAUUAUGAACUCUUGCAAAAAAUGAUGUUAUGGAAACCCAAACCUUAAUUUCUUCAAUAAUGCUUAUAAAAAAUCUAAGGUUGUGUAAUUGAGAAUGCUAAUGACCCAAGGUUAGAACCGGUUGCUCCUAACCAGACUUGUUCUUAUUUUUUAAACAUAUUCCCAUCUUCAUCUCAAAUCUAUAGGAAUUUACUUUCCUAUUUUAAGAAAAUUAAUUUUUAUUUUUAUUUUACAUAUAUUGAAAAAGGCAAAAGAAAAAUUAAGGUGAAGUAACAUGAAUCACUAUAAAACUAGAAUGAAUAUAUAUAUUUAUAUAAAAGAAGGCAAUUUAAAAUGUGUGUUUGACCGAUUUUUUUAAGUGUUUUUAAUAGAAGUAUUUUUUCUAAAGGUACUUUUGGAAGAAUUAACUAUCAAAUGUUUUUUUAAGAGACAUUACAAGUGAUUUUUCAUCUAUUUAAAAGUGUUUUUAAAAUUUUAUUAAAUACUUAAUUUUUUUUCAAAAACACUUUUUAAACUAAAAAUACCUUUUUAAAAAUAUUAUCAAAAAUGGAAUCAAAAUCUUAAAACAAAAUCUCAAAUCUACCCUUUAUUUAAUUAUAUUUUUCCAACCCAUCCUAUUGGGCCUAGACAUUACAAGUGAUUGGUCGUGUUUUUUAAAUUUUAUCAAAUGCUUAAUUAUUUUUCAAAAACAUUUUUUAAACUAAAACAUUUUCAAAAAAUAUUUUUUAAAAAUAUUAUCAAAUGGAAUCAAAGUCUUAAAACAAAAUCUCAAAUCUACCCUUGAUUUAAUUAUAUAUAAUACCCACCCCGAUUAUAAUACAAAAGCAAACCACCACCAAAGACAUUUAAACGACAUUUUAAAUACAAUUGAAACCUAUCAAUGAGACUUUGUCUCAUAAUACAAAUUUCGUUAUGUUCACAUGUAGAAAGGGACAUGUAAACAUAUACAACAGAAAGCGUGGAAUCAAGAGGGAAGAGAGUAGAAAGUUACGAAGUGGGAGCCUCGGCUAAAAUUAAUAAUGGCAUUAUAAUGUGCGUGUCUCAUCGCUGGAUGGACCAAAUUUUGCUUCUCCCAAAGAUAUUUGAAUGUUAUAAUUAGAGCCCACUUGAUGCUUAGAAAAAUAUAUUUGCAUGUGGUCUCCAUCUGUCAAUCUAUUAAUCUAUACAAUAUUAAAAAUCCACUUGAUGUUAAUUUAGGAAAAUUAUUUUAUUUUGUUGGUGAUGACCUGUCUCCCAUGUUACUCAAGUUUCAACUCUGGACUUUUCAAAUUCACACAGUGCAGUGCAGUGAUUCAUCUUUCUUCUCUGCUCCAUCUUUGGCUGAAUUCUAAUCCUAUUUUCUGUAACUUCCGGAAAGCUAUGGAGUUCCUGAGCUCAAUCUUGGGUCUUGUUCCAUGCUUAUAUAUGUGAUCACACCUCCAAGCAUACGGUCUACAUUCGUGAUCUGAAGAAAAAUCUCCAAGCCUUGAGCAAGGAAAUGGUGGAUCUCAAGCUGUAAUUCGAGGAAUGACCAAUUCAGUGCUUUCAUGUUCCAAUCUGAAUGAUUUACAGUAUAAUAUAGUGGUGAUGAAGACAAGCAUGAAACCAUGAGGACAGAGUGUGGAGCCAAGGGUCAAGUGGCAUCUAUACGCAUCUUGUUGUGAGAAGGAAGAAAUUAAAGAAAUGGUGGGGCCUAUACAAAAGAUAUGCUCAUAUCUCUUUUCGAAAAGAAAAGACAGAAUAAUUGAGCGACCCAGCUUUACGCAUCAUUCAACCAACUUUCCCCUUUGAAAAAUCUUAUAAUGGCGUAUUGCAUCAGGUUCUUUGAAUUACCAAACCCCUGUCUCUUCUCUCUUCAUUGCAAACCCUCAUCCCUUUUCCUCUUUGGCUAAAUUUUGGUCUCCGCUGGUGGUGGCGUGUCUCCCAUGUUACUCAAGUUUUAGCUCUGGAGUUUUUAAUUAACAAAUGCUGUGAUUCAUCUUUCUUCUUAGUUUGUUCCAUCUUUGGCUGAAUUCUAAUCCUUUUUUCUGUAACUUCCGGAAAGCUAUGGAGUUCGUGAGCUCAAUCGUGGGUUUGGUCCCCUGCUUCUAUGAUCACACCUCCAAGCACACGGUCUACAUUCGUGAUCUGAGAAAAAAUCUCCAAGCCUUGAGCAAAGAAAUGGUGGAUCUGAACAACUUGUAUGAAGAUGUGAAGGAAAGGGUAGAACGUGCAGAGCAACAACAGAUGAAGCGCAGAAAGGAAGUGGGUGGGUGGAUCCGUGAAGUAGAAGCCAUGGAGAAAGAAGUCCACGAAAUUCGGCAAAGAGGAGAUCAAGAAAUCCAGAAGAGUUGUCUCGGAUGCUGUCCCAGGAAUUGUUGGUCUAGCUACAGGAUUGGAAAGGCAGUAAGUGAAAAGCUGGUUGCUGUAUCUGGUCAAAUCGGCAAAGGACAUUUCGAUGUUGUAGCCGAGAUGUUGCCUCGUCCUCCAGUUGAUGAACUGCCAAUGGAGGCGACUGUGGGCCCACAAUUGGCGUAUGAAAAGAGCUGUAGGUUUCUCAAAGAUCCACAAGUGGGAAUUAUGGUAUUGUAUGGAAUGGGGGGUGUUGGCAAAACCACCCUUUUGAAGAAAAUCAACAAUGAAUUCCUUGCAACAUCCAAUGACUUUGAGGUUGUGAUUUGGGCAGUGGUGUCAAAAUCGCCCGACAUUGAAAAAAUUCAGCAAGUUAUUUGGAAUAAAUUGGAAAUCCCACGUGAUAAAUGGGAAACUAGAAGCAGUAGGGAGGAGAAGGCUGCAGAAAUAUUGAGAGUUCUGAAAAGAAAAAGGUUCAUCUUGUUGUUGGAUGACAUUUGGGAGGGACUUGAUCUCCUAGAAAUGGGGGUCCCGCGUCCAGAUACUGAAAAUAAGUCCAAGAUAGUUUUGACGACCCGAUCACAGGAUGUCUGCCACCAAAUGAAAGCUCAGAAGAGUAUAGAAGUGGAAUGUUUGGAGUCAGAAGAUGCCUGGACUUUGUUCCGGAAGGAGGUAGGAGAAGAAAUAUUAAAUUCUCAUCCGGAUAUACCGAUGCUUGCAAAGGUUGUUGCUGAAGAGUGCAGAGGUUUACCUCUCGCUCUUGUCACUCUUGGGCGGGCCAUGGCAGCUGAGAAAGAUCCCUCAAACUGGGACAAGGUAAUACAAGAUCUACGCAAAUCUCCAGCUGAAAUCACAGGUAUGGAAGAUAAAUUGUUUCAUCGAUUGAAACUCAGUUAUGAUAGGUUGCCUGACAAUGCCAGCAAAUCUUGUUUUAUAUAUCAGUCCAUCUUCCGAGAGGACUGGGAGAGUUAUAAUUUUGAACUUAUAGAACUUUGGAUAGGGGAGGGGUUGUUGGGUGAAGUUCAUGACAUACAUGAAGCACGCGAUCAAGGGGAGAAAAUUAUUAAAACUUUAAAGCAUGCAUGUUUAUUGGAGAGUUGUGGUUCAAGAGAAAGAAGGGUUAAGAUGCAUGAUGUGAUCCGGGACAUGGCUUUGUGGUUAUAUGGUGAACAUGGGGUGAAAAAGAACAAAAUUCUAGUAUACAAUAAGGUUGCUAGGCUUGAUGAAGAUCAAGAAACUUCCAAAUUGAAAGAAACAGAGAAGAUAUCAUUAUGGGAUAUGGAUGUUGGGAAGUUCCCAGAAACAUUGGUGUGCCCCAAUCUUAAGACUUUAUUUGUGAAAAACUGUUAUAAUUUGAAGAAAUUUCCAAAUGGAUUCUUUCAAUUCAUGCUUCUACUUAGAGUUUUGGAUUUGUCAGACAAUGAUAAUUUAAGCGAGUUGCCAACUGGGAUUGGUAAAUUGGGUGCCUUGAGGUAUCUUAAUUUGUCAGUCACAAGAAUAAGGGAGUUGCCCAUUGAACUAAAGAAUUUGAAAAAUCUGAUGAUUUUGAUUAUGAAUGGUAUGAAAUCCCUUGAAAUUAUUCCACAAGAUAUGAUAUCAAGCCUUAUAUCCUUGAAGUUGUUCUCCAUUUUCGAAUCCAAUAUUACAAGUGGAGUUGAAGAAACUGUACUGGAGGAGUUGGAGUCCUUGAAUGACAUCAGUGAGAUAUCAAUCACCAUAUGCAAUGCUCUUUCAUUCAACAAACUAAAGAGUAGUCGUAAAUUACAAAGGUGCAUACGUAAUCUAUUUUUACAUAAAUGGGGGGAUGUGAUCUCACUUGAACUAUCAUCUUCAUUUUUUAAAAGAACGGAGCAUUUGAGGGUGCUUUAUAUAAGCCAUUGCGAUAAAUUGAAAGAAGUGAAAAUUAAUGUGGAAAGAGAAGGGAUACACAAUGAUAUGACUCUUCCAAACAAAAUUGCAGCAAGGGAGGAAUAUUUCCACACCCUUCGUAAGGUGCUUAUAGAACAUUGUUCAAAAUUGUUAGACUUAACAUGGCUUGUUUAUGCUCCAUAUCUUGAACAUCUUCGUGUUGAAGAUUGUGAAUCAAUAGAAGAAGUGAUACAUGAUGAUAGUGAAGUCGGUGAAAUGAAGGAAAAAUUGGACAUAUUCUCAAGGCUCAAAUACCUCAAGCUCAAUAGGCUGCCAAGAUUGAAGAGCAUCUAUCAGCAUCUGCUACUCUUUCCCUCUCUUGAAAUCAUCAAGGUGUAUGAAUGCAAAGGCUUAAGGAGUCUCCCAUUUGAUUCCGACACUUCAAAUAAUAGUCUGAAGAAAAUUAAAGGAGAGACAAGUUGGUGGAAUCAGUUGAAGUGGAACAAUGAAACUUGCAAGCACUCUUUUACUCCGUAUUUCCAAAUCCAUGAAGCUGAAGCAUAUUCAACUGACACUGAGGAGUCUGAAACUGGCAGCAUAGAUGAUGUGCAAGAACAACCGGUAUCAAAUUAACUUCUAUCAAUCUUUCAGGUAUUAAUUAACUUUUAUACUAUAUUUGGAAAAUCAUUUUCUUUCCUUAAUCCCAUUCUUUUGUGGAAUUUUUUACUCUAUAUAUCUAUGCCAAAGUGCAUCAAAGUCUCAACAUCAUAAUAACUUUCAAUGUUUGAUCUAUCAAGUUUGCCCCCUUUUGAAGUAACUGUUAUAAAGUUUGCCCAGAAGGGACUUUGAAGGAGGUCUUUUAUUUAAACAUCUAAUGACAUUUCCUUUUGGUUACUUGAGAACUUGAAAAUGUGCAGAGUUCUCAACUAUAUUGUUUAUUGUGUCUUAAUUUUUUCGGUUCAUUUCAAUCUAUAAACAGAAAGAGAGAAUACCUAAUUUCAACUUAAUUCCUUAUAUUUCAAGUUGAAACAACAGGUGUUUCACAACAACUGUAGGUAAAGAUAUUCCAUUAAGAAUUCUCGCUUUGUUUAAUGUAUUUACCAGGACCAACUAUAUGUAAUUUCUCUUCUUUUGUUGAGUUGCCUCUAUCUGGUUGACUCUCAGUUGUUUUUUUUUUCUUUUCUUUUUUCUAUUGCAUUCAGAGUUGGGGCUUGUUCUAGAAGUUCUGAGAACAGCUGGGAUUCAAUUAGCUCUAUCCAGUGGAGCCUUGAGUUUUUUGGUUGGAUGCAGAGCAGGGUCUUGUUCUACCCCUUCUUACUCAGUUGGGAUCUGAGCUUCUUUGGCUGCUUCCGUUUCGUCCUGCUCUUUUUCCUUCUAAUUGGUAUAGACGUGAGCUGGAUUAUGUUUGCUUGCUGGUCUGAGUUUCUGAUAUGCUUAGUGGUGGUGUGCUGAUUCUCAGAGCAUCGCUAUUCAUGGUGCUCAGUCUGCUGGGAAAGUUGCUUAAUGUCCAGAUGCAGGGGCUCAUCUCGGCAGGCUUUGGUUGGGAUCCAUGUGUUUGCUGGAAUUGGAUUCUGUGGGUUGCCCUUGGCUUUUGAUGUAGGCUGGGUUUGUUUUCUUUGUUGAGGCCGGUGGAGUAUGGUGGCUCAGAAGCUGCUAGUAAUCUGUCUGUUGUAUGCUGACGCUGGAAUCUUCAUGGUGGUUGCUCUGGUGGGUCAAUAUGAUAUGGGAAUGCUUUUGCCUUUUUGAGUCCUUGGGCGUCAGCUGGUUGUUUGUGUUUCCUCUGCGCUUUAGUUCAUAUACCAGAGUGCAUACUUCCUUGAGUUCCAUAUCCCACUGCCAAGUGUGUUGUCCAUGAUGUAAUGUAAAGCAGUUAAUUUGUAUACCUGGCCUUAAGUUCCUCUCUAGAAAACUUUGAACGCCCUUUAUGAAUGAAAUGUUGUGAGAAAAACUGGAGUUGAUUUUCACAUUUGAGGUCAUUAAUGGUGAUUUUUCUUAAUGUAAUUGUGAUGGAAAAGAAAUUUGAUCAAGGAGUCGAAACCAUAAGCAGAGUCGAUCUUAUUCAACAUUGCAUUAUAAUUUGGUACCCCUCACAGAUCGCUCCAAAUAGCAUUGAAAAGUACUUUCAUUUUCCUUCAGUGGAGGCUUCUUUUUCUUUGCUGGUUAAUAUUCAUAGCUUCAGUGCUUGAUGAAAUUUCGUUACUUGACAUUGUUCACUAUUGUCCCUCCUGCUCUAAUCACAAACAAAUGCCCCAAUAAAUAAGAAUGAUUUGUUCAAGAAAUUUGAAAAUACUUGAACAAUAAAAGAAAAGAAUAGGAGAGAAAGGAAAAGAAAUUCAGAAAGCAAACACUUGGUAGUUUCCAUUUCAAUUAACCGAUCUUUGAAACUAAAAUGUAAUUCUUGGUAGAAUAAAAGAAGACAUGCAACAUCUUAAGAAGAUUCAUCUAAUGGAACAUACCAUGCUACAAUUGGAAACUGAGACUAAAUAGUUGUUUUGGUAGAAUAGAUAUCGCAUGCCAAAAAGAAAGUCUUGUAGCUUUGACUGCUUCAAAAUUCUUGUACAUAUAGCCCACAAACCUUUCGAGAUCAUACUUGUUUAUUCAAGCCUGUUUGAACAUACGGCUCUAGCGGAAGAUCUUACAACUUUAGGAGUCCAUAGUGUCCAUGAAAUCACAGGAAAAGAAAAGGAUGUAUAGUCAAGUUCAUGAAAAAUAAAGAGAUGGUUUAUUAAAGUUCACGAGUUUGGGACAUCUAAAACACUUUAAUUGUGUUUGGUUGAGUCUCCAUUUAUGGGGCAAUUCCCAUCAAGUCUAAUGAUUGACCACCAAUGACUUGAAAAUUGAAGCAUUGGAUGUGCCGCAUGUAGUUGAUGUUGCAUUAUUGAGGGUGGUUAUAUUAUAAAUUAAAUAGGCAUGCUAAGAGCAUGAGUUACAGAUUACCCGAUCCUGACUUGUCUCAUUUAUAUUAAUCUAUUCUCAUUCCUAUCCUAACAAAAAAUUUUAAAUGAGGAUGGAUGGAUAUGAGAAUUUCUCAUACCCGCCUUAUAUCAUUUAUUUAUUUAUUUUAGUUUUUUAACAAUUAAAAAUAAAAAUAUUUUAUAAAUAAAUAAAUUUUAUAACUUAUUUUAUUUAAAUAUAUAUAUAUAUAUAUAUAUAUAUAAUUAUUUUAUGUGUUCAAAAGAAGAAAAUGAAAACCAAUAAAUUAAAUUAUUUUUAAAUUUAAUUAUACAGCUUGGAAAGUGGUGGGUUAGUACAAGGCAUAUCUUGAACCCUGCCCCUAACCAACCCUAGUUUUAAAACAAAAACAAAAAUGUUGAAUUUGUAUCUAAUCAAUUUAUCUUCAUCUAAACUUGUCUCCCUAAACGUAAGUAUUUGAAAAAAUUUGUCUCAUUAUCAUCUUUAAUCAUAAAUUUUUUUUAAUUUAAAUUUAGAUACCAACAAACAUUUAAAUUAAAUUAAAAAUUCUUAUGCAAACAAGGGCUUUUCAGUUGCAGAAAAAUUGUGUACCUUCCUUGACAUUCUAGAUCCAGUUCUUGCAUUUUUUUGGAGGAUCCACAUAAGGAACAAUUUAAAUUUAUUCACAAAUACAAUUAUUCAAAAAGGCAUCAUACUGAACACAAGCAAAAUAACUACAAAUGUUAAUAGAAAUGGAUGGAAGCAUACAGGUGUAGAGAAUAUAAAAAAAAGAUUAUGAAGCCAAAAAUAAAAUAAAAAUAAAUAAAAAUAAAUAAAAGUAUAUGGUGGUUUAUUAUUGUUCAGGCCUAAUAAUUGAUUGUACAUGUCAAUGGGCCUAAUAUUAUUGCUCCGGCCUUUAUUCUAGAUGUCCAGGCCCUGUCAUUGCCUGAGUGUGAGGUCAUGGCUCGUUCUCUGUAUAGGUAGGUUCAUCCCUUGUCCAUUUGUAUACUUUUGAUCCAUGUGGUCAAGCCAACUUGGCUGUUGGGUACUUCAGGUGCGAUACCUUCUAUCCUACUUCUUACCCAAUUGAGUGAUUUAUCUUAGACGUCAUGGGGUCAUACACCUCUAAAACUUGAGUUGGUGGACUACCUUUCCCAGUUCUGAUCUCUCAGAUUCUUUCAUGGGCUUGAGUUCUAGCAUGAGCUUCUCGUUCUCCCCUACCCUGGUCCUAUAGUACUAUUUAUUUUUCAAACUUGCCCCUAGAUUUUUUUUAGUAUAAAAAGUACUAUUUUGUUGAAUUUAAAAAAACUCAUAGGAACAUAACCUUUCAAUAAGCUUAAACCUCUAUCUCUCAAAACUUUCAAAAUCCUUCUUGAAAGUCUCUUUUGGCUAAACAAAUAUUUGAGACUCACAUUGUAUAUGCUUUAAUAAGGGCUUUGAGGGACUCGCUAAAAAUAUAGGUGACAAUUUUGAUAUGAUACAAUAACACAACUUGAAAAUGUUAUAAAUUUUAAUAGAUUCAGAUUAGGUAUAACAUAUUCAUAUUGUAAUCAUAUCAACUCAUAUGACCCAUUUAAUAAAAAUGUACGAUUAUCCAACCCCAUAUAGCUUGUUUACUAAUUCAUGCCAAACAAACCAAUUUAUCUAAUCGUAUCAAAAUGAUGUUUAACUCAUAUAAAAUUAUUAAUAUUAUAUAUUUCAAAAUUAUAUAAAAAAAAUACUUAUUAGUUAUAAAUAUGAUAUAGUUAAAAAAUGAAGUAACUAAGUAAAAUUUUAUACAUUUCAUUGUAAAUAUUAAAAUUAUUUUAUCAUUAGAACAUUAGAUAGAAUUAUAAACAAGCGUAAAAUUAAAAUUUUAAUGUAUUUUUAUAUUAUAAACAUUUUCUAAUUUAAAUUUUAUAAUUAAAUUAGUUAAAAUUUUAAAAACAUAAAAUGUAUUUCAAAUAAUACAUUUAUAAAUUUUAAAUAGGUUAAACAUGCUAAAAUUGUAUUAACAUGUUAAAGAGUUAUAAUCAUAUUAAUAUGUUAAACGAGUUAAAAUAGGCUAACCAUGUUAGAAUUGUAUUAGUAAGUUACACAAGUUCAAGUUGUGUUAACAUAUUAAACGGAUUAGAAUCAUGUUAAUGGGUUCAACGACUAUUAAUAUGUUUCAUAUGUUAGAAUUGUAAUAACAGGUUAUCUAUGUCAAUUUAUACAAAGAUUAACUUAACCCGUCUAUUAAAUUAGUUUUGUUUGAAUUUGGUCAUUUUAAUACAAUUCUUAAAUAAAUUGUAUUCCUAUUGAGUAAAUUUUCACUAUUUUUUAUCUUAACAUUAUACAAAUCCAACACGUAUGAUAUCACCUAUUGUCACCCCUAACUAAGGAGCAUAUGAGUGUUGCACUGAGGAACCAGAAGAAGAGUGUAAAUACUAUUUAUAAAAAACUUUUGGAAGUGGAAGCAUUCUAUCAAGUAAAGUUGUGUUAACUUUUUUUCAUAGUUAGUGGAUUAUUCAAUGGUCAAGAGACCAACUAUGGUUUUUUACGCCUAAGGAUUUCCAGGUAGGUUCCACAUUAAAUUCUAUAUCUAAUUGUAUAAUUAGAAAGAUCGUGCAUGAGAUUGAUAACAUAUUAAUCAUAAUUGAAUCAUAAUAAAAUAAUUUAACUUUGGGGUUAAUUGAUUGAACUAUGUAUGUAUGGAUAUUUUAUAUUUUUUUAACUUUAAAUUAAUUAUUAUGUUGGGAAAUGGAAUAAGGGAAUAGUUGGCUCCAUUUUCAAUCUUGGUAACAUAAUUUGUUGUUGACAUGUUAUUUUAUCUUAUUUUAUAUAUUUUGUAGGAUAAAAAUAUAUAAUCAAGUGCUCUUGUAUGAUUGAUUUAGAUGUUAGAAAAAGUUACAAAACAUUAAUUCUAUUUGACUGAUGACAAAAACUUUUAAUUGCCAACAAUUUUUUUUAUAAACUUUAAGUUGCUAGCAUUCAUAUGUUAUUCUAAAGUUAUUAAUUAUAAUUUUAUAUAAGUUGAAUCACAAUUCUUGGGUAAAUGAAGAAGUAUUUAUUGACAAGAUACUUGUUUAUAUUGGAAGUUUUUAGUUUGAUUUGUUAUUGAAUUCAAAUUCUUAGUAGCUAGCUUUGAAUAUUAUCUAGUUGCAUUGGUUUUUGUUGUAAGUUCGAUUUUUAUAUUGUUUCCACACAUGAUGUUUAUUAAUUGAGAAUGCUAAUGAUUCGAGGUUAGAAUCGGUCACUCCUUACUAAACUUAUUCUUUUAGGCUAUGUUUGGUUGGCCGAAUAUAAUAUAUAAUAGAAUAAGAGAAAUGAUAUUAUAUCAUAUUCCAUCUUUAGUUGAAGAUGAGAUAUGAUAAAUUAUUUCAUUGCUUAUUAUAUACUAUGUUUAACUAAAUAUGAGAUAUGAUAAGUGAUGAUAUAUUACUCACUUUUUUUUUAAUCUCUUAUACAUGAAAUAUGUUAAUUUUAUGCUAAGAUAUAAGAAAUGCAUAUCUCAUAUAUCAUAAAUUUAUUUUUUAUCAAUUUUUUUAUAUAUUUAUUUUGUAAAAUAAUUUUUUUUUAUUAUAAAAUUAAAUUUAUAGUUAAAAAAGAAAAACUAAAAAAAUAUUUAUAAAUAGCAUUAACAUAUGAUAUAUAGAUUACUUUUUAUGUAUUAAAUAACAUAACAUAACAUAAACAUUUUUUAUUUGUAAAAUUUAAAUAUUUUAAUCAUGACUAUUUUUAAACAUAAAAGAAAUUUCAUUUUUUUUAAAUGGAAAAUAUUGGAAUGUGAUAUAAUUUUUAUUUUAAACAUUGAAAAUAAUAUAUAUAUAUAUAUAUUUAUUAUUUUUAUUCAUUUCAUAAAUUAAAUAUAAAUAUAAUAUAAUAUAUCUAAUUAGAUAUGUCACAUUAGAAUAUCAUAUUCAUAGGAUAUAUAUAUUUAAGGAUAUCAUAUCCUAUUAAAAAUUAUAUUUUAGGAUAUCAUUCUUUUUACCACAAGAGAGCAACAAUUGCUUUUAAUCGGUAAAAUUUGUAUGUGUACUAAAGUUGCACUGCCUAAUGUAAAGUGUUGGCUCCGCCACUGUGUUGCACCUCAAGCCACCACCAAGUCUCCUCAUGAUGCCCUUGUAAGCCUUGAUUAUCACAUUACCUUGGUGUCACAUUCUCCAAGUCAAGGUGUUAAUACUCUUCUAUGUUUACAAACAUAAUUUGGUCACCAUUUAUUAACUUAUAAGUCUCUAUAACCAUAAAAAAAAAUUUAAACAUACUAUUAGAACAAGGCUCUAUAUUUUGGGUUUUGAUAUCCAAUGAAAUAUGAUAUUUUAAGAAAUACAUAUUUUAUUAAGUUCUAUCCCGCCAAUGAAAUGUAACUUUAAAUGUAUUCUCAUUUUUAUUCUGCAUCUUUAUCCGAAAUCCAGGAGUUUACUUUUUUGUUUUAAGGUAAUUCAUUUUUUAUUUUAUUUUAUGUGUAUUAAAAAAAUAAAAGAAAAAAUAAGGAGUAACAUCAAUCAUUAUAAAGCCUGAAUCAAUCCCAAACAUUCAUAAGAAGACAAUUUAAGUCUUAAAAUAAAAUCCCAAAGCUACUUCUGACUAGACUACGCGUUUUGAUGACAUUUCACUUGAAAAUAAUGCAGAGUUUUCACUUAUAUUAUAUACUGUCUGAAUUUUAUUUUUGAUUCAUUUCGAUCUAUAAACAGAAACGGAAUACCCAGUUUUGAAGUAUCAACUUCAUUCCAACUUAUAUUUCAAGUUAAAUAAUAGAUAUUCCAUUCAGAAUUCUUGCAUUGUAUGAUGUGUUUACGAGGGUAAUUUCUCUUCUCUUGUUCAGUUGGCUCUGAUCAGUUUUUCCUUUUGUCCUUUUAUUGCAUUUAGAGUUGGGGCUUGUUCUAGCAGUUCUGGCAACAGCCGGGUUGAUCUUCUUCACAUAGAUUGGGGUACUUCUGUUUUUUCUGAUUGGAGAUGUGCUGCUCUUUCUCCUCGUACUUGGUAUUCGGGUGAGAGGUGGAUUAUGUUUGCUUGCUUGCUGGUCUGAGUUUCUGAUAUGUUUUGUCACGGUGGCAUGAGUGCUGAUUCUCAGAGCAUUGAUAUUUUCAUGGUGCUGAGACUGCUGGGAAGGUUGUAGCAUCCUUUUCGUUUCUGGCUGGAAUUGGAUUCUGUGUGUUGGCUUUGCUCUCUGGUUUCUUCACCUAAUUCAACAGAGCCACAUGCUUUGGUCCAUAUAUCAGACUGCUGCACCUAAUUCAGGGAUGAUGAAGUGAUCUUAUUCAACGUUGCAUUCUAAUUCCUCUCAUUUUCAUAUCUAUUUUCUACCUUGCUAUAUUCAAUAUCCAUUCUGUGAGUUGAAUGACCCAUGUUUUUAUUUUUCUAAGAAAUUCUCUAUCAUUUCAUCAUAACAUCCAGAGGAAACAUAGACAGGAAUUUCUCAUUUUUCAUUCGAGAGCAUUUAGAUCUUCCAACACCAACCUCACUGAACAUGACCGCAAAAUUCCUUCGAUUUUGGACUUAAAAUUAUGUUAGUACCCAUUGGACAAUCCAUUAGGUCACAGUUUGACCUAACUUGAUUCUUUCUUACCCAUGUCUUUUCCUUUGAAUUUUGGGGUGCCCUAUAAUUCAAGUCAAUGAAUUUGGACAAAUCAAAUCAAUUUUUUUCCCAAUUGAUGCCAAGGAAUAUCCAUAUGAUUCAAACAAUAUUUACAUUGUUUGUUUGAAUUUUGCCUAAAGUAUUCAUGAUUGUGUCCAAACAAAAUGCGUAUUAAUGACAUUAGUAAUGACACAAGUGCUUGGUUUUGACAUUUUCAAUAUUUGCAUUCCCAUUACUAAUUUUUGUUUCCCCCUUUCUUUUUCUUUUUUUUCAUUUUUUGUUUGUUUUGAACUGGUGCUUCCUUCCUCAUUCAUUCUACUUUUGUUUUUUGAAAAACAUUUGUCUCUUUUGCACACAUCCUAAAAAGCCCAAAAGCAUUUUUUUUUUAACUUAAGCUUUUUUUUCAAUUUAUCUUAAAAUGAAAAUAAAAAAUACAAUUUUCUUAUUGAAGUGUUAUUUUGAUUUAUAGAUAAAGUUAUUUCAUAUUUUAUAAAUCUUUUACUCUAUUUAUUUUGUUCUUUGCAAAUUAUAAUUUGGCUCACUUCAACUUUGAAACAAAAUCAGAAUAAAAAAAAAUUAUAGCAAAUUAUGUUUUAAUCUGCUUUCCAAGUGGAAAAUACAAAUAAUGCAACCCGUAUCUGCAUAAAAUUAGUGCAUGAAACAUUACUUUUCAAUGGACUUGAAAAAAUAUUUUAAAACCAACAACUCCAAAAGUCAAUGGUCUCAAUAAUGUAGUGCAAUAGGUUUCCAAAAGAUGAAGGGUGUGAAGAUCCCUAAAAUGUUUUUGAGAGUAAGUGUUUCCAAAAGAUAUAAGCAAGUACGAAUUUCUUUAAAAUGUUUUUCAAUUGUUUUUUUACAUGGUUAUUUAAGUUGCCUAAUAAUAAAUCGUUUUCUAAUUUUUGUAUGAAUUAAAUAUUAUUAUUUUUCUAAAAUAAGAAGUAUGUUUAAUAAUUAAUUUAUCUAAGUAAUAAUAAUGACCAACAACCUUUUAGACCUAGUCUUUCAAUCGACUGAUUUAUUUUCUAGGUAUAAAUUAUCGGGAAGUAAAAUACAUGUAUUGAUGGAUUAAUUAAAGGGAGAGUUAAACCUGAGUUUCGACCCAAAAUAGUGUGUUUUAAAAAAAAAUUCCAAAAAAUAAAGUUGUUUUCAAAAUAAUGUCCGAUCUAAUGUGUCUGUGCCACAUAAGCUGUCACAUCAUAAAACCGUAGUUGGUGACUACGGUUUUAUUUUUCUAAAGUGGUUAGAAACCGUAGUUACCAACCACGGUUUUAACUUUAAGUUUAAAGCCGUAGUUGGUGACUACGGCUCUGAUUUUUUUUAAAAAUGGUCAAAGCCGUAGUCACCAACUGCGGUUUUAACUUUAUAUAUAUUUAUAUAUAACUUUAAUUUUUUUAAUAAAAAUAUUAUAUUAUUUUGAUUUUAAAUAUACUUAUUUCAUUAUUUUAAAAAUAAUAAUAUACGAAAUUAAAUAAUUGAUAUUUUUAAUUUGAUAUAAAAAUAUAUUUUUAAAUUUUAUUAAAACGCACUAUAUUUAAUAUAAAUAUAAUUAAUUAAUUAAAAUAAAAUAUAAUAAAUUAUAUUUAUUUAAAAUAAAUAAAUUAUAAAUACCUAUUUAUAAAAAUAAAAAAUAAUAUAAAUUAUUAUAUUAAUUAAUAAUUUUUAUAUAUUAUAUAUAAAUUUUAUAUAAUACCCCCCCACACACACACACACACACACACACACACACACACACACACACACACACACACACACACACACACACACACACACACACACACACACACACACACACACACACAUAUAUAUAUAUAUAUAUAUAUAUUUAAAAGUUUAAUUUAAGUUUAAAAUUUAUCACAUUUUUAUUUAAAUAUAUAAAUAAAUUUUAUUAAAACAAUUGACACUAUAUUUAAUAUAAAUAUAAUUAUUUAAUUAAAAUAAAAUAUAAAUAAAAUAUAAUAAAUUAUGUUUAUUUAAAAUAAAUAAAUUAUAAAUGCCUAUUUGGAGAAAAAAAUAAUAUAAAUUAUUAUAUUAAUUAAUAAUUUUUUUAUAUAUUAUAUGUAAGUAGUAUAUAAUAUCACACACACACACAUAUAUAUAUAUAUAUAUAUAUAAAAGUUUAAUUUAAUUUUAAAAUUUGGCAUAUUUAUUUAAAUAUAUAAAUAAAUUAUUAUCAUAUCGAUAUAAUAUUAUGAACUUAAAUUAAAAUAUGAUAAAUUUUAAACUUAAUUGAACUUAUAUACAUGUGACAUUAUAUACCACUUACAUAUAGUAUAUAAAAAAUUAUUAAUUAAUAUAAUAAUUUAUAUUAUUUGUUUUUUAAUAAGUUUUCAUAAUUUAUUAUAUUUUAUUUAUAUUUAAAUAUAAUUAACUAAAUAUAUUUAUAUUAAAUAUAGAUUAUAUUAUUUUAAUAAAAUUUUAAAAUAUAUUUAUAUCAAAUUAAAAAUAUUAAUUAUUUAAUUUCAUAUAUUAUUAUUAUUAAAAUAAUGAAAUAAGUAUAUUUAAAAUCAAAAUAAUAUAAUAUUUUUAUUAAAAAAAUUAAAAUUAUAUAUAAAUAUAUAAAGUUAAAACCGCAGUUGGUAACUACGGUUUCUAACCACUUUAGAAAAAUAAAACCGUAGUCACCAACUACGGUUUUAUGACGUGGCAGCUUAUGUGGCACAGACACAUUAGAUCGGGCAUUAUUUUGAAAACAACUUUAUUUUUUGGAAUUUUUUUUAAAAACACACUAUUUUGGGUCAAAGCUCGUUAAACCUUCUAAGACACUACCCAUCUCACUUGAGAAUGGAAAAUUGAAAGGCUACAAAUACAUCCUUAUUUCCCUCUUUCUAUAAAAAUGGUCUUCCAUAUCCUCUUAUCAAUUUCACUUCAAUUAUCCUUAAAAAAAUCACUUCACAACUUCAAAGAUUUGUGAGUAAAAUUAUAAAAGUACUAACAUGUCACUUGAGUAAAAAAGACAUGAUUAAUAUCCAAAAAAAUAAAACAUAUACCAUUGUAAACCCUAAAAUUUGUUCUAAUUUUAUUUUUAUAUUAAUUUCGAACCAAAUUUUAUAUUUAGAUUUCAAAUCCCAAUUACAUGUGUUUUUUUUUUCCCACUCAUUAUUUAAUAAUUUUUAUUAUUUUGUAUAUUAUAUUAUUUUAUUUUAUUACUAUUACUUUUAAUUUAAUUUUAUUAUUAUUAUUAUUAUAUUUUGUUUUAUUUUUAUUUAUUUUUAAUUUUCUUUUCUCAUCUCUCCUAUUUCCUCUUUUCUCUCUCCUCUCUUCCUACCCCUCACCACCGGCCACCCCUUUCUCUCUCUCCCAUUUUCUCCUCCAUUUUCCUCUCUCCUCUCUCCUCUCUUCCUACCCCUCACCGUGGGCCCCACCACUCCCCCAUUCUUCUCUCUCUCACCCCCAAUUCUUCCCAUAGGGCCGGCCCCCACCAUUCUUUUUUCUUUUCCCCCCGCUUUUUCCCCCCAUUUUUUUCCCCUUUUUCCCCACUUUUCUUCUUCCCACGGCCGGCCCCUGGAUUUUUUUUUUCUUUCUUCCCCCUUCCCCCUCAUUUCUUUCUCUCACCCCCGCAUUUUUCUUUUCCUGCGGCUCCAUUUCACUCUCUGGCUCCACUUCGCAAAAUGGGCAGCUCGCUCCCCUCCCAAAUUUUUUUUUCUCUCUUCGUUUUUUUCCUUUUUGUUUCUCUCCCGGGGACGCAUUGAUGGCGAUCCAUUUCUUUUCCACCUACAUUUCUUUUCCACCCAUUUUCUCUGCCAAAAAAAAAAACGCCCAUGGCUCCCAGAUUCGUCUAUUUUCUCCAUUUUUUUUUGUUUUGGUAUUAUUAUUAUUAUUAUUAUUAUUAUUAUUAUUAUUAUUAUUAAUUUUUUUUUCAUAAUUUUUCUUAAUUUGAUUUUGAUAGUAAUUAUCGUUGAAAUUGGGUUUGUGUAUUUAUAUUUGCUUGUGGGCUUAUGUUUGGGCUUUGUUAAUUAAUAUGAAAUUUGAGUUAAUUUAUUGUUGAUGGAUUAAUUUGAAAUUUGUUAAUUUGAUUUUAUGGUUAUAUUACAUUAGUAAUUAAUUUGGGAUAUUUGGAUUUAUCAAUUGCAUAUUGUUUAUUUGGAUUUGGGUCUAUUGUUAAUUUGUUAUUUGUUUAAGCUUAUUGGAUUGAGUUUAAAUUUUAUUUCCCUUGACCAUGUAUAUUUUUUUAUGUGGGUCUGUUAAUUGAUAUGAAUUUUGGGGCCUAAAAUAUGGGUGAAAUUUGUUGGAUUAUUUGAAUAUUUGAUAGGAGCCUGACCAAUUUGAAUUAUUUAAUUUGAACAUGGGACAAUUGUGAUGUACAUUAAAUUAGGCUAAGAUUAUGAAAUAUUAAAUUUAGGUCUAGUAGAAUUUAUUUUAAUUUGUCCAAUCUUAGUGUGGACCCGCAUUUUUCACGUGCGUCCCCACUCGACCGGCGAGACUCGCUUUUUUAUUUGUGAGAAAUUGAUUUUUGAAAAAAAGUUGGAGUCGCCACUUAUUUUUAUUUUUAUUUUUGAAGGGAAAAUAAAACAAGAAAUAAAACCCUAAAAAAAUGACUCCAUAAUUUUUGGAAAAGCAUGUCUUUGAAAAACCCGAGUCUAAGUCCGGGGGUCAGGUUACCUAUUAGGAAGGUACCUUUGAAAGGUAGCACCCCUCUAAGCCCUAUAAAGGUCUCUACUGACAAAGUUAAGGGAAGUGUGACCAUUAAUCAGUUAAUUACGGAUACCUAAGUAGACUAGAUGAUUUCAAAAAAAUAACAUGCCGAAUAUGAUCAAAUUGCCAUAAAAGAGAGUUAGGGUGCAUACCUGGACGACUUCUCAAAGCGCUAUCAUAAAACAUGAAAGUUAGUAUUGAGAUGCAUCACACAACAUGCAUUUUAUCAAAGAUAAUCAAACAAUCAUCAAAUGUAUAUCAAGACAAUCAAAUAGGAUAGCACGUAUGGACAUAGUACGCAAUGACAAUCAUAUUCAUAUGGUUUAGAAAGUGGGUAUUAGGGAAUGUACCUGGAUAGCAUAUAUAACUUACAAUGCGCUUCCAUGAAACAUGGUUAGUGAACGAUGAACAAAUAUAAUUAAGCGAAUAUCAAAGAAUAGAGUAAACCAAUCAUGAAGUCAAGUAUGUGGGGCCCCACCCAAAGCCCGUUUAUUUUAGCAUGAAUUAAUUCCAUAAAUUCCAUUAUUCGGAAUUACGGAAUUUAUUCUUUGCUUAUUUUAAAACAUUUUAAAAUCAUGAAAGUUAUGAAAAUUGCAUGCCGAAGAGAUUGACAACAAAUUUUAUUGAAAAAUAGGAUUUUUGAGACCUAAAAAUUCUAAGGAUAAUAAACUAUGAAAUCAAAACAAGAUUUUUAUUUUGAAAAUCAAUUUUUAAAGAUGUGCAUGAUGAUGGGUAUAAAGACUUGCGAGUUUUGAAGAGGGGUAUAAGAAGGUGAGCCUGUAAGUCAAAAUUAGGCAAGAGUGAGAUCUUAAGCUUGGGGUCUUGAGCGGAUCACUGAACCACACCUCUGAAUCUGAAAUUUCUGAUUCUAUCUCCCUUGGGAUUGGCUUUUCAUAGUCUCGGUUAAGCACAGGGGAACCAUACCAUACCAGUGGUCUCUUCCAUAGUACUUCAUCUCAAGUAUUGAAAUGCAUCGAGCGUCUCAUUUAUUUCAAAUGGGUCAAUGUCAGCAACCUCAAGACCAGCAUUUCUUGCAGUAAUUUGGAUUGCAAUAGCUGGACCUACACCAAUGAUGCUAGGCUCCACACCAAAAGAAUCCUUCACGGUAUCGAGAUUUUCAUGAAAACCGGGUUGUCUAAGCCACUGAGAAAGAGUGUACAAAAGUGGUAUCUGACAUUCCUGUCUUUCGAAACAAGAUUAAUUCCCACCAGAUCAGCAAGUUCAUUGAUUCGGCAUUGCCAUGUGACUGUCAUAAAAGUCUUCAGAUGCACAAUGAAAAGACGGAAGGCUAUAGUGGAGUAAGAGCCUAUUCCAAACACGUGGAAUUUCUACCAAAUACCAAACUGUGCAUAGUUUCAGAAAUUUGAUUAGUCUAUCCAGUAAACUUGAAGAUGGGAAAAGCAAAGACACAGAUGGACACCCAACAACCUGCGGUGGCAGACAAAACAGCCUAUAAUCUUUGCAUUUAGCUUCGUCUUGCUGAUUAAACCAAAGGAAAUCUGCAUGGGCACACCGCGGGUUUGACAUUCCUACCAAGCUUGCCAAAUAGACCACAUGAUAAGCAAGUCAACACAUGAGAGGAAUGGUUCAAAUAUUUGCUUCUUCCAGAAUGCUGAUAUUGGAUUAAAGCUGACUAUAAUUCCGAAACUGAAUGCAAACACUGUACAAUGGAGUUCAUGUAUUAGGUGCUCCUCAGAUUGAAACUGGCAUUAUAACCCACAAUUUCCACUCACUACAAGGAAAAAGGUAUAUGGUGACAUUUAUAACGAGUCACCAUAAAUAUAAGAUGUCACUACAACAUAGCGUCACCUUCUCCACUGACACCAUAGAGGGUACCAAUUGGUGACGUAUUUGGAAGUGACACCAAAGUAGAUAAAUGGUGACCCAUUCAGAAGUGACACCCUAUAUUUCUAGUGAUGAUAGGGUGUCACAUUAAAUACAUCAUCUUUGAGUUAUGAUGUCACAUUAAAUGCAUCACCUUUGAGUUAUGGUAUCACAUCAUUGUAAAUUAUUGUGGAAUAUAUGAUUGGUUUUAGUUGUUGAUUUUUGUAAUGCUUAUGAAUUAAUAAGAUUAACCUGUUUAUAUUUUGUCCAUAAAUAUAACAAUCAUAUUAUAUUUAACUCAUUUUUCUGUAAUGUUUCUGGAAUAACUCAUAAUACAUUGAUCAUCUAAUAAUAUUUGUAUAUCAAAUGUUCACAAAAGGAUAGUACGUCCAACAUAUCAAACCCAUCAAAACUAAAAAAGAAGAGUGAAUACAUACCAAAACAUGAUUUAGAAAUGUUAAAGAUCCCAAGAUUNNNNNNNNNNNNNNNNNNNNNNNNNNNNNNNNNNNNNNNNNNNNNNNNNNNNNNNNNNNNNNNNNNNNNNNNNNNNNNNNNNNNNNNNNNNNNNNNNNNNUCACCUUUGAGUUUAUGGUAUCACAUCAUUGUAAAUUAUUGUGGAAUAUAUGAUUGGUUUUAGUUGUUGAUUUUUGUAAUGCUUAUGAAUUAAUAAGAUUAACCUGUUUAUAUUUUGUCCAUAAAUAUAACAAUCAUAUUAUAUUUAACUCAUUUUUCUGUAAUGUUUCUGGAAUAACUCAUAAUACAUUGAUCAUCUAAUAAUAUUUGUAUAUCAAAUGUUCACAAAAGGAUAGUACGUCCAACAUAUCAAACCCAUCAAAACUAAAAAAGAAGAGUGAAUACAUACCAAAACAUGAUUUAGAAAUGUUAAAGAUCCCAAGAUUCAUGUAUACCUCCAUUUCAUAAGCAUAAAACCGGUUAACCAUAAAAUGACAUAGAAGUCCCAUCUAAAAAUCUAAAUUUCUCAAUUGCAAUUAAAGUAACGUUUAUGUCCUACAACGUAUGACAUAAGAGUUGCAUUUAAAAACCCAAAAUCUCGUUGUCUUCUUCUUUCUUUUUAUUCUCCAUUUCACCCUCCCAAGAGUGUAUACCUGCAUUUCAAAAUUUAAUGAGUUUUAGAGAUUUUUAUUGAAGAAAACAAACAUGGAUCUAUGUUAUCAUAAAUGAACAAAUAUAAGAAUUAAUUUUUUUUUUCAAAUAGAAACAUUAUUCAAAGAAUAAGCAUUACUAUACAAUACCUAUGGAAAAAUUCAUGUAGUAGCUAAGGGACUCACCAUGCAUGGUGAUCAUGAUGCAUCAACAUGAUUCAUGAUUAGUUGUAGCACAAAAGUAGCCCAUUCUCCUCUAAUUUCAUCGAAUUCUACUUGAGAAUAUGUUUUUUUUAUUACCAAACUGAAAUCAAAUAAGAAAAUAACAUUAAAAUGCAUAACAUUUGGAAGCCUAAAACUAUGUACAAUUCAUUAAAUAAGUAAUACCUUUGAAGCAAUAAUUGUAGGAUAAAAAAUUAUCUCUUUAAUGAAUCUCAUAACAAAGUAGCCACAUUCGAACCCUCCUUCUUGUCUUGGACACUAAUCGAUCAAUUAUAAAAUAACAUUAGUACUCACAUAUAUAAAUGGUGCAAAUGCAUAAGCUAAUGUGUAAAGAAAAAUUUUUGGAUGUCACCNNNNNNNNNNNNNNNNNNNNNNNNNNNNNNNNNNNNNNNNNNNNNNNNNNNNNNNNNNNNNNNNNNNNNNNNNNNNNNNNNNNNNNNNNNNNNNNNNNNNAAAAUAGAAAUUCCUAAUAAUAAAAAAUAUAAAAUUUCUAUUUCUAUUAACAAAAUAUAAAAACUUUCCAAAACUCAAUUACUUAAAUAUAAAAAUAAAAUCAAAUAAAAUAUCUAGCUAAUUGGAUUUUAGAAACUAAAUAAACUAUAAAUAAACUAAAUAUAAAAACUAAAUAAAAUAUCCAUGCCCAUGAAUUAAUUGAAGAUGAUAGAAAGACACAGAGAGAACAUGGCUAUGGUUAUGAUUUCCAUCUUAUCAUUUCCCGUCAAUACCACACAUGCCCAUUUUAAGGAUGGACACUACUUUUGUUGCUGGACUUGGAAAGGGAACUUCAAAAUUGAAAACAUAAAUAAACCCUUAUGUAAAAAAAAAACAUUAAAAUAUAAUUGAACAUUAAAAUAUUUGCUCUUUUUCAUCACUUUCAUUUGAAUAUUAAUAAUCUCUUAUUGAGAUAGAUACUUACAAUUUAACAAAAUAGAAAUUCCUAAUAAUAAAAAAUAUAAAAAUUUCUAUUUCUAUUAACAAAAUAUAAAAACUUUCCAAAACUCAAAUACUUAAAUAUAAAAAAAAAAUCAAAUAAAAUAUCUAACUAAUUGGAUUUUAGAAACUAAAUAAACUAAAUAUAAAAACUAAAUAAAAUAUCUAUGCCCAUGAAUUAAUUGAAGAGGAUAGAAAGACACAGAGAGAACAUGGCUAUGGUUAUGAUUUCCAUCUUAUCAUCUCCCGUCAAUACCACACAUGCCUUCCUGGAUUGGUCCUUUUGGGGUUGGAUACUCUCAACGAAAUUCUAUAUCUCAUUCCCACUUAGAUACAAACAGAAAAAUGAUUCUUUUUUUUUUUCUCUCUCGUUUUUUAGAAAGGAUGAAAAUUAUGUGAUAGUAUAUCUUAAAAAAAUUAUGUACAUGUCAUUGUCACACAAAUACAUGUUAAAAAUCAUUCAUUUUUUCCUGUUUUUCACUUUUUUUUUAAGGACUUGAUCAUGUGUUUGGUUUAGAUUUAAAAAAUCAAUUAAUCUAUAGUUUUUUCUUCCAUGCUAGAAGAUUAAACCUAAAUUUUUCUUCCCUACAACUCAAGAAAACACAAUUCACAAAAACCAUAAUACAAAGAUGUUGAAACAAUUAAUAUAAUGACAUUAAUAAAAGAAAAAAAAUUGAUAGAUCCAAGAGAUUUUGGGUUACCUGGGAGUCCACAAAGUGAAGAAUGUCGGUUUUGAGCGUGUUGACUAUGGAUGGGUGAGAGAAAAGGUUGAAGAAGAUCAUGAUUUUAUAUAUAGGAUUUAUAUAUUGAGAUUUUUUGGAUUGUGGGUGAGAUAUGGAAACAAUGGGAUUUUUAUAUAGUAUCCAUCAUUAUUAAUUCUAAAAGUGGGCUCAUUAAGUUAUAAUACUUAAAAAAAAUUAUUUUAUAUGAUGUCACUUCCCAAAAAAUGACACUAUAAAUAUAAAAUUAAUAUCAUCUAACUAUCUCAAUUGAAGAUUUUUUAUAUGAUGUGUCACCUUUAUUAAUUAUAAACCCUAUGGUGUCAUUAUUUUAAAAGUGACACCGUAAAUAGUGACACCAUAAACUAUUUUUGUAGUAGUGACUUAAUCAAUAUAAUUCUGACCAUCCAUACUGACAUUACUCAUGUUUCUUGAGCCAAUGCCUAAUUCCAGAGCAGAUCAACAGAGACCUUGGCAUGGUUUUAAACUUCAGCCAAAUGAGAUGCGUGGGACAAUAGCUUGACUUAUGGAUUGUGGCAGGUCAGCAGCCUGACCCAUGGUUUGUGGUGGGACACCACCAUCUGGCAGUCCAAUGGAUUCCAGAGGAAUAAUAGGCUGCUGAGUGGCCUGUGGUGAGGCACCCACAUUGUCACUUAUGGGGCCUUACGCAUCGAUGGCAAGCCCGGUGGCGAUAGUACUGUGCAUCCCCGAAGCUGCCACUGCAAUUCCAUGCAUGGCAGCCAUGCUGAAACUCGCGUAGAUAGCAACGACAAUGGCAAAUAUCGGAAUGAUGUCAGACACGUAUCCCAUUAGGAAUGACUUUGCAUAAUAAUAAUCUGAAGAAGUCAGCUGCGUCGUCCAUCUACCAGUUCGUGAGUGAAGUUUUGCUCAGAAACCCAUUUGCAAUCUUCACAUUUUGCUUCAUCUCUGACGGAACCUUGAUGCUAUCGCUGAAGACGCGGAGACUGAUGACGGUAGACUAGGACUGGUUGGACUGGUCUUGAAGGUGCAUGACGAGUAGAGAGGUUGGGAUAGAUGAACAUGGCUGGAUGAUGUAUGACGAAUAAGGAGUGGUGAAAUGGGUAUGAAAGAGUUUGAAGAGAGAGAAAAGGUGGUAAUGUGGAAUGGGUUUGAUGGGUGCAUGCAUGGGGCAUGAAGAUGAUGGUUAGUAUGGAAGUGGGGGUAUGAUGAGCGAAAGAGAGAGAUGAGAUGGGUGCAUGGUGGUGUAGAAAGAAAGGUGAUCAUACAAAUGGGCAUAGGUAUGGCAGCCAAUGGGUAUCACCAAGUAUGGUGGUGAAGAGAGGGAACGAGUGAGGACAAAUAUGCAUGGAUAUGAGAUGACAUGGGUAUUGUGGUGUGGCGGAAUAGUGAUAAUAUGAGGAAUAGGUUUUAUGGGCAUAGCAGAGAGGUAAUGGCAUGGAGUGAUAAUGGGAACGUGAGUAUGGUUAUAGGAAGUAGUGACGAUACUGCCAUCAUGAAAGGUAAAUAAAAUCCUCUGCAGAGCCAUCUACAGAAGGCUAUUCAGACAAUCUCAUGUAACUCCGCUUUGUCAAUCCUUACCUGGUCUGGUAUACACUUUCCAUGGAGGUUAAAGAAAUCAAUAUGGUGACAUUGCCUUGGUCUUCUCUCUUUCUCAAUACCAAGCACCGAUAGAGACACCCUUAUUUGGAGAAAUUUUGAGGAUCCAGUAGUACAAGGACACGCGCGAGUCAAUUACAGCUUGAGUGCAGCAAACUUUCCAUCUUAAGAAAACCCCUCCUCACAAUUACUUUCUCUUUUGAUGCUGUCAUUACAUCUUAUGUUGUUUUCCCUUAAACUCUCCCAUUUUAAUAUCCGAAGACUGAGAACCAAUCUCCUGUGAUACCCUUCCCCUUCAUACGAAAAUGGAAGAUCUGAUGCCAGAUACGUAUGGAUGCCAAGAACAGGGGAUGAACAAAAAAAAAACAGAGCAAGGAUAAAAGGAAGCAAAAUCAACCCAUCCAAGCCUCAUUUCAUGUAUUUAUCAAUGGGCUCAGAUGCAAGAGUGGGUCAAAACAGUUUUUCUAAUGAGUUUUAAAACCAAAUCAAGACAUAAACACCAAUAUUUCACAUAAAAUCCUAGAGGCAGAGGACACAAAACCAGUAAGAAAAUAAGCAUGGAUCAAGUGAAAAUCCUCACCAAACACAUUCAGACACCAAGAUAGAAAACCCGUUAAUAUUCAGAUAACCCAAACAAAAAAAAACAUGAACGUGAAAGAGACCAAAACUUAUGAAAAUGAUACCUGAACCUUCCUCUUUUCAGUUAGCCUCUCUUCUCUCCAAGAGCUACUCUCUGUAUAGCUUGUAGAAAAAUCUCCUUGACUACGGCAAUGGAGACUUUUUUUUCCUUCUAGCUUCUCCCAAAACUCUUAUCUCAAUUACCUUUCAUGUCUUCCUCUCUUCCAUCCCAAAAAGAAUCAAAAUCCCUUCUUCUUUCGGUGUAGCUGCCUUUUCCCUCCAGAGAAUCCUUUCCUUCUCAAUGGUCCCGUUGACUCUACCAACAUGGAAAGACAACUCACCAGCCCGGAGAGCCUCAAUCAUCCACGUCAGUCAAGCAUCAUCAGGACUCUCCCUCCUGAACAUAGUCUUCAUUCCGUCCAAAUACCCAUUGAACCUUUCCUUUUUCCAUGCCAAAAUAGCUUUGGUAAUUUUCUUUCUUCAUUCAUUUCCUUCCAUCAGAAGCACAAUCAGCACAUGCAUGGGUGCAUACUUGCUUUCUUUCUCAGUUCAUUUCCUUCCAUACGUCCUCUCCUCUUCCAACCUUCUUGGAUCUAUCCUUCAACACAUGCAUAUCUUUGCCAAUACAUGUUUUCAACCUUCCCUUUUCUCUCCAGUGAUGAUUCCUUUGGUGAAUUUCUCCACAAAAAUAUAAAGAAAAUUAGACUUAAUGAAUGAAUCCCAAGGUGUUUUAGAAAAUUAUAAAAUAAACAAACAAAUUAAAUUAACAAAAUAAUUAAGUAAAUAAUGAUAAUAAUAAUAAUAAUAAUAAUAAUAAUAAUAAUAAUAAUAAUAAUAAGAACUCAUUUCAUGCAAUUAUAAAAUAAAAUAAAUAAACAAAAAUACAAAUAAUAAUAAUGAUGAAAUAGUAUAAAUAUAUCAAAAACUCACUUAAUCUUAAAAGCAAUCAAUAAAAUAAAUAAAUAAAUAAAACAAGAAAACAAAUCUAAGUGAAACUAAACCUUGAAAAGUGUUUAAGUGGGCCUAAGGCGGUACCUAAUGGGCCAAGUGUGUCUAAUGGGCCUAAGGUGCACUAAGUGAACCUAAAGUGAUGCCUAAUGGGCCUAAGGUGCACUAAGUGAACCUAAGGUGUCUAAAUGGACCUAGGGCGAUGCCUAAUGGGCCAAGUGUACCUAAAUAAGCCUAAAGUGUCUAAAUGGGCCUAGGAUGGUGCCUAAUGGGCUUAAAGGGCCUAAGUGGGCCUAUGGUGGUGCUUAAGUGUAUCUAAGUCUAAAUGGGCUACCAGGAGUUGCAAUAGAGUUCGAUAAAUCCCUCAACCAUAGUCCCCAAGGUGGCUUAGAGUAGAUAGGCUACACGAGUAUUAAUGGGCCACCAGGGAAUUGCUGUAAACGACAUGUGCGAGGAAGACAAAAUAGAGGGUCUACACUUAGGUUUGGUUGAUUGUAUUUGUAUUUUUUGUUAUUAAUUUGGAUGUUCUAGUUUAAGACCUAUAGUAAUUUGGGCUCAUUUUAAUUGGCGAAAUUUAUGGGACUAAUUUUUUGAUAAGUGAACACAAAUAUAUUAAACGAGGCAAAAAGCCACAAGGCAUACAGGACGUAUACACAGUAGCCAAACCAACAACCAACACGCACCACCCCUUAGGGAGCGGCGAGCCAUUCCAAAAAUCCUAUAAGCGAAGAGGACUCCUCUCCCAUAUACACCCUAGCCCAGCUCCACAAGUUACAAACAAAAGAAUUCUUUAGCUUCUGAAUAGCUAGAGAGCCCCCUCUGAAAGCUAAUCUAUUUCUCUCCUUCCAAACCGUCCAAAAAAUACACAGCGGAAUGGAAGUCCAAAUCCUUUUCCUCUUUCUCCCCACAAAAGGGCCCCUCCAACUGACUAACAUAUCUUUGACUUUCUCUGGGAACACCCAAUUAGCCCCAAACAAGGCCAAGACUAUCUCCCAGAGAGCCCUUACAACUGUACAGUGUAAAAGUAUAUGAUUUACAUUUUCCUCUUCACAACCACAUAAAAAACACCUGUUAGGAAACUGCCAUCCCCGUCUUUGAAGCUUGUCCAAAGUUAAAACUUGCUCCCAAGACACCUCCCAAGCAAAAAAAGCAACUUUGGUUGGGACCUUGUCCACCCAAAUGCUCUUUUUCGGGAAGGUAAUGACAUUAGACCCUGACAAGAGCUUGUAGGCAUCUCUAAUCCGAAAAAGGCCGUGACUAUCUCCUUUCCAAAUCACUGCGUCCUCUUCAAGAGAAGUCCUCAAAUCCCUCAACAAAUGCAGCAGCUCACCUAAAGCGUCCAGCUCCCAAUCAUUAAAGUUUCUAAAGAGUCUUAUAUUCCAACCUCCUUGGUCGAGGCUAGAAUCCCACAUUUCAUUUACCGAGGCGUUCCUUUGGACAGCCAAUUCAAACAACUGAGGAAAACUUUGGGCCAGCACCUCAUUAUCACACCAAUGGUCAGUCCAGAAACUCAUCUUAGUCCCCUUUCCCACUUUGAACUUAAUAUUAUCCCAACACCAAGACGACUCCUUCAAGAUAUCCCUCCAAACCCCCACCCCAAACGUUCCGCGGGCCUCCUUUGUUCUCCAACCAAAACCCAAUUGACCAUACUUCACCCCAACCACCUGUCUCCAGAAAACAUCUUCCUCAAUGGCGAACCGCCAAAUCCAUUUCCCCAACAGAGCCUUAUUCAAAAAAUCAAUCUUCCGAAUACCUAGGCCCCCACUCUCCUUUUAGGUACACACCACCGCCCAAUUGAUUAGAUGAAUCUUUCUUUCCAUCCUUCCCCUUCCCCAAAGAAAGUCCCUUUGAAGCUUUUCAAGCCUUUUAACAACUAGCUUAGGCAUGCGGAAAAGAGACAAUUGGUAAAUCGGCAUGCUGGCCAAAGUGCUUUUGAUGAGGGUAAUCCUCCCACCCUUUGACAAAUAUUGUCUUUUCCACAGUGCAAGCCUUCUUCUCAUUCUUGCUUCAACCCCAUCCCACAUAGCCAUGGCCUUAUGCUUGGCUCCCAACGGCAGCCCCAAAUAAACCGAAGGGAGGGUCCCCACUUUACACCCUAACUCCACCGCCAACAUCUCAAUGUCUUCCACCUCUCCAACCGGGAUUACUUCACUUUUAGCAAGAUUUAUUCUAAGACCAGAGGCUGCCUCAAACCACACCAAAAUCCAGCUUAGGUAAGUAAUGUGAUCUUGCCUCGCUUCACAAAAUAUAAUCGUAUCAUCAGCAAAGAGUAAAUGGGACACAUUUAUCUCCAUCCCCCCCCUCCCUUGGAUGCUACAACCUGAAGUGAAGCCCCCAUCAACAGCCCUUCUCAACAUAGCGCUUAGAACUUCCAUGCCCAGCACAAAAAGGUAGGGGGAGAGUGGAUCACCUUGGCGUAACCCCCUAGAGUUGGAGAAAUAACCAGCCGGCACCCCAUUGACCAGAAUAGAAAAGCUUGCCGUUGAAAUACACCACCAAAUCCAUUUCAACCACCGGUCCCCAAAGCCCAUUUUCCGCAUGACCUUCAUGAGGAAAUUCCAAUUAAUACUAUCAUAGGUUUUUUCAAUAUCCAGUUUACAUAUCACCCCUUUCUCCUUGCGUUUAAGCCAAUAGUCAAUUACCUCAUUGGCUAUGAGUGAAGCAUCUAAAAUCUGUCUUCCCUUCACAAAGGCAUUUUGGUCCGGCGAAACCACCUUGUCUAACACCUCCUUAAUUCUAUUGGACAGCACUUUGGCCAAGAGCUUAUACACACCCCCAAGCAGGCUGAUUGGUCUGAAAUCCCCCAAGUCCUCAGCCCCCCCUUUCUUAGGAAUAAGGACAAGAAAAGUAGAGUUAAGACUCUUGGCAAACGACUUGUCUUCAUAAAACUCAUUGAACACGUCCACAAUUUCCUCUUUCACGAACUCCCAACAGAACUGCCAAAAGGCCACUGUGAACCCAUCCGGGCCUGGGGCCUUAUCACCAUUCAUCCCCAUCAGAGCCAAGUGAAUCUCUGCCUCAGUAAAAAGCUGCUCCAAACCUUCAGCUUCAGCAUGGUUUAANNNNNNNNNNNNNNNNNNNNNNNNNNNNNNNNNNNNNNNNNNNNNNNNNNNNNNNNNNNNNNNNNNNNNNNNNNNNNNNNNNNNNNNNNNNNNNNNNNNNNNNNNNNNNNNNNNNNNNNNNNNNNNNNNNNNNNNNNNNNNNNNNNNNNNNNNNNNNNNNNNNNNNNNNNNNNNNNNNNNNNNNNNNNNNNNNNNNNNNNNNNNNNNNNNNNNNNNNNNNNNNNNNNNNNNNNNNNNNNNNNNNNNNNNNNNNNNNNNNNNNNNNNNNNNNNNNNNNNNNNNNNNNNNNNNNNNNNNNNNNNNNNNNNNNNNNNNNNNNNNNNNNNNNNNNNNNNNNNNNNNNNNNNNNNNNNNNNNNNNNNNNNNNNNNNNNNNNNNNNNNNNNNNNNNNNNNNNNNNNNNNNNNNNNNNNNNNNNNNNNNNNNNNNNNNNNNNNNNNNNNNNNNNNNNNNNNNNNNNNNNNNNNNNNNNNNNNNNNNNNNNNNNNNNNNNNNNNNNNNNNNNNNNNNNNNNNNNNNNNNNNNNNNNNNNNNNNNNNNNNNNNNNNNNNNNNNNNNNNNNNNNNNNNNNNNNNNNNNNNNNNNNNNNNNNNNNNNNNNNNNNNNNNNNNNNNNNNNNNNNNNNNNNNNNNNNNNNNNNNNNNNNNNNNNNNNNNNNNNNNNNNNNNNNNNNNNNNNNNNNNNNNNNNNNNNNNNNNNNNNNNNNNNNNNNNNNNNNNNNNNNNNNNNNNNNNNNNNNNNNNNNNNNNNNNNNNNNNNNNNNNNNNNNNNNNNNNNNNNNNNNNNNNNNNNNNNNNNNNNNNNNNNNNNNNNNNNNNNNNNNNNNNNNNNNNNNNNNNNNNNNNNNNNNNNNNNNNNNNNNNNNNNNNNNNNNNNNNNNNNNNNNNNNNNNNNNNNNNNNNNNNNNNNNNNNNNNNNNNNNNNNNNNNNNNNNNNNNNNNNNNNNNNNNNNNNNNNNNNNNNNNNNNNNNNNNNNNNNNNNNNNNNNNNNNNNNNNNNNNNNNNNNNNNNNNNNNNNNNNNNNNNNNNNNNNNNNNNNNNNNNNNNNNNNNNNNNNNNNNNNNNNNNNNNNNNNNNNNNNNNNNNNNNNNNNNNNNNNNNNNNNNNNNNNNNNNNNNNNNNNNNNNNNNNNNNNNNNNNNNNNNNNNNNNNNNNNNNNNNNNNNNNNNNNNNNNNNNNNNNNNNNNNNNNNNNNNNNNNNNNNNNNNNNNNNNNNNNNNNNNNNNNNNNNNNNNNNNNNNNNNNNNNNNNNNNNNNNNNNNNNNNNNNNNNNNNNNNNNNNNNNNNNNNNNNNNNNNNNNNNNNNNNNNNNNNNNNNNNNNNNNNNNNNNNNNNNNNNNNNNNNNNNNNNNNNNNNNNNNNNNNNNNNNNNNNNNNNNNNNNNNNNNNNNNNNNNNNNNNNNNNNNNNNNNNNNNNNNNNNNNNNNNNNNNNNNNNNNNNNNNNNNNNNNNNNNNNNNNNNNNNNNNNNNNNNNNNNNNNNNNNNNNNNNNNNNNNNNNNNNNNNNNNNNNNNNNNNNNNNNNNNNNNNNNNNNNNNNNNNNNNNNNNNNNNNNNNNNNNNNNNNNNNNNNNNNNNNNNNNNNNNNNNNNNNNNNNNNNNNNNNNNNNNNNNNNNNNNNNNNNNNNNNNNNNNNNNNAAUGUGAUCUUGCCUCGCUUCACAAAAUAUGAUCGUAUCAUCAGCAAAAAGUAAAUGGGACACAUUUAUCUCCAUUCCCCCCUCCCUUGGAUGUUACAACCUGAAGUGAAGCCCCCAUCAACAGACUUUCUCAACAUAGCGCUUAGAACUUCCAUACCCAGCACAAAGAGGUAGGGGGAGAGUGGAUCUCCUUGGCGUAACCCCCUAGAGUUGGAGAAAUAACCAGCCGGCACCCCAUUGACCAAAAUAGAAAAGCUUGCCGUUGAGAUACACCACCAAAUCCAUUUCAUCCACCGGUCCCCAAAGCCCAUCUUCCGCAUGACCUUCAUGAGGAAGUUCCAAUUAAUACUAUCAUAGGCUUUUUCGAUAUCCAGUUUACAUAUCAUCCCUUUCUCCUUGCGUUUAAGCCAAUAGUCAAUUACCUCAUUGGCUAUGAGUGAGGCAUCUAAAAUCUGUCUUCCCUUCACAAAGGCAUUUUGGUUCGGCGAAACCACCUUGUCUAGCACCUCCUUAAUUCUGUUGGACAGCACUUUAGCCAAGAGCUUAUACACACCCCCAAGCAGGCUGAUGGGUCUGAAAUCCCCCAAGUCCUCAACCCCCCCUUUCUUAGGAAUGAGGACAAGAAAAGUAGAGUUAAGGCUCUUGGCAAACGACUUGUCUUCAUAAAACUCCUUGAACACGUCCACAAUUUCCUCUUUCACGAACUCCCAACAGAACUACCAAAAGGCCACUGUGAACCCAUCCGGGCCUGGGGCCUUAUCACCAUUCAUCCCCAUUAGAGCCAAAUGAAUCUCUGCCUCAGUAAAUGGCUGCUCCAAACCUUCAGCUUCAGCAUGGUUUAAACUUUUAAGCUACAACCCUUCUAUAUCAGAUUUCCAAGAUUGGUCCUCUAACAACAACUGUUGAAAGGCAUUCACAACCCCCUCUCUCACCUCCCUCUCCUCCUCCAGCCACCUCCCAUUGAUUUUAAUCUUGUCCAUAGAGUUAUUUCUUCUAUGAGCAUUAGCCAUCCGGUGAAAGAAACCCGUAUUCUUAUCACCUUCCCUCAGCCACAACUCCCUAGAAGAUUGUCUCCAAUGCGUUUCUUCCAUAAGAACCCAAUUUUUGAAGGCCUCCUUAGCCUCUGUUUUCAGCUCUGACUCCCUUUCAGUUAGACUCCUGUCACUCUCCACCAUAUCCCAAAAUGCUACUUGUUGCAAGGCUAGAUUUUUGUUGACUUCCAACCUACCAAACACAUCCCUGUUCCAAGAUUUGAUUUUAUCCUUCAGAAACUUCAAUUUUGAAGCCACUCUGAAACUAGCCCUCCCCCUCCCCCCCGCCUCCUGCCACCAUCCCCGAAGGAGAUCCUUAAAUCCCUCAACUUUGAGCCACAUGUUUUCAAACCUAAAAGGGGAGGGGCCCUUUCUUAAUCCCCCACCUUUCAGUAAAAUGGGGAAAUGGUCAAAAACGGGUCUGGGCAGCCUGCACUGAAGGACCCCACUGAAACAGUCCAGCCAAUCUUGGGUCACUAAAAACCGGUCCAGUCUAGCCCAAGCUUGGUUAUUCUUUCCCCUACUCCAGGAAGCCACCCCCCCAUGCAAAGGCAUAUCCAAAAGCUCUAACUCAUCCGUCACCUGGGCAAAUCUUCUCAUGGCGCCAGUCAGCCUCCCCUGAUUACUCCUUUCCCCAAGGUUUAGAGUGACGUUAAAAUCACCCCCAACACACCAAAGGUCAUCCCAGAUUCCCCUAAUCGCCCCAAGCUCCCCCCAUAAGGUGUCCUUGUCUUCUUUGGAAAACGGCCCAUACACACCCAUAAAAAUCCAGGUCUUCCCAUCCUCAACAUUCCUAAUUCUGCAAGAAAUUGUGAAUUGACCCAUUUCCAUCUCAAGGAUUUCCAAGGUUCUUUUGUCCUAGCAAAUUAGAAUCCCUCCUGCGGCUCCCUGAGCAUCCAAAGCACCCCAAUCCAGGAACCUCCCUGACCCCAAACUCCUCACCAUACCCUCAUUCAUGGAUUGAAUUUUCGUUUCCUGGAUACAAAACAAAUCAACUUUCUACUUUCUAAUCAAAGCUUUAAUCACUUUCCUCUUGGAGCUAUCAUUGACCUCGCGUACAUUCCAGCUCAAGAGCCUUAUUUUCAUUGGACUUCCAUAAUUUGGCACCCUCUUCCUUGCACAGUACCCUUUCUCUUCUUUCCCCCCUCAUAGUUGACUGAGCAUUCAAGUCUUCUCAAUUCUCUUUCAAAUUUCGAUUUCUCCAACAUAGCUUUGCUGUGAAUUCUUUCUCUUCUCUUCCUCAUUUUAACCAUGAACUCCAGAAUGUCUUUCUCUAAUCCCUCUGUCGAGAAUCCCAGGAAUUGACUGAACCUAGUCAAAUCACUUUCUUCCCAUCUUUCUUCCACCCAUGCACCCUCUUCUUGAGAAAUAGGUCGGGCUAGGCACAGAGCCUUUCUAUCAUCCUCCAUGCUAUCGUUACUGAUCUUUACCAAGUCCCAACACUUCCCCACUAACUGCUCUGAAUGCCCAAUUUCCUUGCAACAACAAUCCCCCUUGGUUGACUCCACAAAAAGCCCAGAACGGUCGAAAGACUCCUUUCUUGGAGUCCGACCAAAAGAAGAAAAGAAAGGAGAAGAAGGGUCCAGAGCCACCAUUCCAGAGGGGGACGGAACAUUAACAUACCUUGCGUCUUCCUCCAACAAAGCACUAUCGGUCCUGGAGAUCCCCCCCCACUGUGUCUCAACUCCACGUCGUAGCCCCCACUGAUCAUCCUUCCCCCAACAAUUAGAGAUAUCCACGUCUGGGCCCCUCAACGGGCUUCGAAUGCGCUCCACAGCAGAGGAACCCUUCUCCGUCUGGGCCUUAGAAGAACCAGGAGGAGAUGGACUUUGAGAUGCAGGCCCAUCCCCUCUAAGCAAACACAAAGGCCCGACCUUUUCCUUGGGCUUCCCAUUCCCAUUCCCAUAAAACACCAGCCCAGGCGGACUUGGCCCAGUGGAAAUAUAAGCCUUAGGCCCUCUAGAAGAUGUUGCUUGGCCUAACAAUCCCAGCCCACCCGAUGCAUGGGGUCCGCCUGGAGGCCCGUCUUCGCUCCGCUUUGGAUCCGAGGACUGACCCGACCCACUGGACUGACGUUGCGUCCCAUCCGCAAUCAGCAGGCAGUCCCCGAGCCUUGAGUCCUCCAUCACCCCCAACACGCGCACCCCCGCGCGUGCACUCACGUCACCCCCUUCCUUCGCAACUGUCACGAUGACCUUCCCUCUCUUUUCAGUCGCCGGAAAUUUGAUGACUGGCCUGAUUUCCCACCAUAAGUUUACCGCAUAACAAAACCCAUCAACCCAAACCUCCACUAGGCUGGGAGGAGACUCGCCGUUCCGCUUCACCAAGAGGCGUGCCCACUGUAAUUCCUCCAUGUUUUCCGUUUGCUGAUCAAUCGCAAGGAGACCCCCACACGCCUCCCCAAUCUUCCUCAGAAUAUCCCAUUCCCACAAGGAUACAGGUAGCCCUACUACCCGUACCCAAGCUUCAUUGCUCCUUUCUCCUUUCAAGCAACCCGUCUCCGGACUCCACUUCUCUAAACGGAGAGCUACCCCCCCCCCCCCCCCCCCCCAAAAAAAAGGCUCCCCAAUUUAAAGGGUGGGUAGCCUCUGGGGGGGGUUUAAAAACAAUUUAAAACUUUACCCUUUUCUUUUUUAGACGGCCCAAAUUUCCUUUUUAACCCCAAAAUUUUGGCAAAUGGGGAACCCCACCCCUGGAAAUGGUCCCCUUUCCUGGAUUUGGGUUUCAAAUUCCAAAAAAAAAAGGGGGCAAUUUGGGAAAAUUUCUCCCCCCCCNNNNNNNNNNNNNNNNNNNNNNNNNNNNNNNNNNNNNNNNNNNNNNNNNNNNNNNNNNNNNNNNNNNNNNNNNNNNNNNNNNNNNNNNNNNNNNNNNNNNCCCCCCCCAAGCAAAAUGCUUCCCAUCUUAGAGGCUUGCUCAGCCUCUGCCGGGAUCUCAAACUCCAUUAAAACCUUACCCCUCUCCAUUUUAGCCAGCCCUAAAUUCCCUUUUAACCUCCAGAUUCUCGCUAACUGGGAUCCCCACCCUCUGAGAUCGUCCCCCUUCGCUGCAUUGUGAUUCCAAGUCCCAACAAUACAGUGGCCAAGUUUGGAUAAAUUCCUCCCCACCUCCUCCUUGGUAACAUCUACCCUAACUGCUUCUCUCUCCUUUUCCUUCGCCACUUUGGUCGCUUCCACAUAUGACUUCACCAUAUUCGGCUUCGACCGAGACACAUCUACCUUCUGGUUAUUAGGGUAACUUUCUUCGCAACCCAAGCUCCGCAAUAUGUCCACCAUUGAAGCCCAUCCGCCCUUUACUCCUCUUCCUUUGGGAAUAAAGACGCUAAACCUCUUUCUCUCCAAAUCCGCAACCCCCAAACGGAGAAAGCAGCCCCCUCUGUUGUAGUCGCGCUACAGAGAGUACAUCCUCCCAUUCUCCUUCCACUCUCUUACCCACUUACCCAUUCUUCCGUCCUCAAUACUCAGAUUCANNNNNNNNNNNNNNNNNNNNNNNNNNNNNNNNNNNNNNNNNNNNNNNNNNNNNNNNNNNNNNNNNNNNNNNNNNNNNNNNNNNNNNNNNNNNNNNNNNNNACCCAUUCUUCCGUCCUCAAUACUCAGAUUCAGACAUUCAAAGACUAUCCCGAGGCUCACCGGACCUAGUCUGACCCAUGACGAGAUCCCACCUUUCCUUUCCACAAUCGUGGCAUGCAAUCUGCCUCUCCUCUCCUCCACCUCGACCUCGAACCUUUUCGAUUCCACGCCGAAACCACCCCUCUUAACAUUCUUCCCAGACCUCACAUGGCUCUCGCCUUCUACAAUUUCCGUCGAACCCUCAUCGCCACCGCUCUCUCUCUCGCGAUCUUUCUCUCUCUAACCCUCUCUCUCUCCUCCAUUAUAUGAAAUUUAAAUAAUUUAUGGGACUAAUUUGAAAUUGGAAUUUGGGUUUAAAUAUUUGUUUGGGAUUUUGCACAUCUUUGGAUAUUUACAUUUGUACUAUCUUUGUUUUUUUCAUAGACCCAUUCUGCAAUUUUGUUGACUGGGUACGAAUUGAUGAUACGUGGAGCUUGUGGGACCCAUUCUACAAUCUUGUUGGCUGGGUACGAACUGAUGACACGUGGAGUUUGUGGUAAGUUUAUUUUGACACAUAUUUUAUUUCUCACUUUUAUUUGGUUUUAUUUUUAUUAGUUCUUGUAAAUAUUUGUUUGUAUAUAUUUAUCGACUGUGUACAGAAUUGAACAUCGAACAAACUAUAAAUUUUGUUUAAGUGAGAGGAAGAAUUCAGUAAAUGUGUUUUGAUAAAACAAUAAUUUUAAAAUAUUAUUUUUAAUAAAAGAAAGUUUUUUUAUUGUUAUUUAUAAAAAUUCAGAAAAAUCCAAAAGAAUUGUUUUUAAUAGAAUUUGAAAAAUUGUUUUUAAUAACAUUGUCCAAAAAUUUAUUUGCUUAAUAAAAAUUGUUCAAAAAUUGUUUUGUAAUUAAAGUUGUCCCAGAAAUUAAUUUUUAAUAAAAUUGUCCAAAAAUAUUCUUUUAAAUGAAUUCCUUUUCCUUAAUUAAAAUGAGAUUAAAAGUAUUUUGAGAAAUAGAGGAUUUAAUUUUUUGUAUUUUGUUUAUUUAUUUAUUUAAAUGAAAAUGAAUCAAGAUACUUUUGUAAAUAAAAUUGUAAAAAUUCAUUAUUAAUCUUUGUGCCCAAAUUGAAAUUUUGUAAUAAAUUUUAUUGAUACCAUAAAUGUAAAUAACUUUUCUUGAAAGUUAAAUACAAAUCAAAUCAAAUCAAAUCAAAUCACUUGAAGAAAAUGUUUUUGCAAAUAAAUAAAUUGAAAUCAUCCAUUCAAAAUUGUUUUUUUAAAUAAAAUCCUUCGAAAUUUUCAGACAGUUAAUUUUAUUUAUUUAUUUAUUAUUAUUAUUAUUAUUAUUAUUUUAAUAUUUUUUUAUUAGUUCAAUAAAUCAAUUUGCAUAAUUCUAUUAUCAUUUGUUUUGUACAUUCUUGUCAUUUUAUUUUGUUAUCACCUUUGUGUAUAUUGAUUUAUGUUAUUAAUUUCGGCAUCCAUGAUUAAUUAGUUAAUUGUCAUAAUUCCCUCAAUUAGUUUAGUAGAAACCGUAUGUAUAUGGGCUUAGAAGGGUGCUACGGCUCACCACCGUACCUUCCCAAUAGGUAACCUGACCCCCGAACCCAAACUCAAUUUUCUACAGACCUGUUCUUUUUUCCUUCAAGAGUUACACUUAGGGGGUGUUUGGUACACGGGAAUAGGGAGUGGGAAUAGACAUCUCAUUCCUUUUCUCCCUUAUUCCUAUGUUUGGAUAAAUGUUAAGAAAGGCGGAAAUGAAAUAAAAAAUUAUUCUGGCAGAAAUCAAAUCCAACUUAUGAGUCGGAUUUGCAUUCAUUAAAAGUAGGUGGUAUUCUGAUUCAUUAAACCUAUUUGAUAAUAUAAAAUAACUUAAAUUACUAUUUUACCCUCUUAUCUUGUUCUUCAAACCCGAUGUUUAUCUUCUUUGUAAAGGUAGAGAUCCAUUCAUCAUCCACUUCUUAUCUUCUUUGCAAAGCUAGAGACCCACUCAUCAUCCAAUUCUCUGCAACAAGUGAUUCUUCCAAAUUGAAUCAAUUAAACCUUCCAUAAUAUUUGAAAAAAAAAAAUCAAUUUCUAAUUUAUAGGGUUUUGGAUGUUCAUUUUGAUUGUUGGAUCUAGGAUUCGUCAUUGUUUGCUGCAACUAGGUUCUGAAAACUCCCUUCUACAUCUUCGAUCAGGUUUACCUUAUUUUCUCUUUCUUAUUCUACUUCUUUAUAUGUGUUUCUUCUUCUCUAUAAAUCGAUUAAUUUUUUUUUAUUAAUUUACGUUUGGAAUCUUUGAUGUUUCUUUAUCUUGUAUUAAUGGAAACUAGAGAGAAAAAUUGAAAUGGUUGGAAAAAGAUUUUUUGAUUCCACGUGUUUACAAUAUUGAAAAUUUUUAAUGGUUAGGAAAAAAAUAAAAAGAAAAAAACAAGCAAAAACAAAACUUUUGGUUUUUUUUUUCCCCUUUGUUUAUUAUUAUCGGCGUCUUCCUUUCCUAGUUAAAUAAAAAGAUUCUAUAGCUUUUUUUGCAUGACAAAUUAUUUAAAAUUUUGAUAAAAAAAUACAAUAUUUAAAAUAUUUUAAGGUUAUGGAUUUUAUCAGAUAUGAUACUUGUUGAAAAUUAUAAUAAAUUUGAAUUCUUUUAUUUCCUCUUUUGAAAAUAGGAAAAACAUUUGCUAGCUUUGAGAAUUUAAAUAUUAUAAUAAAUAAUUUUUUUUUGAAAAAUAUAAUUUUAUAACUACUUAAGCAUGACAAAUUAUUCAAUUUUUUAAUAAAAAUAAUAAUUGAAUAUUUGUGCAUUAGGGUUAUACGAUUUUUUAUGGUUAAUUUUUUAUUUAUUGAGUAUAUAUAUAUUUUUUAGUCUUAUUAUUUAAUAACAAAAAACCUCUCAAAUUUUAUUUUUUUAAAAUAAAAGUAAAAAUAAAAAAAUAUUUUAAAUUAUAUGUAAGGAUAUUAUUGUAAAUUUAUUUCUUUUUCAUUUCCAUUCCUAUUAUUAUCAAACAUUGGAAUGGAAACAAAUAAUCAUUCUAAUCUUGCAUUCCUAAGUUCAUCCAAAUACUAGAAAUAGAAUCAUCAAAUUCAUUCCAUUCCACUAAGAAAUAGGAAAGGAAACAAAAUAUUAUUUCUAUUCCCUAUUCCGACGUACCAAACACCCCCUUAGGGUUUUUAUUUCUUAUUUUGUUUUUCCCUUUUAAAAAAAAGAAUAAAAUAAGUGGCGACUCCAAGUCUUUUUCUAAAAAUCAAAUUUUCACUAAACAAAAAAAAAAAAAAAGCGAGUCACGUCGUCGAGUGGGAACGCACGUGAAAAUGCGGGGUCCAUAACCAUAUUUAUCAUCUAAAUUAUGUGCUUCUUGAAUAGUAAUUACAUGUUACACAAGAUAGAAUCAUGUUAACAUAUUAAACGGAUUAGAAUCAUGCUAUCUGGUUUAACGAAUGUUAAUAAGUAUAAUAGGUUAGAAUCGAAUUAACGGGGGUUACCUAUGUUAAUUCAUAUAAAGGUCAACUUAGCCUAUUUAUUAAAUUAGUUAUGUUUAUAUCAAGUUAUUUUAACAUGAUGUUUAAACAAACCAUAUUCCAUUUGAGUAAAUUUUCACUAGUUUUUAUCUUGACAUAAUACAAAUCCAACAUAAUAUGACCCAUUAUCACCCUAAUUAAGGAGCAUAUGAGUGUUGCAUUAAGGAAGUGGAAGAAGAGCAUAGAUACUAAUGAUAUCAAAUUUUAGGGAGUGGAAGCAUUUAAUCAAGUAAUGUUGUGCAACUUUUUUUUCAUAAGUAGUGGAUUAUUCAAUUGUCAAGAGACCAACCAUAAUUUUUUUUACACCUAGGGAUUUCUAGGUGGUUUCCACAUUAAAUUCUAUGUUGAAUUGUGUAAUUGGAAAUCUCAUGCAUGAGAUUGAUAAGAUAUUGAUGAUAAUUGAGUUGGAAUAAAAUAAUUUAACUUUGAGGGGUUAAUUGCUUGGACUACCUAUUUACCCCUCCUGUAAGAAGUUCCAUAUCAACAAAAAAGUUCUUUCAAUAUGUAUAUAGAUAUUUUAUAUUUUCUAAUUUUAAAUUUAUUUUUAAAUUGGGAAAUUGAGUGGGGAAAUAGUUGGCUCAAUUUUCAAGUUUGGAAACAAAAUUUGUUGUUAACAUGUUAUUUUACCUUAUUUUAUACAUUUUUUUUAAUAAAAAUAUAUAAUCAAGUGCUCUUGUAUGAUUGAUUUAGAUGUUAGCAAAGGUUACAAUCAUUAAUUCUAUUAAUUGACCAACAAUUUUUUAUAAACUUUAAGUUGCUAGCAUUCAUAUAUCAUCCUAAAAUUAUUAAUUAUAAUUUUAUUUAAGUUGAACCACAAAUCUUGGGUAAAUGAAGAAAAAUUCGUUAACAAGAUACUUGUUUAUAUUGGAAGUUUUUAGUUUGAUUUGUUGUUGUUGAAUUCAAAUUCUUAGAAGAUAGCUUUGAGGACUAGCUAGUUGCCUUGGUUUUUGUUAUAUGUUUGAUUUUUAUAUUGUUUUCAGACAUGAUGUGUAAAAUGGAUUAAUGGUAAUGAUGUUGAAACAUGGCUAAUACUAUUAGACCAAUGUUGAAGAGAGUGCCUUUGGCGGGCUGCAUCUGGAGCAAGCUCCAUGACAAGCUCCAUUUACUACAAAGUAUUGCUUCACAACCUAUUUGUAUAUUAUAAAGUUGUGAGUACAAUUAUUAAAGUUGUAUAAACAAGUGGCAAUCUUGAUAUGUCAGAAUGACACCAUUCGAAAAUUAUAUAAAUUUUAGUAGGUUCAAGUAAGGUGUAAUUAUAUCAUAGUAAUAAUCAUGUUAACUUGCAUAACUCAUUUAAAUUAUUGAAAUGCAUUUAUGAGAGGCAUUUGCAUUGCCUAAUUAUAGUUCUUAUUAGAGAAUGAGUUAUUAUCAAUUUCAUGGAACAAAACUUUCAUUAGUCAGUAUAAUUUGAAAGUGAAAUCUUACUCAUAAAAUUUUUCAAUUAAAUUUAAAAGUUAAAAUUAUAAAGUAGAGAGUUAAAAGAACCAUUGAGCAUAGUUUAAAAUUUGAAUAUAAUGUGUUUAUUGUUGUAAUUCAAGCCCAAUAUUUAUUAUUUAUUAUUAAAAAUAUAAUUUUAUAUCUAAUUUUUAUAUUUAAGAUAAUUUAGCACAUUUGAACAAUGCUUUGAGAAUAAGAUUGGAGCAUCUAAUUUGACUAAUUUGAUAGCAAAUCAAACUAAUCCAAUCUUAUUUUUCAUAUUUAUCCACCUUCAAUUCUAAGAUAAACAUGAACAAAAGUCUUUAUAUGAUUAUAACAAAAUAAACACUAAAAUAAUGAGUUUAACAUUAAAUAAUAAAAAUUUUAUUUCAGUCUUCAACAUAUUGUUAUAUAAGUUAUAUAUAUGUUAGUAAAAUAAGAAAUGUUAAUAUAUUUAAAAUAUUAAAUAAUAAAAUCACAAUUUUUUGUUAUUAUUAAUAUUUAAUUAAUAAAUUCUAAUUAAAUCUAAAAUAAAAACUUUACACAAAUUAGUAUAAAACCAAAUAUGAUCACCAUAAACCAACCCCUAUAAAAAGAAUUAAAUAUAUAAAAGUCAAAGUAAAUAAAUGAGAAUUAAUGUUAAAAGAUAUAAACAAGAAAAAAAAAUUCAUUGUCUAGUAGUUUAAUUAUUUAUAUAAUUUUAACUUCAUGUAUUAUUUUAAAUUUUAAUAAUAUAUGAAUUAUAUAUGCAUAUUGUCAUGUUGAUAUCAUGUUUCAAUUACUUGAACCAUCAUUUCAAUUAAGAAAGUCUAAUGCAAUAAUUUUUCAAUUCAAUAACUAAUUAAUAAGAUUUUCAAAAUAUUGUAUUUGAAAACUCAUCACAAAAAAUGAAUAUAAAAGAUCAUGAAGUUCUUGCAAAGAAAAUUGACUUCACUUAAAUAUGAAACCCCAAACCUUAAUUUCUUCAAUAAUACUAAUCAAAAUUCUUAUGUUUAAGCAUAUUAGGAGAGAACCAAUAAUCUCAUCCGCAAAUCAAGCAUAGUCAAUAAUCAAUUCUUAUGUUUAGGAGUAAUAUAUAUAUAUAUACCUUGUGUAGUUGAUGUAUCUUUUGAAAAGUCAUGUAUAUAUUUAAAUGUUGUAAUAUAUAUCUUGAAUAAUAUACUUUUGACCAUUCAUUCAUUCAUCCAUUCAUCUUAUACUCUUGUAAAUAAAAGUGACUUCAUGAAAAUAUAUAUGAAAACCUCAAACCUUAACUUCUUCGAUAAUGCCUAUUAAAAUUUUUGCAAUUGAAGGUUGUGUAACUGAGAAUGAUAAUGAUGUAAGGUUUAGAACUGGUCACUCCUAACCAAACUUAUUCUUAUACAAAUUCCCAUCUUCAUCUAAGUCUAGGAGUUAACUUUUCUAUUUUAAGAAAAUUAAUUAUUUUUAUUUUACAUGUAUUAAAAAAGGUAAAAUAAAAAAAAAAAAACAUUAAGAUUGAGCUAUAUGAUCAAUCUCUGUCAAACCUGAAUCAAUCACAAUAUAUAUGUAAGAAGAUAAUUUAAAAAUGUGUUUGAUAAUGUUUUAUUUUGAAGUGUUUUUAAUUUUAAUGAAAGAAUUUUUUAAAAAAAAUUAACUUUAAGAGAAGCAUUUAUUAAAUAUUUUUUUUUUCAAAAAGCACCAUAAAUGAUUUUUUUAUUUGUUUAAAACUAUUUAUUAAAUUUUAUUAAAUACUUAAUUUUUCUUUAAAAAUAUUUUUUAAGGUAGAAGUGCUUUUUUAAAAACAAUAUCAAAUGGACGUAAGUCUUAACAUAAAAUCCCAAAUCUACCCUUGAUUUAAUUAUACUUUUCAAAUCCAUCCUAUGAGCCUAGGCAUCCUUGAAAUACCCACCCCUAUUAUAAUACAAAAGCAAACCACCACUAAAGAUAUUUAAACAACAUUUUAAGGACAAUCGGAACAUAUCAAUGAGUCUUUGUCUCAUAAUACAAAUUUCGUUAUGUUCACAUGUAGAAACGGACAAAUGAUACGUAAAAACUAAAAAUCAUAUACAAUAGAAAGCUUGGAAUCAGGGAAGAGAGUAGAAAGUUACGAAGUGGUGGAGCCUUGGUAAAAUAAAAUUAACGGCAUUAUCAUGUGCGUGUCCCAUCGUUGGAUGGACCAAAUUUUGCUUCUCCCAAAGCUCUUUAAAUAUUAUAAUUAGAGUCCACUUGAUGCUUAGAAAAAUACAUUUGCAAGUGAUCUCCAUCUGUCAAUCAAUUAAUCUAUACAAUAUUAAAAAUUCACUUGUAGUUGAUUUAAGAAAAUCACUUUGUUGGUGGUGGCCUGUCUCCGAUGUUACCCAAGUUUCAACUCUGGACUUUUCAAAUUAACAAAGUGCAGUGAUUCAUCUUUCUUCUUUGUUCCAUCUUUGGCUGAAUUGUAAUCCUUUUGUCUGUAACUUACGGAAAGCUAUGGAGUUCCUGAGCUCAAUCGUGGGUCUGGUCCCCUGCUUCUAUGAUCACACCUCUAAGCAUACCGUCUACAUUCGUGAUCUGAAGAAAAAUCUCCAAGCCUUGAGCAAGGAAAUGGUGGAUCUCAACAACUUGUAUGAAGAUGUGAAGGAAAGGGUUGAAGGUGCAGAGCAACGACAGAUGAAGCGCAGAAAGGAAGUGGGUGGUGUUGAUGCCUCGCGUCCCUGACGAUCCACGCAGUUGCUGAAUGGAUGGACACGCGAUCUCAACCCACAAAGGUUCUUGAUUCAGUCGUUAUACCUGCAAAAGACAUCCGGACAGGGUGUCCGGACGCACCCUCCGAUGGUUUUGUUAGCCAUGGUUAGAGAGGGAGAUAUAAAUCAGUUGGCCUUUUACUAGGUAUCAGGAGAUUACCUUCCUCUUCGUGUGAAGGUUUAUAUAUAGUGUCAGGAGUACUGUUCCUCACAUUAAUGGUGAGGAGAUAUUUUAUGUUUGUCAUGAUGACAUUCGGAGGCAGCAUGGUCAUCGCCACCCUACUGGCGGCUGUCAGAAACCGUGGUAGGUGAUGCGGCUGUCAGAGAUCGUGGGAAGUGAUCAUGUAGAAUGAUCGUGGGAAGUGACUUGUUGUCACCUCAACCCGUCCUUUCACUCUGCAGGUGAUGGGACGUGGGCCAUGGAUGGUUGUCGUGAUAGCAUGUAAGACUCGCUAUACUUUAGUCAAUGAUCCGGACAAUCAUAUCCGGAUAGCCCAUGUUGGUUAUCCGGAUGUAUUCUGGAGCGGACGCAUUGAUGGAAGACGUCCGGAUGUCUAUGUUUUGUAAGCGUCGUUUGCCCUCCCUUGAGGCAGUCCGGAUGGGAAAAGCGCGUCAUGUGUGCUUUAUAGGAAGAUCUGGAUGAGGGUGACCCGGAUGACAAUGUGUGCCACGUGUCACUGUAAGAUGCGUGCCACGUGUCACUGCAAGAUGCGUGCCAUGUGUUCUCGGAGGGAGGGGUCCCUACAAUGCCCCACUUUUUAACUUGCCUAUUUUGCCUUAGAAAAAAUGGGCGGGUUAAAAAAUAAUUGGUUUUUGAAACCGAAGUCGACUUUUGGUCUGGUUGGGCCACGUGGCGAGUGGGGGUGCGGGAGCCAAAAAGGCAUUUAUGAUGAGCCGCAGACUCUGGGUAUUCCCAGGCAACAUGUCAUUUCAAUGAUGGCGUUGUUUGGGCGUUUGGUUUUCCGAGGGGCUGUCCCCCUAUAAAUAGCAGACUGUGCCUUCUGUUUGUAUUUUUCCUACUGCGUUUCUUCUGAGAGUUUUUGCUUCUUCUUCCUUCUGUGCUUUCCUUUGCUUUUCUGAGUACAAAACCCUGGAGUUUUUUUCUGCCGGUGAUUUUGUGUCGCGACAGCAACCUUUCUUCUCCACAUUUCCAUUUGGUAUGUGCAUUUUGCUCUUAUUUUCCCUUUGUUGUGCUUGUUUGUUCAUUGGCUUGAUUUCUGACUUGCUUUGGGCAAAUCACUUGCAACUGUGUGUUGAAUGUUGGUGUUUGUUGAUUUUCUGGAUUGCUGUGUGUAACUGUUGCGCUUUUUUGUAUGUAGGUUUCGGUAAAACUUGGGCUAAAAAAUGUCUUCGAAGCAAAAAGCUACUUCAUCUGUCCGCGCCGGCGACGCUUAUGGGAAAUCUACAGACAAACUGAGCGUAAAGGAGUUCCGGGAUCGAUUCUGCAUUCCAAAUGGCGUAAUUGUGGAAUUUUUGAAUGGGGAGGAUGUCGUACCUACUGAGAAAGUUGAACAAGGUACCGUCAUCUUCUCCAAGGAACAAUUCAACGCGGGGCUCCGGUUCCCUCUGCCGGCGUUGUUCAAGGAAUUCCUCCAUUUCACCCAGAUUCCACCCGUCUUCAUUCAUCCCAAUAUCGUCCGGGUGCUGAUGGGAUGCAGCAUCAUAAACAUGCUGUACAACCUCGACCUCACGGUGCUGGAGGUGUUUUUUGUCUAUUCGCUGAAGAAGGUGAAAACUGACAUCUUCAGCAUGUCCGCGCACCUGCCCUCCCUUCAAUUGGUGACGGAACUGCCAGACUCGACGAAGGGAGGGGCGAAGGGACACGUGGCGGUCCAGGGUGCAUGGGCGGGGUCAUCAGGGCGUCCGGGGAGGCCCUUCUCUCCAAACUACUCUUUAGCGAUUCCGGGUAAGUUUGCUUUGCGACUUUUGUCCGGAUUUUUACCUUGUUGUCUUUUUGUUGAUCUUUUCGGAUGGUAUUCUCAACCUUUGUUGCUGUCAAUGUAGGUCCGGAAAAAAGGGGCCACCUUGUGGACUGGGUGGAGAAGGAGUCCUUUGCCUGUCUCAGUAAGUUAUUUGAGAUAGACGCCAAGGAGAGGCACUACAAGACGCUGCUUACUGCGCAGAACCUGAUGGCGGUCGUCCGGGUGUGGUUCGGUAGGCCCAUAGGACGCCGGGUAGCUCCUCGACCCACUUCCCUUUGGCUUGUUCAAGCCUUUUCUUUAGGGCGGUGAUUAGGGUCUUGUUGGUGGCUUCUGCUUGCCCAUUACUUUGAGGAUAUCGCGGCGUGGAGUAUGAAUUCCGGAUGUUCAGUUCCGAACAGAAUUUCCUGAAGAUGAUGCUGUCAAAUUGUGGACCAUUGUCAGCUAUGAUGGUUUGGGGGAUUCCAAAACGGCAAACAAUGUUUUUCCAUACGAACUUGGUGACAUUUUUGUCUUUGAUGCUAGCAUAUGCUUCAGCUUCCACCCAUUUACUGAAAUAGUCUGUGGCAACGAGCAAAAAUUUCUUUUGGGCAGGUACAGCUGGGAGAGGUCCCACUAUGUCCAUGCCCCAUUGUGCGAAGGGCCAUGGGCCUGAGAUUGAUUUUAAUGUUGCUGAUGGCAUAUGUGGAAUGGGAGCAUACCUUUGACAUUUAUCACAUUUUUUGACAUAGGCUGCCCCAUCCUUCUUCAUUGUUGGCCAAUAAUAUCCUUGUGAAUGGGCUCGAUGUGCCAGAGAUCGUCCUCCUGAAUGAUUCCCGCAUAUUCCCUUAUGCAACUCAGUUAACACAUACUGGGCCUCUGAAUGCCCUAGGCACCGAAGGUAAGGUCCUGUGAAGGACCGCUUGUACAGGUGCCCCCCAAUCAGGGUGAAACGGGCAACUUGCACCCGGCCUUUGUGUGCCUGUUUGAGAUCUCCGGGUAGAGUGCCUGUCCGGAUAUAUUCUGCGAUGUCAUACGUCCAUUCUUGGUCGUCCGCUUGGGAUGCCUCAAUGGUACUGCAGGUGGAAAUUUCUGCGAUAGAGGGGUUGGGUUGCACAUGUAUAGGCAAUAGAAUAGCUUCUUUGAUGGGAAGGGAAGCAGCUAUUCCAGCUAAGGCGUCAGCGCGCCCAUUAUCAGUUCGCUUAAUUUUUUCUAUUGUCCAUUCAGUGAAUUGCUGCAAGGUGUCCCUUACUUUAGCUAAGUAUCGCGCCAUGCGUGCGUCUUUAGCCUCGUACUCCUUCUGGACAUGCCUUACCACGAGUUGUGAGUCACUGUAGAUCCAGAGUUUGGAGACGGAUAGAGCAAGGGCGAGGUCCAAUCCGGACAAGAUGACCUCAUAUUCUGUUUCGUUGUUAGAGGCAGAGAAUCCCAGCCGGAUGGCUUACUCCGAAUGUUCCCCAGUUGGGGAUUGUAGUAGGAGCCCAACUCCAGAGCCUGAUAAGCGUGAGGCUCCGUCAACUCGCAGAGUCCACCAUUCUUGUUUACUUGAUCCGUGGUGUUGGCUGGGUCUUCGGGAAUAUUCUAGCACGAAGUCAGCCAUUACUUGGCCUUUCAUGGACAAUCUGGGUUGGAAUUCGAUUCCAAACUCGCUCAAUUCAAUGACCCAUUGUAGCAUUCUCCCAGUUAAAUCUGGCUUGUGCAGAAUGUUGCGAAGGGGCUGGUCAGUUAGUACGAUUACUGGAUGAGCUUGGAAAUAAGGGCGGAGCUUCUGAGCAGCGCUUCGAAGGGCUAAGGUUGUUAGCUCCAUUUUUGAAUAUCUGGUUUCUACGUCUGCCAAUGCCCUGCUGACGUAGUAGAUAGGUUUCUGCUCCUUGGGUGAGGGGCAGCGGAAUAGAACGGCGCCGAUUGCCCAUUCUGAUACCGCCAGAUACAUGUACAAUUUUUCCUUCGGGAUGGGGCUGCUCAAGAUGAGUGGUUGCAUAAGACAAUGCUUAAUCUUUUCGAAAGCGUUUUGGCAACUGUCCGUCCAUCCGUGUGCUCCAGCUUUUCGUAUUGCCAAGAAGAAGGGUCGCAAUUCAUCAGUGAAGCGGGCUAUAAAACGCCCUAGUGCGACGAGUUUGCCUGUGAGCCGUUGUAGCUCCUUCUUGUUCCUGGGAGGGGGUAUUUCCAUGACUGCCUUGACUUGAUCCGGACUGACUUCUAUGCCCCUUUGGCUGACCAUAAAUCCCAGAAAUUUUCCAGCACUUACGCCAAAGGCGCAUUUAGAAGGAUUUAGCUUCAUGCCAUACUUUCGUAAGAGGUGAAAAACUUCUUGUAAGUGAAGGACAUGCUGCUCUCGGGUUUUGCUUUUAACCACGAUAUCAUCAAUAUAUACCUCUACUGUGUGGCCUAUCAGAGGUUUGAAGAUCUUUGUCAUCAGUCUCUGAUAAGUGGCGCCAACGUUUUUGAGUCCGAACGGCAUGACUUUGUAGCAAUAGAGUCCGUGUGGCGUUAUGAAUGCUGUCUUUUCCUCGUCAUCCGGGGACAUGGGAAUCUGGUGAUAUCCGGAGAAGGCAUCCAAGAAAGAGAGCAUCCCUUACCCGGAAGUGGAAUCCACAAUUUGAUCUAUUCGUGGCAAGGGAAAACUGUCUUUUGGACAUGCAUUGUUGAGAUUGGUGUAAUCUACACAAACUCGCCAUUUUCCUUCUUUUUUGGGUACCACCACUACGUUUGCCAACCAAUCCGGAUAAGAUACUUCUCUGAUGAAUCCGGCUUCGAGCAAUUUGUCAAUCUCAUUCCGGAUGACUUUUUGUCUAUCCGGGUGAAAGCGCCUAGUUUUCUGCCGGACAGGUUUGGCAGUUGAAAAGACGUUAAGUCUGUGAGAUGCAAUAGAGGGAUGAAUUCCCUUCAUAUCAGAAUGUGCCCAUGCGAAGAUGUCAUGAUUCUGUCUGAGAAUGUUUUGCAUGCUCUAAGUUUCUUCGGUUGUCAUGAGGGAACUGAUGUUCGUGAGGUGAGUGUUUUCCUCCGAAAUUUGGAUUGUUUGUAAGGGAUCUGCUGCCGGGGGAUCUUUGUCCGUCGGACCCAAUAAUUGCUAUUGGUCAUGUGUAUGGCUGGGUUCAGGGGGAGAUGCAUCCUCCUCGUUGGCCCUUGCUUCUCGUGCUAUCUGAUAGCAUUGGCGAGCGGCCAGCUGGCUACCAUAUAGGUCAAUUUGCCCUUCGUUGGUGAGAAAACUCACCAUUUGAUGAUAUGUGGAGGGGAUGGCUUUCAUGUAAUGUAGCCAUGUGCGCCCCAAGAUGAUAUUGAAGGGUGAUAACUCUUGUACCACCGAGAAUUGUACGUUGAGAGUGACUGGGCCAGCUUGGACCGGCAGUACAAUGUCUCCCGAGGACGUAGUUGAUGACCCGUUAAAUCCAGAUAGGAUUCGUCCAGGGUUUUCGAGGCCUGUAAGACUGUGUCCCAUGUGGCCAACGACUGAUGUUUGCACAAGAUCGGCCGAACUGCCUGGGUCAACCAAGAUACGUCGCACAUCGAAGUCCCCAAUUUCCAGGGACAAGAUGAGGGCGUCGCGAUGUGGUUGCAGUGUCCGGGUGGGAUCUACUGGUGGGAAAAUGAUUGUCCCAUCUAUGGGGCGAGGGCCCCCCCCAGUUAGCCCAGGCCGGAUGGAAUUGAUACGUUCGCAUAUUGAUGCGGCUCGCAACAAUUUUUGCCUCUUUCACCUAGAGUCGUACUCCUCGUCAGAUGGACCUCCGUUAAUAUAGUUUAUAACGGCCUUGGGGGCGGCUGGGGCCCUGGGGGCUCCAGGAUUGUGAUGUUGAGAUGCGUCCCUUCCUUCAUUAUCUGAUCGGAGGUAUUGCUUCAAAUGCCCUGUUUUUAUGAGCCUCUUGACCAGAUACUGGAAAGCUCGGCAUGUCUCUGUUGUAUGGCCAUGAUCCUUGUGGAAGGCACAUCUCCUACUACGAUCUCUUGUGGAUGGGUCCGUUCCAAUGGGUCUAGGCCACUUGAAGUCGGACAAGCCCUGGAUUAUUGGGAGAAGUUUCUCAUACGAUAUGGAAAGGGGUGUGAGAGGCGGCCUUUCCGGGCAACUUGGCCCUUCCUGCCUCCGGUCGGAUGGCUUUGGCCGGUCCGGAGGUUUAGCAUUUCUCUCUGCGUCACCUCUAGAUGGUCGUCCGACAACCAAAACUUGUUGGGUGGCUGCACGCACGUCAUCUUCAAGCAUUGAAUAUUUGUUGGCACGCCUGAAUAAGUCAUCCAUCGUUGUGGGAGGCUUUUUUGCCAGUGAUUCGAAAAAUGGAGUGCCUAGACAGAUGCUUCGCUUGAAGAUCUGUAGGACAGCAUCCAUACUGCAAGCCUCUACUUGAAGCACGGCUUGGCCAAACCACUUCACGAAUUCCCUCAAGGAUUCGUUAUCUUGCAUUUUUAUGUUCUGCAGGGUGCUGAUAUUUUGCUUGUGUCGAGCGGGGCACAAGUAUUGUCCCACAAAAGCUUCGGACAGGUCCCUGAAAUUGCCAACAGAGUUGGGAGGUAGGCGAUGAAACCAUGAGAGGGCCUGUCCUUGUAGGCUGGCGGGAAAUACUUUGCAUAGUAGUGCAUCGUUGCCAAUAUCGAGCGUCAUGCACUGUCGAUAAUGCAUGAUGUGAUCGAAAGGAUCGUUGGUUCCAUCGUAUGUGGAAAAUUUUGGUACGAGGAAUCCCCUUGGGGGCUCGUAAUGGAUGAUAUGAGAGCAGAAGGGCGUGGAGAGCAUGUCAUCCAGCCUUCUGCUGAUGGAGCCAAUGGGUGGCUCGUUUGGGAGGUUUCCCCCAGCCUGCUGUACCGCUGGGUGCGAAUGAACGUUCCGCAUCACGGGGGUGACUAUGGGGUCACGAUGCGGGUGUACGUUCUGCACCAUGGGGGUGGUCAUGGGGUCAGGGCGUGGUGCCCAAGUUGUGGCCAUUGGUGGCCUUGAUCUUCCAGGCUCUUGUGGGCUUAGUCUUGCGCGCAUCGAAUUUGACAACUGAGGUCUUCUAUCGCAUUGCCUUUUCGUUGAAAAAUGAGUAGAGUCUGAACUUUCCUCACGGGGAGCUCGGGGCAUAGGCGUGUGUGGCUCAUGAGGCCUCACGUUGCAUGCUCCUGGGAUAGCUCCUGUUGUUCCGGGAUAUAUUGAUUCUGGUUCUUGUUGAGGCCUUGAGUUUGCUACUUGGCCCCUUGAACGCUGACGUCGAGGAGGCCCUGAUGUUGAAGCCUGGAUGCGUAACACAGCGUUUUCCUCUCUCAAUCUUUCUGUCUCCUAGAUGAGAGCUUUUAGUUGUCGUUCGCUUGCCAACUGUCUCCUUUCGAUGGUUUGACGCCAUUCAAAAUUAUCAUCCCCUCCCCUACCAGAUGAACGGCUUCGGGAAGGUGUGGCCAUCUUUGCCAGUGACUGAAUCAAAAUGAAAAAGUAGUUCCCACAGACGGCGCCAAUGUUGAUGCCUCGCGUCCCUGACGAUCCACGCAGUUGCUGAAUGGAUGGACACGCGAUCUCAACCCACAAAGGUUCUUGAUUCAGUCGUUAUACCUGCAAAAGACAUCCGGACAGGGUGUCCGGACGCACCCUUCGAUGGUUUUGUUAGUCAUGGUUAGAGAGGGAGAUAUAAAUCAGUUGGCCUUUUACUAGGUAUCAGGAGAUUACCUUCCUCUUCGUGUGAAGGUUUAUAUAUAGUGCCAGGAGUACUGUUCCUCACAUUAAUGGUGAGGAGAUAUUUUAUGUUUGUCAUGAUGACAUUCGGAGGCAGCAUGGUCAUCGCCACCCUACUGGCGUCUGUCAGAAACCGUGGUAGGUGAUGCGGCUGUCAGAGAUCGUGGGAAGUGAUCAUGUAGAAUGAUUGUGGGAAGUGACUUGUUGUCACCUCAACCCGUCCUUUCACUCUGCAGGUGAUGGGACGUGGGCCAUGGCUGGUUGUCGUGAUAGCGUGUAAGACUCGCUAUACUUUAGUCAAUGAUCCGGACAAUCAUAUCCGGAUAGCCCAUGUUGGUUAUCCGGAUGUAUUCUGGAGCGGACGCAUUGAUGGAAGACGUCCGGAUGUCUAUGUUUUGUAAGCGUCGUUUGCCCUCCCUUGAGGCAGUCCGGAUGGGAAAAGCGCGUCAUGUGUGCUUUAUAGGAAGAUCCGGAUGAGGGUGACCCGGAUGACAAUGUGUGCCACGUGUCACUGUAAGAUGCGUGCCACGUGUCACUGCAAGAUGCGUGCCACGUGUUCUCGGAGGGAGGGGUCCCUAUAGGUGGGUGGAUCCGUGAAGUAAAAGACAUGGAGAAAGAAGUUCACGAAAUUCUGUAAAGAGGAGAUCAAGAAAUCCAGAAGAGUUGUCUCGGAUGCUGUCCCAGGAAUUGUUGGUCUAGCUACAGGAUUGGAAAGGCAGUAAGUGAAAAGCUGGUUGCUGUAUCUCGUCAAAUCGGCAAAGGACAUUUCGAUGUUGUAGCCGAGAUGUUGCCUCGUCCUCCAGUUGAUGAACUGCCAAUGGAGGCGACUGUGGGCCCACAAUUGGCGUAUGAAAAGAGCUGUAGGUUUCUCAAAGAUCCACAAGUGGGAAUUAUGGGAUUGUAUGGAAUGGGGGGUGUUGGCAAAACCACCCUCUUGAAGAAAAUCAACAAUGAAUUCCUCACAACAUCCAAUGACUUUGAGGUUGUGAUUUGGGCUGUGGUGUCAAAAUCGCCCGACAUUGAAAAAAUUCAGCAACUUAUUUGGAAUAAAUUGGAAAUCCCACGUGAUAAAUGGGAAACUAGAAGCAGUAGGGAGGAGAAGGCUGCAGAAAUAUUGAGAGUUCUAAAAAGAAAAAGGUUCAUCUUGUUGUUGGAUGACAUUUGGGAGGGACUUGAUCUCCUAGAAAUGGGGGUCCUGCGUCCAGAUACUGAAAAUAAGUCCAAGAUAGUUUUGACGACCCGAUCACAGGAUGUCUGCCACAAAAUGAAAGCUCAGAAGAGUAUAGAAGUGGAAUGUUUGGAGUUAGAAGAUGCCUGGACUUUGUUCCGGAAGGAGGUAGGAGAAGAGAUAUUAAAUUCUCAUCCGGAUAUACCGAUGCUUGCAAAGGUUGUUGCUGAAGAGUGCAGAGGUUUACCUCUCGCUCUUGUCACUCUUGGGCGGGCCAUGGCAGCUGAGAAAGAUCCCUCAAACUGGGACAAGGUAAUACAAGAUCUACGCAAAUCUCCAGCUGAAAUCACAGGUAUGGAAGAUAAAUUGUUUCAUCGAUUGAAACUCAGUUAUGAUAGGUUGCCUGACAAUGCUAGCAAAUCUUGUUUUAUAUAUCAUUCCAUGUUCCGAGAGGACUGGGAGAUUUAUAAUUUUCAACUUAUAGAACUUUGGAUAGGGGGGGGGGGGGGGGGGGGUUCUGGGGGAAAAUUCUGGAUUUAAUUGAACCCCCCCUCCUGGGGAAAAAAAUUUUUAAAAUUUUAAAACUUGCUGGUUUUUUAAAAAGUCUGGGUUCAAAAAAAAAAAGGGUAAAAAANNNNNNNNNNNNNNNNNNNNNNNNNNNNNNNNNNNNNNNNNNNNNNNNNNNNNNNNNNNNNNNNNNNNNNNNNNNNNNNNNNNNNNNNNNNNNNNNNNNNUUAUAAUUUUCAAUUUAUAGAAUUUUGGAUAGGGGGGGGGGGGGGGGGGGUUCAUGGGUGAAGUUCAUGACUUACAUGAAGCACGCAAUCAAGGGAAGAAAAUUAUUAAAACUUUAAAACAUGCAUGUUUAUUAGAGAGCUGUGGUUCGAGAGAAAAUAGGGUUAAGAUACAUGAUGUGCUCCGCGACAUGGCUUUAUUGUUAUAUGGUGAACAUGGGGUGAAAAAGAACAAAAUUCUAGUAUACAAUAAGGUUACUAGGCUUGAUGAAGAUCAAGAAACUUCCAAAUUGAAAGAAACAGAGAAGAUAUCAUUAUGGGAUAUGGACGUUGGGAAGUUCCCAGAAACAUUGGUGUGCCCCAAUCUUAAGACUUUAUUUGUGAAAAAAUGUCAUAAUUUGAAGAAAUUUCCAAGUGGAUUCUUUCAAUUCAUGCUUCUACUAAGAGUUUUGGAUUUGUCAGACAAUGAUAAUUUAAGCGAGUUGCCUACUGGGAUUGGUAAAUUGGGUGCCUUGAGAUAUCUUAGUCUGUCACACACAAGAAUAAGGGAGUUGCCCAUUGAACUAAAGAAUUUGAAAAAUCUGAUGAUUUUGCUUAUGGAUGAUAUGAAAUCCCUUGAAAUUAUUCCACAAGAUGUGAUAUCAAGCCUUAUAUCCUUGAAGUUGUUCUCCAUUUACGAAUCCAAUAUUUCAAGUGGAGUUGACGAAACUGUACUGGAGGAGUUGGAGUCCUUGAAUGACAUCAGUGAGAUAUCAACCACCAUAUCCAAUGCUCUUUCAUUCAACAAACUAAAGAGUAGUCACAAAUUACAAAGGUGCAUUAGUUAUCUACAUUUACAUAAAUGGGGGGAUGUGAUCUCACUUGAGCUAUCAUCUUCAUUUUUUAAAAGAGUGGAGCAUUUGCGGGGGCUUCAUAUAAGCCAUUGCAAUAAAUUGGAAGACGUGAAAAUUAAUGUGGAAAGAGAAGGCACACACAAUGAUAUGACUCUUCCAAACAAAAUUGCAGCAAGGGAGGAAUACUUCCACACCCUUCGUAAUGUGCUUAUAGAACAUUGUUCAAAAUUGUUAGACUUAACAUGGCUUGUUUAUGCUCCAUAUCUUGAAAAACUUCACGUUGAAGAUUGUGAAUCGAUAGAAGAAGUGAUAUGUGAUGAUAGUGAAGUCUGUGAAAUGAAGGAAAAAUUGAACAUAUUCUCAAGGCUCAAAUACCUCACGCUCAAUAGGCUGCCAAGAUUGAAGAGCAUCUAUCAGCAUCCGCUACUCUUUCCCUCUCUUGAAACCAUCAAGGUGUGUGAAUGCAAAAGCUUAAGGAGCCUCUCGUUUGAUUCCAACACUUCAAAUAAUAGUCUGAAGAAAAUUAAAGGAGAGACAAGUUGGUGGAAUCAGUUGAAGUGGAACGAUGAAACUAUCAAACACUCUUUUACUCCCUAUUUCCAAAUCCACGAAGCUGAAGCAUAUUUAACGGACUCUGAGGAGUCUGAAACUGGCAGCAUAGAUGAUAUUCAGGAAUGACCGAUAUCAAAUUAAUUUCUAUCAAUCUUUCAGGUAUUUAUUAACUUUUAUACUAUAUUUGGAAAAUCAUUUUCUUUCCUUAAUCCCAUUCUUUUGUGGAAAUUUUUACUCUAUCUAAGCCAAAGUGCAUCAAGUCUCAACAUCAUAAUAACUCAGUGUUUGAUCUAUCAAGUUUGCCCCUUUUGAAGUAACCGUAAUAAAAUUUGCCCAGAAGGGAGUUUGAAGGAGGUCUUUUAUUUAAACAUCUAAUGACAUUUCCGUUUGGUUACUUGAAAAGUUAAAAACAUGCAGAGUUCCCAACUAUUUUAUUUAUCUUGUCUUAAUUUUUUCAAUUCAUUUCAAUCUAUAAACAGAAAGAGAAUUCCUAAUUUCAACUUAAUUCCUUAUAUUUCAAGUUGAAACAACAGCUGUUUCACAACAACUGUAGGUAAAGAUAUUCCAUUAAGAAUUCUCGCUUUGUUUAAUGUAUUUACCAGGACCAACUAUAUGUAAUUUCCCUUCUUUUGUUCAGUUGCCUCUAUCUGGUUGACUCUCAGUUGUUUUUUUUAUUUUCUUUUCUUUUCUUUUUUCUACUGCAUUCAGAGUUGGGGCUUGUUCUAGAAGUUCUGACAACAGCUGAGAUUCAAUUAGCUCUAUGUAGUGGGGCCUUGAGUUUUUUGGUUGGAUGCAGAGUAGGGUCUUGUUCUACCCGUUCUUACUCAGUUGGGAUCUGAGCUUCUUCGGCUGCUUCCGUUUCGUCCUGCUCUGAGCUGGAUUAUGUUUGCUUGCUGGUCUGAGUUUCUGAUAUGUUUUGUGGCGGUGUGCUGAUUCUCAGAGUAUCGUUAUUCAUGGUGCUCAGUCUGUUGGGAAAGUUGGUUAAUGUCCAGAUGCAGGGGCUCAUCUCGGCAGGCUUUGGUUGGGAUCCAUGUGUUUGCUGGAAUUGGAUUCUGUGGGUUGCCUUUGGCUUUUGAUGUAGGCUGGGUUUGUUUUCUUUGUUGAGGCCGGUGGAGUAUGGUGGCUCAGAAGCUGCUAGUAAUCUGUCUGUUGUAUGCUGAGGCUGGAAUCUUCAUGGUGGUUGCUCUGGUGGGUCAAUAUGAUAUGGGAAUGCUUUUGCCUUUUUCAGUCCUUGGGCGUCAGCUGGUUGCUUGUGUUUCCUCUGCGCUUUAGUUCAUAUACCAGAGUGCAUACUUCCUUGAGUUCCAUAUCCCACUGCCAAGUGUGUUGUCCAUGAUGUAAUGUAAAGCAGUUAAUUUGUAUACCUGGCCUUCAGUUCCUCUCUAGAAAACUUUGAACGCCCUUUAUGAAUGAAAUGUUGUGAGAAAAACUGGAGUUGAUUUUCACAUUUGAGGUCGUUAAUGGUGAUUUUCCUUAAUGUAAUUGUGAUCGAAAAGAAAUUUGAUCAAGGAGUCGAAACUUUAAGCAGAGUCGAUCUUAUUCAACAUUGCAUUAUAAUUUGGUACCCCUCACAUAUCUCUCCAAAUAUCAUUGAAAAGUACUUUCAUUUUCCUUCAGUGGAGGCUUCUUUUUCUUUGCUGGUUAAUAUUCAUAGCUUCAGUGGUUGAUGAAAUUUCGUUACUUGACAUUUUUCACUCUUGUCCCUCCUGCUCUAAUCACAAACAAAUGCCCCAAUAAAUAAGAAUGAUUUGUUUAAGAAAUUUGAAGAUACUUGAACGAUAAAAGAAAAGAAUAGGAGACAAAGGAAAGGAAAAGAAAUUCAGAAAGCAAACACUUGGUAGUUUCCAUUUCAAUUAACCGAUCUUUGAAACUAAAAUGUAAUUCUUGGUAGAAUAAAAGAAGACAUGCAACAUCUUUAGAAGAUUCAUCUAAUGGAACAUACCAUCCUAUGAUAGGAAACUGAGACUAAACAGUAAUUUUUGGUAGAAUAGAUAGCGCAUGCCAAAAAGAAUGUUUUGUAGCUUUGGAUGCUUCAAAAUUCUUGUACGUAUAGCCCACAGACCUUUCGAGAUCAUACUUGUUUCUUUAGGCCUGUUUGAACAUACGGCUCUCACGGAAGAUCUUACAACUUUAGGAGUUCAUAGUGUCCAUGAAAUCACAGGAAAAGAAAAGGAUGUAUAAUCAAGUUCAUGAAAAAUAAAGAGAUGGCUUAUUAAAUUUUACAAGUCUCUGGGACAUCUAAAACACUUUAAUUGUGUUUGGUUGAGUUUCCAUUUAGGGGCAAUUCUCAUCAAGUCUAAUGAUUGACCACCGGUGACUUGAAAAUUGAAGCAUUGGAUGUGCCGCAUGUAGUUGAUGUUGCAUUAUCUGAGGGUUGUUAUAUUAUAAAUAGGCAUGACAAGAGCACGAGUUAUUGACAAAUUACCCGAUCCUAACUUGUCUCAUUUAUAUUAAUCUAUUCUCGUCCCUAUCCUUACAAAAAAUUUUAAAUGAGGAAGGAUAGAUAUGAGAAUUUGUCAUACCUGCCUUAUACCAUUUAUUUAUUUUUUUUAGUUUUUUAACAAUUAAAAAUAAACAUAUUUUAUAAAUAAAUAAAUAUUAUAAAUUUUAUAACUUAUUUUAUUUAAAAACAUAUAUAUAUUUUAAUUAUUUUAUGUGUUCAAAAGAAGAAAAUGAAAAACAAUUAAUUAAAUUAUUUUUAAAUUUAGUUAUACAGGUUGGAAAGUGGUGGGUUAGUACAAGGCAUAUCUUGAACCGUGCCCCUAACCAACCCUAGUUUUAAAACAAAAAAAUGUUAAAUACGUAUCUAAUCAGUUUAUCUUCAUUUAAAUAUGUCUUAUUAAAGGUAAAUAUUUGAAAAAACUUGUCUCAUUAUUAUCCUUAAUCAUAAUUUAUUUUUAAUUUAAAUUUAUAUACCAACAAACAGUUAAAUUAAAUUAAAAAUUCUUAUGCAAACAAGGGCGAAAAAUUGUGUACCUUCCUUGACAUUCUAGAUCCAGUUCUUGCUGUUUUUGGAGGAUCCACUUGAGGAACAAUUUAAAUUUAUUCACAAAUACAAUUAUUCAAAAAGGCAUCAUACUGAACACAAGCAAAAUAACUACAAAUGUUAAUAGAAAUGGAUGGAAGCAUACAGGUGUGGAGAAUAUAAAAAAGGAUUUUGAAGCCAAAAAUAAAAAAUCAAAAUCAAAAUAAAUAAAAGUAUAUGGUGGUUUAUUAUUGCUCAGGCCUAAUAAUUGAUUGUACAUGUCAAUGGGCCUAAUAUUAUUGCUCCGGCCUUUAUUCUAGAUGUCCAGACCCUGUCACUGCCUGAGUGUGAGGUCAUGGCUUGUUCUCUGUAUAGGUAGGUUCAUACACCUCUAAAACUUGAGUUGGUGGACUACCUUUCCCAGUUCUGAUCUCUCAGAUUCUUUCAUGGGCUUGAGUUCUAGCAUGAGCUUCCCGUUCUCCCCUACCCUGUGUAGGGACCCUUCCCUCCGAGGACACGUGGCACGCAUCUUACAGUGACACGCGGCACACAUUGUCAUCCGGGUCACCCUCAUCCGGAUCUUCCUAUAAAGCACACAUGACGCGCUUUUCCCAUCCGGAUUGCCUCAAGGAAGAGCAAACGACGCUUACAAAGCAUAGACAUCCGGACGGCUUCCAUUAAUGCGUCCGCUCCACAAUACAUCCGGAUAACCAACAUGGGCUAUCCGGAUAUGAUUGUCCGGAUCAUUGACUAAAGUAUAGCGAGUCUUACACGCUAUCACGACAACCAGCCAUGGCCCACGUCCCAUCACCUGCAGAGUGAAAGGACGGGUUGAGGUGACAACAAGUCACUUCCCACGAUCAUUCUACAUGAUCACUUCCCACGAUCUCUGACAGCCGCAUCACCUACCACGGUUUCUGACAGCCGCCCGUAGGGUGGUGAUGACCCUGUUGCUAUCUAAUGUCAUCAUGACAACAUAAAAUAUCUCCUCACCAUUAAUGAGAGGAACAGUACUCUUGACACUAUAUAUAUAAACCUUCACACGAAGAGAAAGGUAAUCUCCUGAUACCUAGUAAAAGGCCAACUGAUUUAUAUCUCCCUCUCUAACCAUGGCUAACAAAACCAUCGAAGGGUGCGUUCGGACACCCUGUCCGGAUGUCUUUUGCAGGUAUAACGACUGAAUCAAGAACCUUUAUGGGUUGAGAUCGCGUAUCCGUCCAUUUGGCAACUACGUGGAACUCCAGGAGCGCGAGGUAUCAACAUUGGCGCCGUCUGUGGGAACUACUUUUUCAUUUUGAUUCAGUCACUGGCAAAGAUGGCCACACCUUCCCGAAGUCGUUCAUCUGGUAGGGGAGGGGAUGAUAAUUUUGAAUGGCGUCAAACCAUCGAAAGGAGACAGUUGGCAAGCGAACGACAACUAAAAGCUCUCCUCCAGGAGACAGAAAGAUUGAGAGAGGAAAACGCUGUGUUACGCAUCCAGGCUUCAACAUCAGGGCCUCCUCGACAUCAGCGUUCAAGGGGCCAAGUAGCAAACUCAAGGACUUAACAAGAACCAGAAUCAAUAUAUCCCGGAACAAUAGGAGCUAUCCCAGGAGCAUGCAACGUGAGGCCUCAUGAGCCACACACGCCUAUGCCCCGAGCUCCCCGUGAGGAAAGCUCAGACUCUACUCAUUUUUCAGCGAAAAGGCAACGCGAUAGAAGACCUCAGUUGUCAAAUUCGAUGCGCGCAAGACUAAGCCCACAAGAGCCUGGAAGAUCAAGGCCACCAAUGGCCACAACCUGGGCACCACGCCCUGACCCCAUGACCACCCCCAUGGUGCAGAACGUACACCCGCAUCGUGACCCCAUAGUCACCCCCGUGAUGCGGAACGUUCAUUCGCACCCAGCGGUACAGCAGGCUGGGGGAAACCUCCCAAACGAGCCACCCAUUGGCUCCAUCAGCAGAAGGCUGGAUGACAUGCUCUCCACGCCCUUCUGCUCUCAUAUCAUCCAUUACGAGCCCCCAAGGGGAUUCCUCGUACCAAAAUUUUCCACAUACGAUGGAACCAACGAUCCUUUCGAUCACAUCAUGUAUUAUCGACAGCUCAUGAAGCUCGAUAUUGGCAACGAUGCACUACUAUGCAAAGUAUUUCCCGCCAGCCUACAAGGACAGGCCCUCUCAUGGUUUCAUCGCCUACCUCCCAACUCUGUUGGCAAUUUCAGGGACCUGUCCGAAGCUUUUGUGGGACAAUACUUGUGCUCCGCUCGACACAAGCAAAAUAUCAGCACCCUGCAGAACAUAAAAAUGCAAGAUAACGAAUCCUUGAGGGAAUUCGUGAAGUGGUUUGGCCAAGCCGUGCUUCAAGUAGAGGCUUGCAAUAUGGAUGCUGUCCUACAGAUCUUCAAGCGAAGCAUCUGUCUAGGCACUCCAUUUUUCGAAUCACUGGCAAAAAAGCCUCCCACAACGAUGGAUGACUUAUUCAGGCAUGCCAACAAAUAUUCAAUGCUUGAAGAUGACGUGCGUGCAGCCACCCAACAAGUUUUGGUUGUCGGACGACCAUCUAGAGGUGACACAGAGAGAAAUGCUAAACCUCCGGACCGGCCAAAGCCAUCCAACCGGAGGCAGGAAGGGCCAAGUCGCCCGGAAAGGCCGCCUCUCACACCCCUUUCCAUAUCGUAUGAGAAACUUCUCCCAAUAAUCCAGGGCUUGUCCGACUUCAAGUGGCCUAGACCCAUUGGAACGGACCCAUCCACAAGAGAUCGUAGUAGGAGAUGUGCCUUCCACAAGGAUCAUGGCCAUACAACAGAGACAUGCCGAGCUUUCUAGUAUCUGGUCAAGAGGCUCAUAAAAACAGGGCAUUUGAAGCAAUAUCUCCGAUCAGAUAAUGAAGGAAGGGACGCAUCUCAACAUCACAAUCCUGGUCAAGAUGUCCUUUUUUGGGUUGAGAUCGCGUGUCCAUCCAUUCAGCAACUGCGUGGAUCGUCAGGGACGCGAGGCAUCAACAUUGGCGCCGUCUGUGGGAACUACUUUUUCAUUUUGAUUCAGUCACUGGCAAAGAUGGCCACACCUUCCGGAAGCCGUUCAUCUGGUAGGGGAGGGGAUGAUAAUUUUGAAUGGCGUCAAACCAUCGAAAGGAGACAGUUGGCAAGCGAACGACAACUAAAAGCUCUCCUCCAGGAGACAGAAAGAUUGAGAGAGGAAAACGUUGUGUUACGCAUCCAGGCUUCAACAUCAGGGCCUCCUCGACGUCAGCGUUCAAGGGGCCAAGUAGCAAACUCAAGGCCUCAACAAGAACCAGAAUCAAUAUAUCCCGGAACAACAGGAGCUAUCCCAGGAGCAUGCAACGUGAGGCCUCAUGAGCCACACACGCCUAUGCCCCGAGCUCCCCAUGAGGAAAGCUCAAACUCUACUCAUUUUUCAGCGAAAAGGCAACGCUAUAGAAGACCUCAGUUGUCAAAUUCGAUGCGUGCAAGACUAAGCCCACAAGAGCCUGGAAGAUCAAGGCCACCAAUGGCCACAACCUGGGCACCACGCCCUGACCCCAUGACCACCCCCAUGGUGCAGAACGUACACCCGCAUCGUGACCCCAUAGUCACCCCCGUGAUGCGGAACGUUCAUUCGCACCCAGCGGUACAGCAGGCUGGGGGAAACCUCCAAAAUGAGCCACCCAUUGGCUCCAUCAGCAGAAGGCUGGAUGACAUGCUCUCCACGCCCUUCUGCUCUCAUAUCAUCCAUUACGAGCCCCCAAGGGGAUUCCUCGUACCAAAAUUUUCCACAUACGAUGGAACCAACGAUCCUUUCGAUCACAUCAUGCAUUAUCGACAGCUCAUGAUGCUCGAUAUUGGCAACGAUGCACUACUAUGCAAAGUAUUUCCCGCCAGCCUACAAGGACAGGCCCUCUCAUGGUUUCAUCGCCUACCUCCCAACUCUGUUGGCAAUUUCAAGGACCUGUCCGAAGCUUUUGUGGGACAAUACUUGUGCUCCGCUCGACACAAGCAAAAUGUCAGCACCCUGCAGAACAUAAAAAUGCAAGAUAACGAAUCCUUGAGGGAAUUCGUGAAGCGGUUUGGCCAAGCCGUGCUUCAAGUAGAGGCUUGCAGUAUGGAUGCUGUCCUACAAAUCUUCAAGCGAAGCAUCUGUCCAGGCACUCCAUUUUUCGAAUCACUGGCUAAAAAGCCUCCUACAACGAUGAAUGACUUAUUCAAACGAGCCAACAAAUAUUCAAUGCUCGAAGAUGACGUGCGUGCAGCCACCCAGCAAGUUUUGGUUGCCGGACGACCGUCUAGAGGUGACGCUGAAAGAAAUGCCAAACCUCCGGACCGGCCAAGGCCGUCUGAUCGAAGGCAGGAGGGGCCGAGUCGCCCGGAUAGGCUGCCUCCCAUGCCUCUUUCCAUAUCAUAUGAAAAACUUCUCCCUAUGAUCCAAGGUCUGUCUGACUUCAGGUGGCCAAAACCCCAAGGAAUAGACCCAUCCACAAGGGAUCGUAGCAAGAGAUGUGUCUUCCACAAGGAACACGGUCACACGACAGAAACAUGCAGGAGCCUCCAGUAUCUGGUCGAGAAGCUCAUCAAGGCAGGACAUCUAAAGCAAUAUCUUCGCUCAGAUACUGAGGGAAAAGUCACUUCCCAACAUCACAACCCCGGGACCCCUAGGGCCCCAGCUGCCUCCAAGGUCGUUAUAAACUAUAUUAACGGAGGUCCAUCUGACGAGGAGUACGACUCUAGGCGAAAGAGGCAAAAAUUGUUGCGAGCCGCAUCAAUACGCGAACGCAUCAAUUCCAUCCUGCCUGGGCUAACUGGAGGGGGCCCUCGCCCCAUAGAUGGGACAAUCAUUUUCCCACCAGUGGAUCCCACCCGGACAUUGCAACCACAUCGCGACGCCCUCAUCUUGUCCCUGGAAAUAGGAGACUUCGAUGUGCGGCAUAUCUUAGUUGACCCAGGCAGUUCGGCCGACCUUGUACAAGCAUCGGUCGUUAGCCACAUGGGACAUAGUCUCGCAGGCCUUGAAAACCCUGGACGAAUCCUGUCCGGAUUCAACGGAUCAUCAACUACGUCCUUGGGAGACAUCGUACUGCCAGUCCAAGCUGGCCCAGUCACUCUCAACGUACAAUUCUCGGUGGUACAAGAGUUAUCACCCUUCAAUAUCAUCUUGGGACGCACAUGGCUUCACUACAUGAAAGUCAUCCCCUCCACAUGUCAUCAAAUGGUGAGUUUCCUCACCAACGAGGGGCAGAUUGACCUGUAUGGCAGCCAGUUAGCCGCUCGCCAAUGCCAUCAAAUAGCACGAGAAGCAGGGGCCAACCAGGAGGAUGCAUCUCCCCCUGAACCCAGCAUUACACAUGACCAAUAGCAAUUAUUGGGUCCGGCGGACAAAGAUCCCCCGGCAGCAGAUCCCUUACAAACAAUCUAAAUUUCGGAGGAAAACACUCACCUCAUGAACAUCAGUUCCCUCAUGACAACCGAAGAAACUCAGAGCAUGCAAAACAUUCUCAGACAGAAUCAUGACAUUUUCGCAUGGGCACAUUCUGAUAUGAAGGGAAUUCAUCCCUCUAUUGCAUCUCACAGGCUUAACGUCUUUUCAACUGCCAAACCCGUCCGGCAGAAAAUUAGGCGCUUUCACCCGGAUAGACAAAAAGUCAUCCGGAAUGAGAUUGACAAAUUGCUCAAAGCCGGAUUCAUCAGAGAAGUAUCUUAUCCGGAUUGGUUGGCAAACGUAGUGGUGGUACCCAAAAAAGAAGGAAAAUGGCGAGUUUGUGUAGAUUACACCAAUCUUAACAAUGCAUGUCCAAAAGACAGUUUUCCCUUGCCACGAAUAGAUCAAAUUGUGGAUUCCACUUCCGGGCAAGGGAUGCUCUCUUUCUUGGAUGCCUUCUCCGGAUAUCACCAGAUUCCCAUGUCCCCGGAUGACGAGGAAAAGACAGCAUUCAUAACGCCACACGACCUCUAUUGCUACAAAGUCAUGUCGUUCGGACUCAAAAACGCUGGCGCCACUUAUCAGAGACUGAUGACAAAGAUCUUCAAACCUCUAAUAGGCCACACAGUAGAGGUAUAUAUUGAUGAUAUCGUGGUUAAAAGCAAAACCCGAGAGCAGCAUGUCCUUCACUUACAAGAAGUUUUUCACCUCUUACGAAAGUAUGGCAUGAAGUUAAAUCCUUCUAAAUGCGCCUUUGGCGUAAGUGCUGGCAAAUUUCUGGGAUUUAUGGUCAGCCAAAGGGGCAUAGAAGUCAGCCCGGAUCAAGUCAAGGCAGUCAUGGAAACACCCCCUCCCAGGAACAAGAAGGAGCUACAACGGCUCACAGGCAAGCUCGUCGCACUAGGGCGUUUUAUAGCCCGCUUCACUGAUGAAUUGCGACCCUUCUUCUUGGCAAUACGAAAAGCUGGAGCACACGGAUGGACAGACAGUUGCCAAAACACUUUCGAAAAGAUUAAGCAUUGUCUCAUGCAACCACCCAUCUUGAGCAGCCCCAUCCCAAAGGAAAAAUUGUACAUGUAUCUGGCGGUAUCAGAAUGGGCAAUCAGCGCCGUUCUAUUCCGCUGCCCCUCACCCAAGGAGCAGAAACCUAUCUAUUACGUCAGCAGGGCAUUGGCUGACGUAGAAACCAGAUAUUCAAAAAUAGAGCUAACAGCCUUAGCCCUUCGAAGCGCUGCUCAGAAGCUCCGCCCUUAUUUCCAAGCUCAUCCAGUGAUCGUACUAACUGACCAGCCUCUUCGCAACAUUCUGCACAAGCCAGAUUUAACCGGGAGAAUGCUACAAUGGGCCAUUGAAUUAAGCGAGUUUGGAAUCGAAUUCCAACCCAAAUUGUCCAUGAAAGGCCAAGUAAUGGCUGACUUCGUGCUAGAAUAUUCCCGAAGACCCAGCCAACACCACGAAUCAAAUAAACAAGAAUGGUGGACUCUGCGAGUUGACGAAGCCUCACGCUCAUCAGGCUCGGGAGUUGGACUCCUACUACAGUCCCCAACUGGGGAACAUUUGGAGCAAGCCAUCCGGCUGGGAUUCUCUACCUCUAACAAUGAAGCAGAAUAUGAGGCCAUCUUGUCCGGAUUGGACCUCGCCUUUGCUCUAUCCGUCUCCAAACUCUGGAUCUACAGCGACUCACAACUCGUGGUAAGACAUGUCCAGAAGGAAUAUGAGGCUAAGGACGCACGCAUGACGCGAUACUUAGCUAAAGUAAGAAACACCUUGCAGCGAUUCACAGAAUGGACAAUCGAAAAAAUCAAGCGAGUUGACAAUAGGCGCGCUGACGCCUUGGCUGGCAUAGCUGCCUCCCUCCCUAUCAAAGAAGCCAUUCUAUUGCCUAUACAUGUGCAACCCAACCCCUCUGUCGCAGAAAUUUCCACCUGCAAUACCAUUGAGGCACCCCAAGCGGAUGGCCAAGAAUGGACGUAUGACAUCGCAGAAUAUAUCCGGAUAGGCACUCUACCCGGAGAUCUCAAACAGGCACACAAAGUCCGGGUGCAAGCUGCCCGUUUCACCCUGAUUGGGGGGCACCUGUACAAGCGGUCCUUCACAGGACCUUACCUUCGGUGCCUAGGGCAUUCAGAGGCCCAGUAUGUGUUAGCUGAGUUGCAUGAGGGAAUAUGCGGGAAUCAUUUAGGAGGACGAUCUCUGGCACAUCGAGCCCAUUCACAAGGAUAUUAUUGGCCAACAAUGAAGAAGGAUGCGGCAGCCUAUGUCAAAAAAUGUGAUAAAUGUCAAAGGUAUGCUCCCAUUCCACAUAUGCCGUCAGCAACAUUAAAAUCAAUCUCAGGCCCAUGGCCCUUCGCACAAUGGGGCAUGGACAUAGUGGGACCUCUCCCAGCUGCACCUGCCCAAAAGAAAUUUUUGCUCGUUGCCACAGAUUAUUUCAGUAAGUGGGUGGAAGCUGAAGCGUAUGCUAGCAUCAAAGACAAAGAUGUCACCAAGUUCGUAUGGAAAAACAUUGUUUGCCGUUUUUGAAUCCCCCAAACCAUCAUAGCUGACAAUGGUCCACAAUUUGACAGUAUUGCAUUCAGGAAUUUCUGUUCAGAGCUGAACAUCCGGAAUUCAUACUCCACACCACGAUAUCCUCAAAGUAAUGGGCAAGCAGAAGCCACAAACAAAACCCUAAUCACUGCCUUAAAGAAAAGGCUUGAACAAGCCAAAGGGAAGUGGGUAGAGGAACUACCUGGCGUCCUAUGGGCCUAUCGAACCACACUCGGACGACCAACAGGAAACACUCCUUUCGCCCUCGCAUAUGGAAUGGAUGCAGUUAUUCCUACUGAAAUAGGUCUUCCUACUAUCCGGACUGACGCAGCAAAGCAGAAUGAAGCAAACACGGAAUUAGGAAGAAAUUUGGAUUGGACGGAUGAAGUAAGAGAAAGUGCAGCCAUCCGGAUGGCAGACUAUCAACAAAGAGCAUCCGCCCACUACAAUCGUAAAGUAAGGCCCAGAAGCUUCAAAAAUGGUACGCUGGUCCUUAGAAAAGUUUUUGAAAACAUUGCUGAAAUGGGCGUAGGGAAAUUCCAAGCUAACUGGGAAGGACCCUAUAUAGUGACUAAGGCAAGUGAAAGUGAAGCCUAUCAUUUACAAAAGUUAGACGGAACUCCAUUACUUAGACUAUGGAAUGUGUCCAAUUUAAAACAGUACUACCAAUGAAAGAGCAAGACAAGUACAAAUGAAAAAAGAAGAAUUUUAUUUAUAUGUGUAAAUAUGUGUACAAAGAGGUCUCCGGACCACAAGAAAUACAGAAAAGAAGAUUACAAGAAAAAAUUGCAAAAAGAAAAGCUAUCAGGGAGCAGGCCUAAAGUUUCUUCUCUUCGCCCGGAGGAAUUGAAGAGACAUCUCGUUUUAUACCGUUCUUCUUCAUACAGCAACGAUAGCCGAAGAUGAAGGUAUCAUCCACUUGUUUUUGAUAAUCCGCUUCAAGCUUCUCCCUCUCUACAGCAAACUCCCGCUCAAGCUAUUCUUUUUGCGCUGUUAAGCGCAACUGCAAAUCUUCUUUCUGCUUCUUUUCAAUUGAAGCCUCGGUCUGGAGUUGCCUCACCUCCCCCCGCAGCCGGACCAUCUCAUCCUCUGCCUCAUGCAGGCGGGCCUCCAUUGAUUCCUCCCGGCUUUUCGCCUCAGCCAAAUCUGCCCGGAGGGCCUCAUUCUCCCCCCGAGCGGUGGAUAAGCUGGCUUCAGCCUCCUCCAGUCUCAGGCGCAACUAGUCUUCAGUAUCUUUGCGCCGAGUGGCGAAGGCCUUCAUAUAAUCAGUGGUCCGCAGCAGGUUAGUGAAAAGAUCGUAUUGAUUGGUCAUGCCACGGAGACCACUCACCAGCUGCAGGCAAACAGACAAACGAGAAAAGCAAAGUUAGAAAUCACACCGCAAACACACAUCCGAAUAACAAGAAAUCAAGAAGCACAAAAACAGCAUACCGAUUCCACCAUAUCAAACAUCUUGGCUGAGGGCAUGACAGUGGUCAAGCCGGGUGGAAUCUGUUUUAGCUUAUCUUCCAACUCCGCGUAGCUAAAAGGGCUAGCGGAGGUGCAAGAAGCAUCAUUAACAGGAUCCCCGCCUGAUGAGGCAACAAAAGGCGACUCUUGUUCCGGAUUCGGGGCCUCAACAUUUACGGCCGGAUGGGUCUCCCCGGGUGCAACCUCAGCCGGGACCAUCACCGGGACGGUUGGAGUCUCAGUUGCCAUCUCUACUUCGCCCCCCUCCGGAUGAGCGUCGUAGGCGGAUGAGCAACUAACUUCAAUCUCUUGCUGACGAUCUUGAAGCCGCCCGAUUAGUCCGGACCUCAGAUUGCGCGCCGAACGAGGCCUCUUUGAAGGUGGCCCCUUCACUAGAACAAAAGCUAGACGGUCCGGAUAGUCAGAAGGCUUACCCUGGCUUUCUGCCCCCGCUUCCUCCAUCGGGGCCGCACAAAUGGCUUCAACUGCAUCGACAUCCGGAUUAGGGGAGUCCGGAUGGUUGAUGGACGCAGCUUCCUCCGCCAAAUUAGUCAGACGGGCAACCGCUGCCAAGGAGGUACUUGAGUGGUUUAGCCCCGCGACGUGUCCGGAUCCGCUUGAGACAGAAUGAGGAGCAGGGUUCACUGGCUCCUCUAUUAUUACUUCCUCCUCAUGAGUAAUUGGCGGAAGAACAAAAACCUUGGGAGGAGUGGGCUCCUUCACUCCCUUCCCAUUCUUCACUAGCCUCCUCCUUUUCGCUGGAGCUUUAUUUGGAGGAGAGGUUGCGCCGCACUUCUGUCCGGGGAGCCUUCCGAAGGGUUCCUUCGUUUUUUUUCUUCUCCCGACUAUCCAGGAGUGCUCGGCGUUUUUCAGCGUCAGCCUCUUUAAACUCCUGGUAGAUCGGGAGAUCCUUCACAGUAUAAUGCUCCCUAGGUACUACCUCAUUUGGCAUUUUCCUGGGGAGAAUGUUGACGACAUACUCUUGGGACUCCCGGACGACUGCCAUCAGGUUUCGCGUAGUAAGCAGCGUCUUGUAGUGCCUCUCCUUGGCGUCUAUCUCAAAUAACUUACUGAGACAGGCAAAAGACACCUUUUCCACCCAGUCCACGAGGUGGCCCCUUUUUUCCGGACCUGCAUUGACAGCAACAAAGGUUGAGAAUACCAUCCGGAAAGAUCAACAAAAAGACAACAAGGUAAAAAUCCGGACAAAAGUCGCAAAGCCAACUCACCCAAAAUCGCUAAGGAGUAGUUUGGAGAGAAGGGCCUCCCCGGACGCCCUAAUGACCCCGCCCAUGCACCCCGGACCGCCACGUGUCCCUUCGCCCCUCCCUUCGUCGAGUCUGGCAGUUCCGUCACCAGUUGAAGGGAGGGCAGGUGCGCGGACAUGCUGAAGAUGUCAGUUUUCACCUUCUUCAGCGAAUAGACAAAAAACACCUCCAGCAGCGUGAGGUCGAGGUUGUACAGCAUGUUUAUGAUGCUACAUCCCAUCAGUACCCGGACGAUAUUGGGAUGAAUGAAAACGGGUGGAAUCUGGGUGAAAUGGAGGAAUUCCUUGAACAACGCCGGCAACGGGAACCGGAGCCCCACGUUGAAUUGUUCCUUUGAGAAGAUGACGGUAUCUUGUUCAGCUUUCUCGGUAGACACGACAUCUUCCCCAUCCAUAAAUUCAACAAUUACGCCAUUUGGGAUACAGAAUCGAUCCUGGAACUCCUUUACGCUCAGUUUGUCUGUAGAUUUCCCAUGAGCGUCGCCGGCGCGGACAGAUGAAGUAGCUUUCUGCUUCGAAGACAUUUUUUAGCCCGAGUUUUACCGAAACCUACAUACAAAAAAGUGCAACAGUCAAACACAGCCAACCAACCCCACAAACCCUAAAUAAUAACAACACUCAGAAAACCUUGCACCACCAAUGUACCCAUUCCAAAGUCCUUGACUCUACCCCAACAAGAAACCCCCAACCCACAAAAAUACAAGGGGGCAACGGAAACCCUUAAAACACCUAGUCACAAACAACACUCGCCCAAACAAACCAGCAACAAACCAACAAACACCAAAGCGCAGAAAAGAAAAGAACAAGGCACAAAGAAUACGUACCGAGUGUAAGAGAAGAGCAAGGAUUGCAAAACCGCAAGGCAAACACCGUCAAAAUGCAACAAAUCACCGUCAGGAAAUUCUGGAAGUUUCACUCAGAAGAAGCGAAGGUACGCACAAGGUUGAAGAAGAAAGUAAUCUCAGAAAAAACGCAGUAGGAAAAAAAGCAACAAUGGGCACAGUAUGCUAUUUAUAGGGAGACAAGCCCUAGGAAAGCCAAACGCCCAACAACGCCAUCAUUGAAACGACAUGCUGCCUGGGAAUACCCAGAGUCGGCGGCCCAUUAUAAAUGCCUUUCUUGGCUCCCGCACCCCCACUCACCACGUGGCUCAACCAGACCAAAAGUCGACUUCGGUUUCAAAAACCAAUCAUUUUUUAACCCGCCCAUUUUUUCUAAGGCAAAAUAGGCAAGUUAAAAAGGGGGGCAUUGUAGGGACCCUUCCCUCCGAGGACAUGUGGCACGCAUCUUACAGUGACACGUGGCACACAUUGUCAUCCGGGUCACCCUCAUUCGGAUCUUCCUAUAAAGCACACAUGACGCGUUUUUCCCAUCCGGACUGCCUCAAGGAAGAGCAAACGACGCUUACAAAGCAUAGACAUCCGAACGGCUUCCAUUAAUGCGUCCGCUCCACAAUACAUCCGGAUAACCAACAUGGGCUAUCCGGAUAUGAUUGUCCGGAUCAUUGACUAAAGUAUAGCGAGUCUUACACGCUAUCACGACAACCAGCCAUGGCCCAUGUCCCAUCACCUGCAGAGUGAAAGGACGGGUUGAGGUGACAACAAGUCACUUCCCACGAUCAUUCUACAUGAUCACUUCCCACGAUCUCUAACAGCCGCAUCACCUACCACGGUUUCUGAUAGCCGCCCGUAGGGUGGUGAUGACCCUGCUGCUAUCUAAUGUCAUCAUGACAACAUAAAAUAUCUCCUCACCAUUAAUGAGAGGAACAGUACUCCUGGCACUAUAUAUAUAAACCUUCACACGAAGAGAAAGGUAAUCUUCUGAUACCUAGUAAAAGGCCAACUGAUUUAUAUCUCCCUCUCUAACCAUGGCUAACAAAACCAUUGGAGGGUGCAUCCGGACACCCUGUCCGGAUGUCUUUUGCAGGUAUAACGACUGAAUCAAGAACCUUUAUGGGUUGAGAUCGCGUAUCCGUCCAUUUGGCAACUACGUGGAACUCCAGGAGCGCGAGGUAUCAACACCCUGGUCCUAUAGUACUAUUUUUUUUUAAAACUUGGCCCUAGAUUUUUUCUAGGGAGAAUUGUGUUUUGGGCCCAACUGGACCCAAAAAUUGAUAAAAGAUCCUCAUAAGUUUCAUAUUUAAACCCAACACCUAAAGAAAGUCUACAAAUUGAAAAGAAGGAUAUGAAACAUUUAAUUUUCCGAAAAUGCCCUUUAUUGUCAACAAGAAAAAAAAAACAACUAACUUCUCACUCUCAUUCAUUAUUUUUUUCCCUCUCUUUCAUCAUUCACCUUAUUUUUUUCUUGCACAUAUUAAUCGGUGGGACAUGUAAAUUAAUUCUUUUCUAGAAAGGUGUUACUAUUUUCAUCAAUUAUUUUUCUCCCAAAAACCAUGCCUAAUAAAUUAAAUAUUGGUAAUUAAUGGUUGAAAAGGAUUAUUACUAUAUUUUUAAAGUAAAAUUUUUUUAAAGACCUCAUAAAAUAUAUUUUUUUAAACUUACAAAAUAUAUAAUAAAUAAUUUUUAAACACCUUAAAAAAUAUUAUUAUUCUUUUUAUCCAAUAUAUAUAUAAAUAUCUUUAAGGUUGUAGACAAUUAUUUGAAUAUUUUCUCUAUUUUUUGGACAAUACAUUGAUAUUGUUUUAAUAUAUUAUUUUGUAACAUGAUCAUCUUUUAACUAAUGGUGAUAAUUAAUUUUUAAUUGAAUAAUGUAUUAUAACUUAAUAAUUUGAAAAAUAUUCAAAUGCCUUUUUAAAUCUAAAAUAGAUGUGGACUUGGCAUGAUUUAAAUUAUUAAAGUAUGAUGUCAUUAAGUCAAGCAAAUGUAUCAUAUUAAGAGAUGUGUAUGUAAAUUAUAUAAUAGUUUUCUCUUUUUUUUAUUUUUUUUCCUCGUACAUGAUAUCUUUUGUAUAAAGUUUUGUAGAUGAAAAAUAAUAAAAUCUUUUGUUAUGUAAAGAGGUAUAACAACACAUUAAAAUUGAAAAGAGAAUAUAAUGGAAUACAAAUUAGAUGAAAAUCACUUUAAAUAAGGAUAUAAUAGAAAACAUAUAAAUGUAAGAAAAAACAAGUUUAGAUGAAAUUUAAAAUAAAAAAUCAAAGAAAAUAAAUUAAAAGUAAUAAUAUAAAAAUCGUAGAAUCUUUAAAACUAUAAUUACAACAAAAAAAUUAUUUUAAAUUAACUUGAUAAUUUAAAUUAAUGAUUUUUUUAUAAAAAAAAAAUUGCAACUGUUACAAAGAUAAUUUUUUAUCCUUUUUAAUUCUAUUUAAAUAUGAUUUUUUUAAUAUCUGCUCAUUAUGUUUAUAAAGGUAAAAUAGUAAAAAAAUAUAUUUCAUUCGGUUUACUUGUAAUAAACAUUUUAAAUGUGAUUAAUUUUAAUUUUAUUUCCUAUGUUUUAAUUUUGGUAGAGAAGAUCUAAAUGACAUAGUUUGGUAAAAAAAUAUUCAUAAUUUUUCCUCAACAGUUAUUAUAUGUUGUUUAUAUUGUCUUAAGUUAUUUGAAACAAUGACAUUAAUGUGUUAUCCAUUUAUAUUAAUUUGAUUUCACAAAAAAAAAAAGGUAAUACCUAAAUAUUAUGGUUAAUUUUCCUUUAUAUAGGAUGUAAAUGUUGUAAGAAAAAAAUAUUGUUAAAACUACUUAAAUGAAAUAUGCAAUUACAAAUUUUGGAUGAUGAAAUUUAAAAUUUCAAAUUAAAACAAUUUUUAGGUGAAGGAAUGUGUGGGGAAAAGUGUUCAAUCCUUAGGUGACAAGAAAAAAAAAAAAGUUCAGAAUUGAUUAAAAUCUUGCAUAAAAGAUAACCUUGUACACCCUUGUAUAAUUAGUACAUUUACCCCAUACAGUUAAUACAUUGCCUUACACAGUGAGUGGAAUACUCUUUUAUAGUUAGUGUAACACCCUUAUAUAAUAGUGCAAAUUUCAUAAACAAUUUAUGGGUAACAAAAAAAAUAAAGAAAUGAUUCAAAAUCGACUAAAAUCUUUCACAAAUGGUAACCUUGUACACCCUUAUACACUUAGUAUAUUUCCCUUGUACACUUAAUACAUUUCCCUUGUACAGUUAGUGUAACAUCAUUGUACAAUGAUGCAAUAUAUCCCUCUUAAGUUGUGUGUCCACGUAGAUAUAUUAAUCUUAUUUCUAAUGGUUUGGCUAACAAAAUGGUGGAUGAAUUAUGAUUAAAUUUUUUUCCCCAAACAUUAUUACUAAGAAAAGUAUCGAAAUUUUCAUGUGAAAGUUAAAUAAAUUGCAUGACGUAGGUAUGCAAUCUAUGGGUGACAAGGAAAAUGAAAAAGUGAUUCAAAAUCGAUUAAAUUUUUUUAUAGAUGGUAGUCUUGUACACCCUUGUACACUUAGUACAUUUUCCUUGUACAAUCAGUUAAAUACCAUUGUACAAUAUAUCUAUCCUAAGUAAUAUGUCCAUGUAGGUGUGUUAACCAUAUUUCUAAUGGUUUAACUAAUAAAAAGAUGGAUGAAUUAGGGUUAGUUUUUUUUUUCCCAAACAUCAUUAUUGGGGAAAGUAUCGGAAUUUCCAUAUGGGAGUUAAAUAAAGUGCAUGACAUGAAUAUGCAAUUUGUGGGUGACAAGGAAAAUAAAGGAGUGGUUCAAAAUAGAUUGAAAUCUUUUAUAAAUGGUAAUCUUAUACACUGCUUGUACACUUAGUACAUUUCCCUUAUACAGUUAGUAAAUACUCUUGUAUAGUGACACAAAUUUCAUAUUCCCGUAGUGCAUAUAUGCCUAUAUUUGUAUUAAACAUGAUUCUAGUAGUUUGAUUAAAAAAAUGAUGAAAAACUUCAAUCCAAUUUUUUUAUGAACAUAUUACAUUUUUGUGAAAAAAAUAUACAAUUGACCAAUUCCUUUAUUUAAUUGUGAACAUAUUAUAUUUUAAAAAUAAAAAAAGAAUAAUUAAUAAAUGAAAUUUAAUUCUUUUUAUUAUCUUAGUAUUAAACAAGGUCUUCAAUUUUCAUUUUUAAAAAUAUUUUUCAUUUUUUUAAUUAAAUGUAUUUUCAAAAAGAGACAAUAUAGAAAAUAAAAAUAAUUUUUAAAAAUAAAAAAAUAAUAAAAACUAGAAAAAAUAUUUUAAAACCAAACUCAAACAUAAUCUAUAUAAUUUUUAACUACUUGUUUUUAUUUAAAAUGAGUAAACAUAUCAUUUAACCCUUCUGUAUGAGAAAAAAAAUCAAUCUCUACUAUACUAUGUAUUGAUAUAAUCCAUUUCUAAAUACGAAAACAUUUUAGUUGGAUAUUUAAAAUAAAAACUCUUCAUCUAUCCUCUUUCUCUCUUUUUCUUUUUUCUCAUUUCAAUAAAUUUUCAAUUAAUUCAAAUCAUUAAAAAAAUUCCUUAAUAAACAAAUUUGGAACAUUCAUAUAACUUAUUACAAAAGUCUAUGUUCAAAAAAUUAUUAAACUAUGGAAAUAAAAAGAUUAAAAAAAAAACUUUAAACUUUUUAUUUUAUAAUAAUAAAAAAAUAAACUUUAAAAUACUUUUUAGUAUAAAAGAAAAAAAAUAGUAAAUAUAUUUUUUUAAAUAGUGUUUUAAUCAUUAAAUUAUUUACUUGUAAAAUGUAAAAAAUAAUUUUUAUUCAUUUAAAUUAAUAUUUUUUUCAAAAGUAUGUUCCAAAAUAAUUUUUGAAUCAUUAAUAUAGUUUUUAUUUAUUUAUAAUUUAAAAAUAUAAAAUAAUGUUGAUUUUUCAAUUAUUUUUAAAGGAGUUUAAAAAAUAAUAAAAAAUAAAAAAAUGAUUAAAUAAAGGAGAAUUUUAUGGAUGAGGCAUGUAAAGAGUGGUGGUAUAAAGACAAAAUGAUGGGUGUAAGUAAAAAGGGGUAUUUUUGUUUAUUCCAACCUUAUAUCCUUACAAUCAAUUAUAAGUGUUUGAAGGAUCUUUUAUUAAUUUUUGGGCCUAGCCGGGCCCAAAACACAAUUCUCCCUUUUUUUUAGUAUAAAAAGUACUAUUUUGUUGAAUUUAAAAAAAACUCACAGGGAACAUAACGUUUCAAUAAUCCUUUAACCUCUAUCUCUCAAAACUUUCAAAAUCCAUCUUGAAAGUCUCUCUUGACUAAAACAAAUAUUUGAGACUCGCAUUGUAUAUGCUUUAAUAAGGGCUUUGAGGGACUUGCUAAAGAUAUAGGUGACAAUUUUGAGAUGAUACAAUAACACGACUUGAUAAUGAUAUAAAAUUUAAUAGAUUCAGAUUAGGUAUAACAUAUUUAUGUUGCAAUCAUAUCAACUCAUAUGACUCGUUUAAUAAAAUGUACAAUUAUCCAACCCCAUAUAGCUUGUUUACUAAUUCAUGUCAAACAAACCAAUUUAUUUAAUCGUAUCAAAAUAAUGUUUAACUCAUAUAAAAUUAUUAAUAUUAUAUAUUUCAAAUUUAUAAAAAAUAAAAAAAAUGCUUAUUAGUUAUAAAAAUGAUAUAGUUAAAAAAUGAAGUAACUAAGUAAAAUUUUAUACAUUUCAUUCUAAAGAUUAAAAUUAUUUUAUCAUUAGAACAUUAGAUAGGAUUAUAAACAAGCAUAAAAUUAAAAUUUUAAUGUAUUUUUAUAUUAUAAACAAUUUCUAAUUUAAAUUUUAUAAUUAAAUUAGUUAAAAUUUUAAAAACUUAAAAUGUAUUUUGAACAAUACAUUUAUAAAAUUAAAAUUUUAAAUAGGUUAAACAUGUUAAAAUCGUAUUAACAUGUUAAACGAGUUAGAAUCAUAUUAAGCUAACCAUGUUAGAAUUGUAUUAGUAUGUUACACAAGUUCAAAUUGUGUUGAUAUAUUAAACGAAUUAGAAUCAUGUUAAUGGGUUUAACGACUAUUAAUAGGUUUCAUAUGUUAGAAUUGUAAUAACAAGUUAUCUAUGUCAAUUUAUACAAAGGUUAACUUAACCUAUCUAUUAAAUUAGUUUUAUUUGAAUUAGGUCAUUUUAACACAAUUCUUAAAUAAAUUGUAUUCCUAUCGAGUAAAUUUUCACUAUUUGUAUCUCAACAUUAUACAAAUCCUACACUUACAAUAUCACCUAUUAUCACCCCUAACUAAGGAGCAUAUGAGUGUUGCAUCGAGGAAGCAGAAGAGUAUAAAGACUAUUUAUAUAAAACUUUAGGAAGUGGAAGCAUUCGAUCAAGUAAAGUUGUGUUAACUUUUUUUCAUAGUUAGUGGAUUAUUCAAUGGUCAAGUGACCAACUGUGAUUUUUUACGCCUAAGGAUUUCUAGGUGGGUUCCACAUUAAAUUCUAUAUCUAAUCGUAUAAUUAGAAAUAUCGUGCAUGAGAUUGAUAACAUAUUAAUCAUAAUUGAAUCGGAAUAAAAUAAUUUAACUUUGGGGUUAAUUGAUUGAACUACCUAUGUAUAUAUAUUUUAUAUUUUUUAACUUUAAAUUAAUUAUUAUGUUGGGAAAUGGAAUAAGGGAAUAGUUGGCUCCAUUUUCAAUCUUGGUAAUUGUAGACCCCCACUUUGGGAGGUAAUUGUUGUAGCAAAUUUUGCCAGGUGGAGCAACUUUAGGAGGCCGCGUGGUGCCUCUUGACAGGCUGCUGAAGGAUCAAGUAGUGGAUUUGAGAGGCAAACCAGGUGGUGACACCUGUAAAGUGAUUCUUCAGGCAGUUAUGAGAUAUUUUUGAGGACUGCCAGCUGCAUGGAGGUUAGAGGAGCAGAGGCUGCCAGCUGCAUGGGGGUAGUGGAGGCUUGCGGCUGCAGGAAAGAGGUGCUUUUCAGAGUUGGUUAGGAUAUACAAUCGAGGGGAGCUUUGACAGGGGGGUACUUUUCUGCUGCGAGAGAGGAGAGUAGAGGGGGAGAGUUGAGAAGAGGAAGCUAGGAAAAACAGAGGAGAGGGGAGAGCAGAGAGGAAAACCAGAGAGGAAAUUAAAAGAAAACAGAGGGAAGAAAGGGAGCAUCCUCAGGUAUGUUUGCUAGACCACAUUUUAAUUGCUAUUGGUAUCCUUUGGUUUGUUGUGACUAUUUGAUAAAGUAUCUCUGCUUUGUUCUUCAGUAGAAAUUUGUUUUAGAGUAAUCUGUUUCCUUUAUAUCUCUCAUUUGGAUAUUUGAGAUCUUAGUUCCCCUUGGUUUUUCCCAUCCAUGCAUAAACCUAUUAACUCCAAAAUGAAAUGGAGCUCGGGUCGGUGUUUUCUUUGGUUCAGUUACCACUUUGUUUUUGUGCUUGCUCCUUUGCUGUUUAUACUAUGUUCUCGAUGGCCAUUCCAUUGGUGAAACGACUACCACAGGGCCACCCCUCCAUUCAAGGCCGCCUCUGUACCCAAGAUGGAAGAACAAAGAUCGGUGGAAUUUAACAUGGACUGAUUGGUGAAUGUGUUUUGGAGGAGUGGAAAGGGAUUCACUACUAUUUGCAGUUCCAUAUGUGUGCAAGUCGUGGUAACAAGUGAGCCUGGAUCCUGUGUGCUGGAAACGUUUUGUUUUUCCUCACUUUGAACAGACGGUUAUGAAAAGGUUCAUGAAAGUGUAUCAAAGCAUGGGACUCUUCUCCGUCACUUUAUUCAUAAAUUCCAUACUUCAUUGUAGCAAUAGAUUGGCUACAGCCUUGAUGCUCCCUGAUUGCUGCACAAAAGAGGCAUUGGAGUACGCGGUUGAUGAGGGUCCUGCGCUGAAAGUUUUGAGAGGAUCUUGGCAGAGAGAAGAAGCUCCUGAAACUCAUAGAGAUGAGUCAAGGUUCAGAUUUUGUUCUCAGUAUCUCUGCUGGGGAAAGUUAGGCUAUCAUGCAAGGAUCGCUGAGGUGUCGAAAUGAUUUAGUGGGCCGAACCUCCAUUUUCUAUGAAGCCAGACGCACUGGGCAGCAAGCCAAAUGAAUAUUCGGGCUAUUCUCAUUGAUUUGGGCCUGGAAUCAUAGGCAAAGUCAAGUGAUAAGUCCGGGCCAUUCAGCAUACCCAUGACCCUAUACCCAUUAUACCUCCAUACCUAUGCCCAUUUGUAUGAUCACCUUUCUUUCUACACCACCAUGCAUCCAUCUCAUCUCUCUUUUUCGCUCAUCAUACCCUCACUUCCAUACUAACCCUCAUCUUCAUGCCCCAUGCAUGCACCCAUCAAACCCAUUCCACAUUACCACAUUUUCUCUCUCUUCAAACUCUUUCAUACCCAUUUCACCCCCCCUUUAUUCAUCAUCCAUCAUCCAGUCCUGUUCAUCUAUCCCAACCUCUCUGCUCGUUAUGCACCUUCAAGACCAGUCCAACCAGUCCUAGUCUGUCGUCAUUAGUCUUCGCGUCUUCAGCGAUAGCAUCAAGGUUCCGUCAGAGAUGAAGCAAAAUGUGAAGAUUGCAAAUGGGUUUCAGAGCAAAACUUCACUCAUAAACUGGUAGAUGGACGACGCAGAUGACUUCUUCAGAUUAUUAUGCAAAGUCAUUCCUAAUGGGAUACCGGGCAGUCCACUAGGAAGCAGUACUGGUACCAGUAUCUGGCAGAUCAAGCAAACAUCACCUCGCGGUUUGGGAUAAUUGGAUGGUUGUUCCAUUUAGUCUUCUGGACUAAGACGCUCAGUCCGCAUCCAUCAUUGCCGCGGUGUUGAAUCUCCGAAAUAUAGCAACAUGUUAAUCAGGGACGCUCAUCACUGACAUUGCAAUUAAGGACAACGUGCUGACCACUAUAUCAUUGUUUGGGCAUUGUGAAUCUUCCCAUGAAUUAUGGUUUUUGGGAUGGGAACAGGAUACAAACAGGCAGCUUUUUCAGUUUUCGGCAUCAAUUUCAGCCAUAUACGUAAGUGACUUGACCAGGGAGUUUGUCACAGCAGCUGCAGCAGUCUCAUAUUCCACAAUUACUUCUUGAAUAGUUGUGGCAUCAUCGCAUGUCUGAUCCGGGUUUUGGGCAGUCAAAGAUGGACCUUAUGGGAGACAACAUGCUUGAUUAGGCUUAGCUGAGGAAAAGCCUUCUCCAUGAAUUGCAGUAGAAUUCGUUUGCUUCAAGGCACCUGGAUCUAUCUUUAGAACAGAUCAUUCAAGCAAAGAUUGGUCAGAAUGCAUAUAGAGGACGGUCAAAUGAUUUAUUAGAGCUCAUAUCACAGGUGAAGCAUGAGAGUGCAUCCCCUUCAGAACAGUAGCUCCAUUUCCGCCAAGAACAGUCGCAUGCAAGGCCUCUUUGGGCACUUCAAUCCCCUUCUUAUUAUCCAAAACCUCAUGCUCGUUUCCAGCUAAUAAGUGCACCAGAUGAUAAGCGCGAAGGGGAGUCUGUUCCAUUAAAACCUGGUAUUCAUGCUGUUGAGAGAUUAAAUCAGAACACCAGGCCCUCGUCCUUGGUUGAGCUUUGCAGUCGCGAGAGCCCUCAUGCCUGCCAUUCCAUUUUGUUUCCUCCCUGUGUUUGGUUUCUGGAUCCUAAUGGAGAUGUAAGAAAGUUGUGGGUCUACUUACAUGGAGGAUAUGAGGAGAGACACUCACAUUUACUAGCACGUACAUCUCCAUGCUUCCGUGUCAUAAGAAGGUGAUGACUAUAUCAGCAAUAAUGGGUUUGACCUGGAUGAAAAUUCAAGGAACGGGACUUGAUGCAUUGCAUGCAAGAUAUGGAAUAGUGAUUGACUGCCAAGCGCUUUCUAGUAUCAGCAUCGUUCUCAAAUAAUGCCCCGUCUGUGUGAAAGAUGCAAGUGACAAGUGGAUUUAGGUUGACAUGCUGAUCUGGGCGAUGAAUAAUCCUGCCUCGAUUGGUCAUUUACUGAUUUCUGAUGAUGGUUUCUGAUGACUGUUUAGGAAGCCAAUUAAUCUCGGGUCAAGCUAUGAGUUUAGACAAAGGCUCGAUGCCGGCUCCAAUACACGUGAAAACCAUCCAUUGUGAUGCAGACGAGAGGCUCAAGGGCUUUGGUCAUGUUGAGUUUGCUACUCCGGAAGCAGCACAUAAGGCUUUCAAAAUGAAUGGUGGGGACCCCUCGAGAGACUCCAAGUACUCAGUCAUCAUCAUCAUAGCAUACUCAACACAUCACCAUCAUUUUCUCUCACCUCCCAUUCCAUCAAUCUUUUGGCUUAAAAAAAUAAUUUUCUAACAUCUUUUCUUGCAAAUAACUUUUUAAACAUCGGUUUUCAAAUAAUUUAAAUAUUUUCCAUCUUUCAUCCUUAGGUUUCCUUUAGGUUCCAAAAUUCUGUUAUUAAUAAAAUUUAGUGUCAUCUCUCUUCGGCAUGCAAUUUUCAUAAUUUUCCAGAUUUUAAAACGUUUUAAAAAUGAGUCUCAAAUUAAAUUUCGUAAUUCUCAAGUGAUGAGAUUUAUGGAAUUGAUUUGUGUAAAAUAAACGGGCUUUGGUGGGGGCCCCACAUAUGUGAAUUGAUGAUUGAUUGAUUGUUUGAUUGAUUUACUUAUCGUGCGUGUUUGAUCUAUUUUGUUCCUUGAUAUGCGCUUAAUUAUAUCUUGUUCAUUGCUCACUAACCCUGUUUCAUGAUAGCGCAUUCGAUAUUACUGUCCAAGUAUGCAUUCAUUCAUUCUGAUCGUUCGUUAUACAUAUCUUGAUUCUCAUACGUGCAUGAUCAUUUUGGGUAUUCGUUGAUUUAUUCAUCAAUUGCCAUGAUUGCUUCAUUUUAUUAGUAGAGACCCGUUUUUAGGGACUUAGAGGGGUGCUACGGUAUUUACCGUACCUUCCCGAUAAGUAACCUAACCCCCGAACCCGAUCCGGUUUUUCACAGACCACCUUUUCCAAAAUAUGGAGUCACACUUAGGGUUUUUUCUUUCUUAUUUUGUUUACCCUUUAAAAAUAAAACAAAAAUAAGUGGCGACUCCAAGUCAAUUUCUUUUUAAUAAAUAAAAAUCAUUUUCAAAUAAAAAUCGAGCUCGUCAUUCGAGUGGGAAACGCAUUGAGCCGAAAUACAGGGUCCACAGUAAUAUAAUUUGUUGUUGACAUGUUAUUUUAUCUUAUUUGAUAUAUUUUGUAGGAUAAAAAUAUAUAAUCAAGUGCUCUUGUAUGAUUGAUUUAGAUGUUAGAAAAUGUUUUACAAAACAUUAAUUCUAUUUGACUGAUGACAAAAACUUUUAAUUGCCCAACAAUUUUUUAUAAACUUUAAGUUGCUAGCAUUCAUUUGUUAUCAUAAAGUUAUUAAUUAUUAUUUUAUCUAAGUUGAACCAAAAUUCUUGGGUAAAUGAAGAAGUAUUUAUUGACAUACUUGUUUAUAUUAGAAGUUUUUAGUUUGAUUUGUUGUUAAAUUCAAAUUCUUAGUAGCUAGCUUUGAAUACUAGCUAAUUGCAUUGGUUUUUGUUGUAAGUUUGAUUUUUAUAUUGUUUUUAGGCAUGAUGUUUAUUAAUUGAAAAUGCUAAUGAUUCGAGAUUAGAAUCAGUUACUUCUUACUAAACUUAUUUUUUUAGGCUAUGUUUGGUAGACCAAAUAUAAUAUAUAAUAGAAUAAGAGAAAAAAUAUUAUAUCAUGUCUCAUCUUUAGUUGAUGAUGAGAUAUGAUAAGUUAUUUCAUUGCUUAUUAUAUCAUAUGUUUAACCAAAUAUGAGAUAUGAGAAGUGAUGAGAUAUAUUACUCACCUUUUUUUUUUUUUUUAUAUCUCUUAUACAUAAAAUAUGUCAAUCUCAUACUAAGAUAUAAGAAAUGCAUAUUUCAUAUAUCAUAAAUUUAUUUUUUAUCAAUUUUUUAUAUAUUUAUUUUGUAAAAUAAUUUUUUAUUAUAAAAUUAAAUUUAUAGUUAAAAAAAAACUAAAAAAAUAUUUAUAAAUAAUAUUAAUAUAUGAUAUAUAGAUUACUUUUAUAUAUUAAAUAACAUAAUAUAAACAUUUUUUAUUUGUAAAAUUUAAAUAUUUUAAUCAUGACUAUUUUUAAACAUAAAAGAAAUUUCAUUUUUUUAAAUGGAAAAUAUUGGAAUGUGAUAUAAUUUUUAUUUUAAACAUUGAAAAUAAUAUAUAUAUCAUAUUAUUUUUAUUCAUUUCAUAAAUUAAAUAUAAAUAUAAUAUAAUAUAUCUCAUUAGAUAUAUAUAUUUAAGGAUAUCAUAUCCUAUUAAAAAUCAUAUUUUAGAAUAUCAUUCUUUUUACCACAAGAGACUUAAACCCAAGUCUAUUUCUAUACCCCUUGAACAAUUACAAGGUUGAACCAUUGGGCUAAGGGCAAUAAUUGCUUUUAAUCGGUAAAAUUUGUAUGUAUACUAAAGUUGCACUGCCUAAUGUAAAGUGUUGGCUCCUCCAUUGUGUUGCACCUCAAGCCACCACCAAGUCUCCACAUGAUGCCCUUGUAAGCCUUGAUUAUCACAUUACCUUGGUCAAUAGGCACUUAUGGGUACAAGGUGCAACCCCAUGAGACCUUGGUGCCACAUUCUCCAAGUCAAGGUGUUAAUACUCUUCUAUGCUUACAAACUUAAUUUGGUCACCAUUUAUUAACUUAUAAGUCUCUAUAACCAUAAAUAAAAUUUCAAAUAUAUUAUUAGAACAAGGCUCUAUAUUUUGAGUUUUGAUAUUCAAUGAGAUAUGAUAUCUUAAGAUACACAUAUCUUAUUAAAUUCUAUUCCACCAAUGAAAUGUAACCUUAACUUAAAUGUAUUCUUAUUUUUAUUUCUCAUUUUUAUCCCAAAUCUAGGAAUUUACUUUUCUAUUUUAAGGUAAUUCAUUUUAAAUUUUAUUUUAUGUGUAUUAAAAAAAUAAGGAGUGACAUCAAUCAUUAUAAAGUCUGAAUCAAUCCCAAACAUACAUAAGAAGACGAUUUAAGUUUUAAAAUAAAAUCCCAAACCUACUUCUGACUAGACUAGGUGGAGCCUUGGGUAAAAUAAAAUUAACAAUGGCAUUAUCAUGUGCGUGUCUCAUCGCUUGAUGGGUUAUAAUUAGAGCCCACUUGAUGCUUAGAAAAAUAUAUUUGCAAUUGAUUAUCCAUCUGUCAAUUGAUUAAUCUAUACAAUAUUAAAAAUCCACUUGAUGUUAAUUUAGGAAAAUUAUUUUAUUUUGUUGGUGAUGGCCUGUCUCCCAUCUGACUCGAGUUUCUAACUCUUGAGACUCUUCAAAUUAACAAACUACAGCGCAGUGAUUCAUCUUUCUUCUUUGUUCCAUCUUUAGCUGAAUUCUAAUCCAUUUUUCUGUUACUUCCGAAAAGCUAUGGAGAUCCUGAGCUCAAUCUUGGGUCUUGUCCCAUAAAAAAUCAAAGCAACUAGCUAGUACUCAAAGUUAUGUUUGAUUUUUAUAUUGUUUUCAAACAUGAUGUGUAAAAUGUAUUAAUGGUAAUGAUGUUGAAAAAUAGCUAAUACUAUUUUGACGAAUGUUGAAAAGAGUGCCUGUGGUGCACUGCAUCAGGAGCAAGCUCCAUUAACUACAAAGUAUUGAGUAGAAUUAUUAUUAAAGUUGUAUAAACAAGUGACAGUCUUGAUAGUCAUAAUGACACCAUUCAAAAAUUAUAUAAAUUUUAACAGGUUCGAGUAAAGUGUGGUCAUACCGGAGUAAUAAUCAUGUCAACUUGUAUAACUCAUUUAAAUUAUUUAAAGAAAUUUAUGAGAUGGAUUUACAUGGCCUAAUUAUUGUUCUUAUUGAAGAAUGAGCUACUAUCCACUUCACGAGGACGAAAUUAUAAUUAGUCAGUAUUACUUAAAAGUGAAAUCUUAAAUUUAAAAGUUUCAAUUAAAUUCGAAAACUAAAAUUAUUAAGUAGAGAGUUAAAAAAAAUUAUUGAGCAUAGUUUAAAAUUCGAAUAUAAUGCAUUUAUUGUUGUAAUUCAAGCCCAAUAUUUAUUAUUUAUUAUUAUAAAUAUAAUUGUAUAUCUAAUUUUUAAAUUUAAGAUAAUUUAGCACAUUUGAACAAUGUUUCGAGAAUAAGAUUGGAGCAUCUAAUUUGACUAAUUAAAUAGCAAAUAGAACUAAUCCAAUUUUAUUUUUAUAUUUAUCCACCUUCAAUUCUAAGAUAAACAUGAACAAAAGUCUUUAUAUGAUUAUAACAAUAUAAACACUAAAAUAAUGAGUAUAACAUUAAAUAACAAAAAUUUUAUUGGAUAUAUUAUUAUAUUAGUUAUAUAUAUAUAUAUAUAUUAGUAAAAUUAGAAAUAUUAAUACAUUUAAUAUAUUAAAUAAUAAAAUUACAAGUUUUUGUUAUUAUUCAUAUUUAAUUAAUAAAUUUUAAUUAAAUCUAAAAUAAAAACUUUACACAAAUUAGUAUAAAACCAAGUAUGAUCAUCAUAAACCAACCCCUAUAAAAAAAGACUUAAAUAUAUAGAAGUCUAAGUAAAUAAAUGCAAAAUAAUGUUAAAAGAUAUAAAAUAUAAAAGGAAAAAAAAUAAUUAAUAAGAUUUUCAAAAUAUUGUAUUUGAAAACUCGUCACACAAAAUGAUUUUAAAAAAAAUUAAUGAAUGUAUUUUCUUUAGAAAUGAUUUCGAGAGUAUCAUCUAUUAAAUACUUGAUUUUUCUUCAAAAAUAUUUUUUAAGCUUGAAGUGCUUUUUAAAGACAAUAUCAAAUGGACCAUAAGUCUUAAAAUAAAAUCCCAAAUAUACCCUGGAUUUAAUUAUACUUUUCAAAUCCAUCCUAUGGGCCUAGGCAACCUUGAAAUACCCACCCCUAUUAUAAUACAAAAAAAGCAAACCACCACUAAGGAUAUUUAAACAACAUUUUAAAGACAAUUGAAACCUGUCAAUGAGUCUUUGUCUCAUAAUACAAAUUUCCUAUCAAUGAAUCUUUGUCUUAUAAUACAAAUUUCGUAAUGUUCACAUGUAGAAAGGGACAAGUAAUAUAUAAAAACUAAAAAUCAUAUACAAUAGAAAGCUUGGAAUCAAGAGGGAAGAGAGUAGAAAGUUACCAAGUGGUGGAGCCUUGGGUAAAAUAAAAUUAACAAAGGCAUUAUCAUGUGCGUGUCUCUGUCUCAUCGCUGGAUGGACCAAAUUUGCUUCUCCCAAAGAUCUUUGAAUAUUAUAAUGAGAGCCCACUUGAUGCUUCCAAAAAUAUAUUUGCAGGUGGUGGCAUAGCUACCUAUACUGAAGUCUUAACUCCGGGGUUUUUGAUUGACAAGGGUAGUGAUUCAUCUGCUCCCUAUACGGCGAACUAUCCCCUCUUUCUUUUAUCUUUGGCUCAACUUCAGUCCUUUUUUUCCUUUGAUUUCCCGAAAGCUAUGGAGUUCCUCAGCUCAAUCGCGGGUCUGAUCCCCUGUUUCUAUGAUCACACCUCCAGGCAUACGCUCUACAUUCGUGAUCUGAAAAAAAAUCUCCGAGCCUUGAGCCAGAAAAUGGAGGAGCUCAACAACUUGUAUGAAGAUGUGACGGCAAGGGUUGAAGGUGAAGAGCAACGACAGAUGAGGCGCAGAAAGGAAGUGGGUGGCUGGAUCCGUGGAGUAGAAGAAAUGGUGGAAGAAGUUAACGAAAUUCUGCGAAGAGGCGAUCAAGAAAUCCAGAAGAGAUGUCUCAGAUGCUGUCCCAGGAAUUGUUGGUCUAGCUACAAGAUUGGGAAGGCAGUAAGCGAAAAGCUGGUUACCUUAUCUGAUCAAAUCGGCAGAGGACAUUUCGAUGUUGUAGCCGAGAUGCUGCCUCGUCCUCUAGUAGAUGAACUGCCCAUGGAGGAGACUGUGGGCUCAGAAUUGGCGUACGGCAGAAUCUGUGGGUUUCUCAAAGAUCCACAAGUGGGAAUUAUGGGAUUAUAUGGAAUGGGGGGUGUGGGCAAAACCACCCUCUUGAAGAAAAUCAACAAUGACUUCCUCACUACAUCCAGCGAUUUUGAUGUUGUGAUUUGGGAUGUGGUGUCAAAACCGCCCAACAUUGAAAAAAUUCAGGAAGUUAUUUGGAAUAAAUUACAAAUCCCACGUGAUAUAUGGGAAAUUAAAAGCACUAAGGAGCAGAAGGCUGCAGAAAUAUCGAGAGUUCUGAAAACAAAGAAGUUCGUGUUGUUGUUGGAUGAUAUUUGGGAGCGACUUGAUCUGCUAGAAAUGGGGGUCCCGCAUCCCGAUGCUCGAAACAAGUCCAAGAUAAUUUUCACGACCCGGUCACAAGACGUGUGCCACCAGAUGAAAGCUCAGAAGAGCAUAGAAGUGAUGUGUUUGUCAUCAGAAGCGGCUUGGACUUUGUUUCAGAAGGAGGUAGGAGAAGAAACAUUAAAGUCUCAUCCACAUAUACCGAGGCUUGCAAAGAUUGUUGCUGAAGAGUGCAAAGGUUUACCUCUGGCUUUGAUUACUCUUGGGCGAGCUUUGGCAGGUGAGAAAGAUCCCUCAAAUUGGGACAAGGUAAUACAAGAUUUGGGCAAAUUUCCAGCUGAAAUUUCGGGUAUGGAAGAUGAAUUGUUUCAUAGAUUAAAAGUCAGUUAUGAUAGAUUAUCUGAUAAUUUCAUCAAAUCUUGUUUUACAUAUUGGUCCUUAUUCUCUGAAGAUCGGGAGAUUUAUAAUGAAAACCUUAUAGAAUAUUGGAUAGGAGAGGGGUUUUUGGGUGAAGUUCAUGACAUACAUGAAGCGCGUAAUCAAGGCCAUAAAAUUAUUAAAAAACUAAAGCAUGCAUGUUUAUUAGAGAGUGGCGGUUUAAGAGAAACAAGAGUUAAGAUGCAUGAUGUGAUCCACGACAUGGCUUUGUGGUUAUAUUGUGAAUGUGGGAAGGAAAAGAACAAAAUUUUAGUAUACAAUAAUGUUUCUAGACUGAAGGAAGCUCAAGAAAUUUCAGAAUUAAAAAAAACGGAGAAGAUGUCAUUAUGGGAUCAGAAUGUUGAGUUCCCUGAAACAUUGAUGUGUCCCAAUCUCAAGACUCUAUUUGUGGACAAAUGUCAUAAGUUGACGAAAUUUCCAAGUAGAUUCUUUCAAUUCAUGCCUCUAAUAAGAGUUUUGGAUUUGUCAGCCAAUUAUAAUUUAAGUGAGUUACCUACUAGUAUUGGUGAAUUGAAUGACUUGAGAUAUCUUAAUUUGACAUCCACAAGAAUAAGAGAGUUGCCCAUUGAGCUAAAAAAUUUGAAAAAUUUGAUGAUUCUGCGUCUAGAUCAUUUGCAAUCCCUUGAAACUAUCCCACAAGACCUCAUAUCAAAUCUCACAUCUUUAAAGUUGUUCAGCAUGUGGAAUACCAAUAUUUUCAGUGGAGUUGAAACCUUGCUUGAGGAGUUGGAGUCCUUGAAUAACAUCAAUGAGAUAGGAAUCACCAUAUCUAGUGCUCUUUCAUUGAACAAAUUAAAGAGAAGCCACAAAUUACAGAGGUGUAUAAGGCAUCUACAGUUACAUAAAUGGGGGGAUGUAAUCACACUUGAACUAUCAUCUUUGUUUUUAAAAAGAAUGGAGCAUUUGAUUGACCUUGAAGUAGACCAUUGUGAUGAUGUGAAAGUAAGUAUGGAAAGAGAAAUGAAACAAAAUGAUGUUAUUGGUCUCUCAAACUACAAUGUUGCAAGGGAGCAAUACAUUUACAGCCUCCGUUACAUAGGAAUAAAAAAUUGUUCAAAAUUGUUAGACUUAACAUGGGUUAUUUAUGCUUCAUGUCUAGAAGAACUUUAUGUUGAAGAUUGUGAAUCAAUAGAACUAGUACUACACCAUGAUCAUGGAGCUUAUGAAAUUGUGGAAAAAUUGGACAUAUUCUCAAGGCUCAAAUGCCUCAAGCUCAAUAGACUGCCAAGAUUGAAGAGCAUCUACCAGCAUCCUCUGCUCUUUCCCUCGCUUGAAAUCAUCAAGGUGUAUGAUUGCAAAAGCUUAAGGAGCCUCCCAUUUGAUUCCAACACUUCGAACAACAAUCUUAAGAAAAUUAAAGGAGGGACAAAUUGGUGGAAUCGGUUGAAGUGGAAAGAUGAAACCAUCAAGGACUGUUUUACUCCUUACUUCCAAGUCCAUGAGGCUGAAGCAUAUUUUGCAGAAGAGUUUGAAACUGGCAGCAUAGAUGAUGAUAUGCAGGAACAGCUGGUAUCAAAUUAAUUUCUAUCCAUCUUUCAGGUAUUAAUUAACUUUUAUGUUAUAUUUGAAAAAUACUUUUCUUUCCUUAUUCAUUCUUUUGUGGAAAUUUUUACUUUACCUAUGUCAAAAGUGCAUCAAAGUUUCAAACAUCAUAAUAACUUUCAAUGUUUGAUCUGUAUAGAUUACUUCCAUAAUUUUCAGCCUAGUCCUAAUAACUUUCAAUCUAUUUUUUUCCCUUUUAUUUUCUUUCUCUUCUAUGUUGCUUUGAAUCUUUUGAGAUCCAAACAAAGCCAAAUCUACACCCUUCCAAGAUCUUGGAUGGGUAAUUCAAUUCUAGUUGUUCCUUGUGAAAUAAUUGUUAUAAAAGGUUCACCCAGAUGGCACUUUGAAGGAGGUCUAUUGUUUAAAAAUGGGAUGACAUUCCCUGUUGGUUACUUGAGAACUUGAAAAUAAUUCAGAGUUUUAAACUAUAUUAUUUAUUUGUCUUAAUUUUUUUGAUCAAUUUCAAUCUAUAAACAGAAACAGAUCAACUUCUUUUCAUCUUAGUUCCAUAUAUUUCAAGCUGAACAACAGGGUUUCACAACUACUAUAUCUAUAGAUAUUCCAUUAAAGAAUUAUUGCCUUGUUAAGUUACAAGGGUAUUUUAUCUUCUAUUGUUAAGUUACCUCUAUCUGGUUGGCUCUGAUCACUUUUUGCUUUUCUAUUUUCUUUUUUUCAUUUCUCUUUUUGUUGCAUUCAGGGUUCGGGUUGGUUCUAGCAGUUCUGGCAACAGCCGGGUUUUCAUUUCUUUAUAUAUAGACUGCGUUGCUG
rnacentral:lncRNA from 1 species